GUCCGGAAGGUAAUAUUCUUGACAAACAAACAAUAUUAAUCAAUUCAUUAAAUUUCAAUUUAUCUCUGUAAUUUGAAUUUUAUUUAUUUAUACGAUGGUCAAUUUUAUUUAUUAAUUUUUGAAAAUAGAAAUAGAAACAAUUAUAAGUAAAUUAUAAUAGACGACUAGACCACAGCCCAUAUGUAGGUAAAACGUUGCAGAUGAACAUUGCUUAAUUGGCAUUGCCGUACCCAGAACCCGAUCCACUUCCAUAUCCGGAAGCACUACCGUUUCCUUUACUUGAAGCACUUCCACUGCCACCACCUCCACCACUUCCGCUCGCACUGGUGUAACCAUUGUACGCUGAAGUGGAGGCAGAUCCUGAUCCACGACCAGAACCAGAUCCGUUUCCACUUCCAUUUCCAUUACUGGAUCCACCUCCACCGCCACCUCCGUUUCCACCUGCAUUUGUGUAACCGCCUCCGUAGUAACCGCCAGAAUUGUAUCCAGAUCCACUACCAGAUCCAUUACCAUACCCAGUUGCACUUCCAUCCCCUUGGGAUGAAGCUCCACCUCUUCCGUUUCCAUCUCCAUAUCCGCCAGCACCACCACCAUUAUAAUAAUAAUAAGGAUAAUCAUCCUUGUAUGAGUCGCCGUCUCCAUAACCCGAACCUGAUCCAUAAGCACGUGCAGAUCCAUCGCCAUUGCUAGAGGCCCUACCACCCCCGCUUCCAUUCCCAGAACCUCUAGCAUACGAAGUUAAGACUCUCGAUGCAGAGGCCAUGCUAACACAAAGAAUCAUGACCGCAAGGGCAGCGACAUUCACAGUAGAAGAACGAGCCAUAUUGGCUAUAGCAAGUUGAUUUCGAUAUGAAAAAAAGAAACAAUUUGGAAUAAGAAAUGAAGUAAUUUGAUAUGAUAUGAUUUGCAUGAUUGGUUGGUAUUUAUAGACAUCGUUGUGUUGCAGAAUUCAAUUGCCAGCAUUAAUUUCCAGCUAGUUAUCUAUUUUUUACAUUUCCUAUUCUGAAUUCUUCGUCAAUUUCACUUCAAUAACAAACUUCUUGCAUUCUUUAUUGAAUUCAGAGAGGAAAUGAAGAUAUAUAUGUUGAAAAAAUGAAAUCCCAUGAUUGAAGUAAUUGACUUAUGAUUAGGCUUAAUUACCAUUCCAUAAUUAAUUCAAACCUUUGACACAUUUGUUAAUUAAUUACUUGAAUAUUCUAAUUACAACUGGUGGUUUGUUCAUUUAAUUUUAUUUCUUUGACUUUUGUUAGCCAAAGAAAGGAUCAAUGCUAUAAACACACUCCUAUAUUAAUUAAUUAGUCCUUGAUUCAAAGCUUAAUUUGCCUCGAUUAACUAUUUCCAUUUUUUACAACUUGACAAUUAAGUAGAUUAUUUGAUUUCUUCAACCCAAUCUUGUUAGAGAAUGUAUGCUUUCUACAUACUCCAUCUCCGACCCAAUCUGGAGACCAUUUAGAGGUUGAAUUGGAUAAACCCUAACAUGCCAUUUCUUAAUUCAAAGUUUAGAUUCAUUUAUUUAUGUCAAUUUAAUUGCAACUUGUAAACUCAUUUUGAUUUCUUUGACUUUUUUAAGCCAUAGGAUCGAUGUUAUAUAUAGAAAGAGUAAUUCUUGUAGGUUCACCCUUCUACGCGGUUUAAUUUAUGACAACUCGAUUUGGAUGACUGUAAACAACUGAAUUUAAAUGGCUAUUUAAUUUUAACAGUAGGCUAAUUUUAUUAUUCAAGGUUUUAUCUCUCUAUUUAUAAUUGUAUUGUACUUUUGGACCUUCGUAAUUCUCAUAAUUCUGAUGUCACAUAAUUCUCAUAAUUCUGAUUAUAUCGACAAAUAUUUUAUAGAUUCUUCAAUCCCAUUGUAAUUAGACUUUAUUUUGGAUUUUAGGUUUAUUGUUUGAAACCAUCUUUUUUACCUUUUUCCUUUUUACGUACUCCAUCUCCGACACAAUCUGCAGACUGCAGACCCAGGCAAUUAGUCCAUUCUAGGGGCUGAUAGUAUCAUUUUACCACAAGAGUGAGUCAAUAAAAAUAUUGAAUAGAUGUUAUCAAGGGGAGAAGUUAAUGAAAAUCAGCAAAUAGAAGAAUUGAUUGAGAAGAAUCAGAAAAUUCAUAAGAUUCAGAAGAAGAUCUACAAGAACUAGUUCAGAACAUACAAGAAUCAAAGGCAAACAUAACUCAAAAAGAUCAGUAAGAGAGUAAAAGAUUCCAAACAAGCUCAAAGAUUGUAUCUUUUAUUAAGAAGAAUUAGCUAGUAGUUAAUUAGGAGUUCAUUAGUAUAAAAAUAAAUGUAAGAACAAAUGAAUUUAUAAUCAUUUGUUUAGUUGUAUUUUUUUUAAUUCUGUACUUUAACAAAUAUCUUGAAGAUUAUAAUCACUUGUUUAGUUGUUUUUACUUUAAAAUUCAGUAAACUCUGUAAAUCCCCAUAUAUAGGGCACCAUAUGUAUUUUUACAUGAUAUGAAAUAUAUACCAGUAUGCUUUUUCCCUCCCCAAUUGAAUUCAAAUUCUGUUACAGAGAAAUUGGAUUGUUAGAGAGCCGAGUCCUAUUCAUUCAAUUCAAUCAGCCAAGCGGCUUAGUGAAAUUGGAUUGAUAGCUUGGAGUUUCUACUUGAAGAUUCUCUAGUCUAGCGUUCCAGUGUUGAAGAUUCAGUUGCAGGCUCAGAUCAUUCAGCCAUUGUCUGCAUUCCGUCUACCGAAGACAGUCUUCCCAAAUACUGCCUUCGUCUCUCUAUCUUGGAUCGAUCUCCGGUCUGUAGAUUGGAGACAAUGAUUUGGGAUCAGGUCAUUUCCUUCUUUAUUGUACUCCAAGUCGCUGCAAGUGGAGUUCCAGGAACUCCGUCAUCACGCGGAACCGCGAAGAUGGAGUUCUUGGAGGUCCGUCGUCUCCUUCCGCGAAGAUGUCUGCAAGUUGGUAUUUUGUGCCAACUUGUUUUAGAAGAAUUAUCCCCUUUUCUAUCAUUUAUCUAAUUGAGUGGCAUGUGAUUUCUAUAUGUUUGCUUCUCUCAUGAAAUACUGGGUUAUUAGGAAGAUAUAUUGCCGAUUUGUUAUCACAGUAUAAUGAGGUUGGCAUGGCUAUCUGCAAUUUUAGAUCUUUGAAAAGUUGAUGAAGCCAUAGUAUCUCACAUUGAGUUUUACUAAUGGCUCUAUAUUCAGCUUCACAUGAUGAUAGAGAAAUGGUGUCUUGCUUCUUGGAUUUCCAAGAAACUAAUGAUGUUCCUAGGAACAUACAGUACCCUGAUAGGGAUUUUCUGCUUAUUUGGCAUGAAGCCCAGUCUAAGUCACAAUAACCAUGGAGAUUCAUUUGAUUUUGAGAUUUGUAUAUUAUCCCUUGUCCAGGUGCAUUUUUAAGGUACCUUAUUACCUUGAAUAGAGCAUGGAGAUGGAUUUAAUUUGGAUUUCCCAUGAACUGGCUUAACCAGUGAACAGGAAAACUUAGGUCAGGUCUAGUGAUAUAUUUAGGUAUAUUAAUUUACCAACUAGUGACCUGUAAAGAGUUGGGUUUGUUAAAACCUUGGCAUUUUCAUUCCUUAGAUUUACACGUCUUUCCAUGGGCACCUUUGAUGGUUUUGCAUCCAUGAGUCCACUUUCUUCUAGUAUGCCAAGUGCAUACAUUCUUUGUGACAAAUAUAUGCCUUCUGAUGGGUAUGAGACUUUAAUCCCUAAGAAGUAGGACAAUCUCCCUAAAUCUUUAAUUUUGAAGUUUUUCUCAAUAUUCUUUUUAAUUAGAAAAAAUUUUGUCUCAUUAUUUCCUGUGAUGAUGAUAUCAUCAACAUAUACCAAUAGGUAUAUUAUAUUUUCAUUUUUAUUUCUAACAAACAAUGAGUAAUCAGAAGGUGUUUGGAAGAACUUCAUUUCAAGCAGUACUCCCUUUAACUUGGCAAACCAGUUUCUUGAUGCUUGUUUUAAGCCAUAUAGGGAUUUUUUUAAUUUGCAAACCCUUUUAUCUCCUUCAUGGAGGAGUCCUUGUGGUGGUUUUAAAUAUACUUCUUCAUGGAGAUGUCCAUGAAGAAAAGCAUUGUUCACAUCUAACUGGUAGAUGUUCCAUCUUUUUAUUGCUGAUAUUGCAAUAAUUGUUCUAACUGUAGUCAUUUUGACUACAGGGGCAAAAGUUUCAUAGUAGUCGAAACCCUCUUUUUGUGUGAACCCUUUUGCUACCAGUCUAGCCUUGUACCUUUCUAUUUCACCAUUGGGCUUAUAUUUGAUUUUAUAAAUCCAUUUGGACUCUACAAUCUUCCUAUCAUGAGGAAGCAUAGUCAAGGUCCAAGUGUUAUUUAAAUGGAGUGCUUCCAUUUCGUUUUUCAUUGCUUCUACCCACUUUGGGUUUUUUGAAGAUCAUUUUUUAUUUCUAGGGGGUUUUCUGAAAAUUUGCAGGAUAUAACUUGUUGCUGAAAAUUUUUCUGUAAAUUUUGCCCUCUUGUGUUUUCAGAGGUGUUAGACUGAUUUUUUGACGCCUCUGUAUUUGAUUUACUUGUUUCAUUAUUAUUCUGAAAAUUUUCAGAAUUUGUGUUAUUUUCCAAAAUUUCAGUAUUUUCAUUGUUUUCAAUGAUCUGAAUAUUUUCAGUGCUUAUAGCAUUUUGUUGGCUGUGAUUAUGCUCAACAUUGUUAUUAUUUAUGUUUUUAUUCAUAUGAUCAUUGGUGAUGCUUUCCAUAUGAUCAUGUGCUAAAUGGUUUGUUUUAUUUGAUCCAGUGUGCCCUGGAUCCAACUGAUCAUAUUCUGAUCUUCUAUCUGGACUUUUAUUUUCCAGAUUUUUAUUUUUAUCCUCUGUUCUGUUAUGAGAUUCAGAGAGUUUUUCUUUAUUUUUGUCUUGGUUAUUCAACUUAUAAUCAUACCAAGACUUAUUUGAGUCAUCAUGAUAAAAGAAAACAUUGUUAUAAAUUUUUUGAAGAUAAUCUAAUUCUUCAGUUUUUUUAGACUCAUAUUGUCUUUAAAUGAGAAUAUUGAUUCUCUGAACGAGACAUUUCUUGAAACAAUAAAUUUCAUAUCAGAAAUUCUCAAAAUAAGAUAACCUUUGAUGCCUUUGGGAUAUCCCAUAAAAAUACCUUGAAAGGCUUUGGGUGAGAAUUUAUUCUCUAUUUGAGUUGUUGAGGCAUAGCAUAAACAACCAAGUGAUUUUAGCCUUUCAAAAUCGGGGAUUUUUUUACGUAUUAUUUCAUAGGGUGUUUUGUUUUCAAUAGCUUUAGAAGGAAUUCUAUUUAUGAGGUGAGCUGCGGUUAGAAUGCAUUCUCCCCAAUAUUUUAGUGGGAUAUUUCCUUGGAAAUGUAGAGCUCUUGCAAUAUUCAAGAGUUGCCUGUGUUUUCUUUCUACUCUUGCAUUUUGUGCAGGAGUGUAAGGACAUGAGAAUUGCUGAAUUAUUCCAUGUUUUUCAGUCAUUCUCUUGAAGUUAUUGGAGGUGAAUUCACCUCCAUUGUCACUUCUAAUAAUUUUAAUUUGUGUUGUAUUGAUUUUUGACCAUCUUGUAAAAGAUUUCAAAGCAUUGUAUUGCCAUUGAUUUAUUUUUAAUCAAAUAUAUCCAUGUUCCUCUACUAAAAUCAUCUACUAUGGUUAAAAAAUAACUAUAACCAUGCAUCAUGGGAUGUUAUUGGGAACUUCCCCCAUAUGUCUAUAUGGACUAGGUCGAAAAUGUUUUUGGACUUUGAGGAACUUAUGGAAAAUUUCAGUUUGGACUGUUUUGCUAAUGGGCAUAUUUUACAAUUUUGUUAAGUUGCCUUAAUUUCAUUUAAAUCUGAAUUUUACUGGAAAAAAUUGGAAUUUUCAUCCACUAUGGAAUUUUUAUUCAAAACAGUAUUUUUAUUCAACAUUUCAUUCAAAACAGAAUUAUUAUUAUCAAUACAAUCAUUAUUCUUACAAGAAAAACUAUUACAAUCAUUCUUAGAAGUUUUAUAGCUAAUUUUAUAUUUGGUGGCUAGAAUCUUCAUUUUCUCCGAAGAGAUGUGCUCCAAUCUUUGGUGCCAUGUUCUGAAAUUUAUGACUGAAUUAGCUAAGAAAAAGUGGGGUGUGAAAAAAUAGAGUCAUCACUUGAUUCACCCUUGCCAAUCACUUUCCCGGAUUUAUUUUCCUGAAAUUUAAAACAAUGAUCAUCAAAAACUACUUUAAUGUCAUUAUCUAAGGUUAAUUUGCUUAUAGCUAUUAGAUUAACCUUAAAUUCAGGAAUUUAUAAAACGUUUUUAAGUAUUAAAUCUUCUGAGAUUUUAAUACAUCCAAUCCCUUGAACUAUUAGUGUUUUUCCACUAGGUAUAGUUACAAAAUGGUUAUGUUCUUGAAUUAGAGGUUUUGUGAAUAAAUGAAGACUACCAGUCAUGUGUUGUGAUGCACCCGAGUUUACUAUCCAUUUAUCAAUAUAUGAAUUAAUAUUGAAUGAAAAAGAAGAAAUUUUACCAGAAUUGUUGUUUGUUUUGGUUGAGGAGACUAGCUCUUUAAAAAACUGGAUUUCUUCUUGAGUUAGCAUGAGUUGUUGUUGGUUGCUAGUAGAAGCUACUUGAUUGGCUACAUCAUUAUCUGUGGUAGUGCCUUGGGUUUUCUUUCCUUGAGACUUUUUCUGAAAUUUUUCUUUUGGCCUGCCAACUAGGUGAUAGCAUUUAUCUCUUGUGUGACCAUAAUACUUGCAAUUGUCACAAUAAAACCUAGUAUCUAAUUUUUUUCCACUUUUAGAAUACAUGAUUUUUGACUUAUCCGUUGUAUUCUUAUCUUUAGUAUUUUGGCCAUAGAAAGCUGAUUCAACUUUUUCAUUUGUGUGCUCUCUAAACUUGAAUUUCUGUUUUUCCUCUUGUAUGACUAACCCAAGGAUUUUAUUCAUAUUGGGCAGUUUUUCUAGUGAUAGAAUCUGAGUUCUUAGAUUAAAAAAACUCUCAUUCAGGCCUAGUAAGAAUUGGUGAAUCAUGUCACUCUCUUCCUUUUGUAGAUAUAGCUUUUUGCAUGUUUUGCAAAAUUCUUCUUUUAUCUCAUCAAUUUGGACUAAUUGGUCCCAAAUUGAUCUGAAUUUAUCAUAAAAUUCAGAAGCGGACAGUGAACCUUGUUGCAAAUAACACAAUUCAUAUUUGAUUUGAUUAACCUUAGGGGCAUUUCCUUGUUUAUAUCUACUUUCUAGAUCUAACCAAACUUGGUAAGCAUCACAUGUAUACAUUAGUGUGGACUGAAUUUGAGGAGAAACAGAAUUCAGAAUCUAAGCUAACACUAAGCCAUUCACAAUUUUCCAGAUAUUGUAUUCCCUACUAUCAAUGUCAUCCGGCAUUCUAAUCUGUCCAUUAAUGAAGGGUUCUUUUCUUCAUGAUACUAAUGAGACUUUCGUCCCAUUAGACCAAGUGAUAUAAUUGGUUUCUCCAACCAAUCUCUCAGGUACGAAUAUAGCCCCCGGGUGAUCACCAGAGGUCAGAAAAAAAGGAGACUCUGGGUCUUGAAGUGGAGAAACGUACCUCUCUGUUUUGUGCCUUUUAAAAAUUGAAUUAUAUAAACCUUUAUCAAAAUUAUUUGUUCUUGAUUUUCCAGUAGAACCUGAUGACGAUUGAUGUGAGGCUGCCGGAGUCUGAAUUGGAUUGCUGGGACGAGCAACGGAAGCUGCAGGAUUGUCAGCCGGAAUAAUCGCGGAAGCUGCUGGCCUGUUGGCCUGAGAAUAGUUGCCAGGUGGGUUGACCAAUGAUACCAUGAUGAUUUCUAGAGGGGAAGAUGCGCCGGCGAGAAUGUGGGUUCGUUGGGAGUCCGGAGAGCCACUGGAAGCACUUAUUUGGCCGAUUCUCUUCUAGGGUUUUCCGCCCAAGCAUUUUGGGAAAAACCGAUUUACCGGUCAGUGAGGAGGAAGAAGAACGAAUGGGAGAAAGGGAAAAUUGUAAAAGAAAUUUCAAGUUUUGACUUUCAAUUAAUCAGUGUAAAAAUUUGAGUACUUUAAUUGAUAUUAAUCCUUGAAUAUUUAUACAAGUUUAACAACCAAUUAUUACAAUCAAACUAAUAACUAAUUAAUCAAGAUUAGUUUAAUUUAAUCGGGUCCUGGAUUGGUCUUAAUCGGGCCUUGAUCUGGAUCCUAUUGGGAGUUUAAUUGUAACAAUUGCUGCACAUACACACAAAUUUAUUAGUAAUAACAAAUAGGUCAUUGACUUUAGUUUGUGAUAUUAAUUUAGUAGUCCUUGGAUUAAUUAUAUUUCUUAUAUAACCAAGACUUACUAAAUAGUUGUAAUAUUUACGAUUUGAUCCAUAUAUCAAAUUCUUAUAGUUCUACAACUUCUUUUAAUUGCAUUUAAGUCCAAAAACGAUUUAUUGAAACUUUUACAGAUAACCCCUUUUAAGUUAUAAACAAAACAGUUUAUUCUGUUUUGUUAUAACCUUUGGAUUAUCUUUAUUACACUUAGGUCCUGAACUCAGUGUUGUGGUAAAAUUGCUAUUUUACCUUAAAUUUCAAUAUAUUCUUAUAUAACUAAUCUGUUAAGUAAUAACAACUAAUUGAUUCUGUUGUAUUACUCACAUACCCCCUCCCUUAAGCUCUCAGAGCUUCUCCGACGAGUUUGUUCUGUAGAUUUAGAAAUAGCCUUGCCGGUAGUGGUUUUGUCAAUGCAUCUGCCCAUUGCGUGUUGCCGGGAAUGUGCUCUAUCGUGAUGUCCCCUUUCUCCUGUACAAAUGGGAGAUCUAUUGCGACAUGCUUUAAUUUGCAGGGUCCAAUUGGGUUCUUUGAAAUGAAUGUUGCACCCAAAUUAUCUGAGAGUAUCUUCCCAAAGAGCGAUGUUCGAGAAGCGAGGAAAGAAGAAGAUUAGACUUAGAGUGGAUUUUUUGUAAUUUUGUAGUGGAUUUUUUGUUAUUUUUAUCAAUCAACGAACUAUUUUGCUUUUGUUAAUUUUUUGUAUAAAUAUUUUAAAGUUGUAACAUAAGGUUGAAACUAGAUACACAAAUCGUAACUUAUCCGCUCUGGACGUAAGUUAGAUUCUGCUAACUCUACUUAGCCGCUUCAGGCGUAAGCUUGGUCGUACGAAUCGUAGUUUAGUUGCUAGUUAAACUCGAAAAUGAUUUAUACUUUUAAAUUAACUUUUAGGGUUGAAAAUAGUUUGAGUGAUAAAUUGAUGUAACACCCACUAAUUCCUGAUUCGCCCGUGCGAAUGAGGAUUGUGGUCGCAAUUCUAGGCUUGCAUGCCUAAAUUGGACCUGUUCGUACUAACCCUGGAUUUGAACCUUGAGGAUGUAGUCUGACUCCUGUACUAGUGAUGGAGUGACUUGUUGAUCUGUAUCAAGGCCGAAGCGACAAGAUGGGAUAGGAUCAUUGGGGCCGUAGCGACAGAAUGAUCCUUGUUCUACUGAGGCCGAAGCGACAAAAUAGACUUUUUAGGGUAUCCUUGCGGGUUAUAACAUGAAGAAAGAAUUCUAUGAUUGACUAACAUACAUACUAGGAAAAUUAAAGAAAAUAAACGUAAUGCGAUGAGUACUAUGCGUAGUACUGUUGCAUGUUGUCCGCGUGCCAGGUGUUUGGAACUAUUGUUCCAUCCUGUCGCCGUAGGCGAUAAGUUCCUGGCCUUAUUUCCUUUUCGACGAUGUAGGGACCUUCGAAGUUCGAUGACAAUUUAUUUCUUGGUCUAUUCCUUUCUGUUAUGCUAGCUUUUCGCGUGACGAGAGUUCCUGACAGGAAGAAUUUUUUGCGUACUUGGCGAUUGUGGUACCCUGAUACGCUUGCCUUGUAUGAUUCGUUCAACAGGUCCGCCUCGUCAAGGGUUUCAUCCUUCAACUCUAGCUCUGUAGCUAGGUUUUGAUCAUUUGUUUGUUCGUCGUACUUCGAGACUCGAUAUGUUGGUAUACUCAUCUUGACUGGUACGACUGCUUCCACUCCAUAGGUCAUAGAGAAAGGAGUGUUGCCCGCGGGGUUUUUAAUCGUUGUGCAAUAUGCCCAUAGGAUUUCGCACAACUUGUCUGCCCAAGUCCCUUUGGCUGAUUCAAUUUUCUUUUUCAAUCCUUAUACGAUGGCCUUGUUGGUGACCUCCACUUGCCCGUUUGCCUGAGGUCGGUAAACGGGGGCGAAGUGGAGUUUUAUGUUUAGGUCUUCGCAUAUUUUUGAAAAUUUUCCCCCUGUGAAUUGCGUGCCAUAGUCCGUGACAAUGUGUUGGAGAACUCCGAAUCGUCAGACUAUGGAGCGGUAGACGAACUUGACCGCCGCAUCCUGAGUGAUUUUCGCUACAGCCUGAACCUCGACCCACUUUGUAAAGUAAUCUACUGCUACAAAGAUGAACCGAGCCUGGGAUGUUGAGGGGGGGAAUAGUCCUACGAUGUCCAAUCUCCAUCUUGCGAAAGGGAUCGAACUCAGAAUCGGAGUCAUGUCCGCGGAUGGUUUCAGCUGCAUGGGGAUGUGCAGCUGACAUGCUCGGCACUUGCGGACGUAAGUGCGAACUUCCAACCUUAGAGUGGGCCAAUAAUACCCCAGCCUUAUGAUUUUGAAGGCCAGUGUUCUUCCUCCCUCAUGGAGUCCGCACGAGCUUUCGUGUACUUCCUGAAUAACCUUAUCCGUAUCGGGUUUGGCCAAACAGCGUAGCAGCGGGCUAUCGAAGGACUUUUUGUAAAGCACCCCUCUGAUGUCACAAUACUUUGCCGCUUUAUGCUUCAACUUUUUGGGAUCCCCUUUAUUGUCAGGAAGUACUCCAUUCUGAAUGAAUACCAAUAUCGGUUGCCUCCAAUCCUCUUGAGGGUCGGAGGUAACAGUCAAUACUUGGCUUGUAGGCUGGAGUAUGAAGUCUACUAAAAUCUCGCGUUGCCCUCCUUCCCAGGCCGACGCCAAACGUGCCAAAGCAUCGGCGGGCGAAUUUUGGAUUCGAGGGAUUUGUUCGAAUUUGAACUCAGCGAACUGCUUAGUGAGUGGUACCAUUGCCUCCACAUAUUUGGUUAUUUGUGGCUCCUUGCAAGUGAAUUCACCAGUGGUUUGCCGAACUACGAGCUGGGAGUCAGUGCGGAGCGUGACAUUCUCAACGCCGAGAGUUCUUAAUAGUUUAAGGCCGUGUAUGGCCGCUUCAUAUUUCACGACGUUGUUAGAGGCCGGGAAGUGAAGCCGUACCGAGUGUUCGUAGUUUUUUCCAUCCGGGCUAUGGAUUUUCACUCCGAUACCUGAGCUUGUGCUACAACUCGAGCCGUCUACUUCUACAACCCAAGGUUGGGUCAAAUUGGGUGGUGUGAGUUCGACAAUGAAGUCGGCCACAGCUUGCCCCUUGAUGAUGACAAUGGCUGGUCGGAAAUCCAAGUUGAACUCACUGAGCUCGAUUGCCCAUUUGGUUAACCUCCCAGAAAUAUCGGAUUUGUGAAGUAGACGGUACAAAGGACACGAUGUUAGUACCACAAUCGUGUGCGCUAAGAAGUAAGCUCGAAAGCGACGACAAGCGUGGAUCACCGCAUAUACGAUCUUCUCGAUAGGAGAGUAUUGUAGUUCAGCACCUUGUAGUCGCCUUGAGUGGUAGUAUAUAGGGACCUAGUCCUUGUCCCUCUGCGCGAUGAGGACUGCACUCACGGCUUCUUCUGAGGCCGCUAUGUAUAAGUACAGGUCCUCUCCCUCUUUGGGUGAUGUUAGCAUGGGGAGCGAGGACAUAUGUGCUUUUAACUUAGCAAAUGCCUCCUCGCACUCCGGUGUCCAAGUGAUACUACCCUUAGCCGCAGUUUUCAGUAAUUGGAAGAACGGUUUACACUUGUCAGCCGUUUGUGAUAUAAAACGAUUGAGUGCAUUAAUCCGACCGUUCAGCCUUUGUACUUCUCUGAUUGUGCAGGCGGCUUCCAUAUCAAGGAUAGCUUGGAUUUUGUCGGGAUUAGGUUUGAUCCCGUGCUGACCUACAUAGAAACCAAGCAACUUGCCUUCCUUGAUUCCGAAUGCGCACUUGGAUAGGUUGAGCUUCAUUCCAUAUUGCUUUAGUGUAUCAAGGGUUUCUCUCAGAUCAUAAGGGUGUUUUUCCAUGCUUGACGACUUGACUAGGAUGUCAUCGACGUAAGCGGAAACAUUGCGCCCUAUCUGGUCCGCGAAAACCUUGUCCAUUAAACGUUGGAAUGUAGCCCCAGCAUUCCGCAAGCCGAAUGGCAUUACUCUGUAACAGAAUGUCCCUGAGUCCGUGAUGAAGGAUGUUUUUUCCUCAUCAGGCUCAUGCAUCAGGAUCUGGUUGUAUCCUGAGUGGGCAUCCAUCAUAGAGAGGAGCUCGUUACCGGAUGCUCCAUCGACUAGUUCGUCGAUAGAUGGCAAUGGGUAACUGUCCUUAGGGCAUGCUUUAUUGAGAUAAGUGAAAUCAAUACACAUACGCCUCUUGCAUUGGGCUUCUAGACAAGGACGGGGUUGACCAACCAAGUCGGAUAUCGAACCUCUCGAAUGUGCCCAGCAUUCAGGAGUUUCGAUAUUUCCUCAUUGGCUGUUUCCCACCUGUCAGAAGUGAGUACUCGACGUUUCUGGCGUCGAGCUGAAAUGGAUGAGUCGACGUUAAGUUUGUGCGUCACAAUCUGAAGCGCAUUCUGUGUCGGUGCCUCACCCUCCCAAACGAACCUGUCCUGGUGCUCCUCCAGGACAGUCAAAAGCUUGGCUCUUAAGUCAGAGGGUAACCCCUUCCCUAAUGCCAUUUGUCCCCCUUUCAGCAGAAAUACUUCAGUCUCGUCCACAGGUUGUAAUUUCUCCCUUUCCUCAAUGUCGGGCGGGGCAUGGACGAGCAUGUUGUUAAGCCUGCUCAGCUGGGUUGCCUUCUUAUACCCCUGCCUAGAAUCCUUUUGUAAUCCUUUGACAGUUGCAACGAACCCAUUUGCUGAGUAUCGAAUGCAUUGGUGAUAAGAAAACGGGACUGCUUGGAUUUCGUAGAUGAAGGGACGUCCGAAUAUGCCAUGAAAAGUGGAUUCUACUUCCACAACUAUGAAAUGACACGUUCGGCUAACCCUUCCUCGCUUGGAACCGAUGGAGACUUUCAAAUCAAUAACAUCGGCCACUGGGGCGGCGAUGUUAGUGAAACCAUAGAUGGCUUCCUUACAGGGAGAUAGUUCAUCCCUUUUAAGGCCCAUCUUGGUAAAAGUGUCCAUAUAAAAAAUAUCCACAGAGUUGUCGUUGUCGACAAUCAUCCUUUCGACUCGGGAAUUGGGACCGAUGUCUGCUUGGAUCACGAGUGGGUCCUCGUGAGGUUGCAGGACAUAUUCCAGGUCCUCUUCGAAGAAGAAUAUUGACUUCUCCUCGCGGACCCGUUUUUCGUUGUCUCGAGGUGUUGAUUGUGACAUCAGCACCUUUCGGGCAUAUCCUCUAUUUUGGCCAACAGAUCCACCACCAAAUAUCAUAUUGAUGGUCUUCCGUUGGCGAUCCUCGCUGUUGUCGCUAUCUAGCGAAGGAGAGCGUGGACGUUUCCCCUUUGGGUCAGAUUUGCAAUUGCCAAGUUCUCCCUUUGAGAUCAAUUGCUCGACAAAAGACGAGAAUUCUCUGCAAUGGUCUGUCAGGUGGCAGCAGUCCUUGUGGAAUUUACAGUAUUUUCUAGAUUGUGUGCGGCCAUCUUUGCUUGCAGGGUCUGAACGAGGAGCAGGCAGAUCCGCUCGGUUCUUUAGUUUCUCAAACAGCUCGCCUUUUCUGAUUGUAAGCGGGGUAUUUUUUCUCCACAGUUGAGAUGCACCCUUUGGCGGUUGACUGGUUGAGGUUUGGUACACCUUGUUAUCGUGCCUAGGCUUCCACUCUUUUUUGGAAGUUUCAGUCCUGUUGUCGGUAUACUUGUUAGAGGUGCCGUGGAAAUUGUUGUUUCCACUAUACCCCUUCCUCUCAAACUUUUGUUUUUUGAAGCUAGGAGUCCCAAGUUCAGCUAGCUUAUUCUCAUCCUCUUCUUCCACUUCAAUGUACGAUUGAGCGCGUUGGAAGAGGUCGGGUAGAGAGUCCACUUUAUGGAGAGUCAGAUUCUGGGCCAGAGGAGAGAAGGGGAGCAAUCCUCUGACGUAUCCCGCUAUGGCCACACUUGGGAUUAGAUCAUUCACUUAUGUCAUCAUUGUAGUGAAUCUAAUCGUGUAAUCCCGAAGAGACAGCUUAUCCUGUCGAAGUGCCAGAAGUGCGUUGGCACUGUGUUUAAUCCUUAUCAUCCCCACAUGCUGGGCGAUGAACUUUGACGAGAGGUCUGCGAAAAUGGUGACUGAGCCAGCUGGCAGACCGGAUAACCAUCGAUAAGCAUUUUCCUUGAGAGUGUCGGGGAAUGCCCGACACAACAGUCCAUCAUCGAUGGUUUGCGGUUCCAGGAUAUUAAGGUAGAGGUUUACGUGAUCUUUUGGAUCAUUUGAACCAUCAUACGCUUUAAUCCUGGGUACCCGCCAGGUGGGUGGAAAAGAUUCCCUCAAAAGGUCCUCGUGAAGAGGAGCACUUUUGAUCCUUAGGAUCUCGUGCGGAUUGCCGACAGCUGGGUCGUUGGCCAGUUUCCGACGAAGAUCCUCCACGAACCGAGUGGUAAGAGUCCUUUCGGAGCGACACUUACUAGGUCCCGUCUUUGUUUUAAGACGGGAACUCUGUUUGGUUUUCUCCGCAGAUGGAGAGUAAAUGGACCCAGAUUCAUCCGCUCUCUCACGGAUGGUGGUCCUUUGACUCCUCGCUUGCUCGAGGUUAGUCAUCCUUCUUUCUAUGUUGUCCAUAAAGCUGAACAACCUUUCUUCCAAGGUGGGAGGAGCCUUGGGCACUAUGUGUUCCUCGAAAUGUGAAGGAACCGAGUUUGUUUGGUCUGGUUGAGCAUUAUCGGGUCUCUUUGGUUGAGACUGCUCGCCCUGCUCCAGCUCGAUUGCUGGCAUUUUACCCUUACUUCUCGUGGCGUAAGGGUGCUUUUGUUUUUCGAUGAUGGCCAUAGAAACAAAAGUGGGGAAGUUCCAAAGCGGGGAGGUGACCUGACUGAGCUUGUUCGAAAAACAAAGAAAAAUCGGUGAUUUAAAGGUCUAAAUCGGCGACUUUAGAUUUUGAGGCAUUUUCGAACAAAGUCGUGGAUAGCACUCUUAGCUAUCAGACGAUAUUCCGGAUCGGGCGAUUCUCAAGGCUAAGUCGGCGAUUUAAGAAUAAAUCGGACCUGAGCCGAGAAUCGGCUAUCGAUCUAAAUCGGCGACUUAGUUGACAAAGUCGGCGAACCCUCUGGGAGAGCUCGAGCCGGAUUUUGCAAAAAAAAUCGCGAUUACGACGGGAUACCGGUGGUUCGGUAGUCCCACAGACGGCGCCAGCUGAUGAAGCACUGAAUCUGCUACCAGGGCUCGCGGUGGUGCGAGGUGAUGCUGGAGGCUCUGGAGUCCACGACGCGCGCUCUAUGUCAAAUACCUGCAAGUAAAAACUAGUCGAUUCUAGUGAGAAUCGGCGAGUUUCUUAGUGAUGCUUUGGUGAGAGUGGAACUUGUGUUGUGCCUUUGAGUGUCCCCUUGGGAUCCUUUUUAUAGGGUCUUGGAGGGCCCGAUCAAAGGCGGAUAUCGCGCCUAUGGCCAUAUAUGGAAGCAUUUAUGGCGUUGGCUGGCGGUGAGUAACGGUCGUAAGUCGGCGAUUCAGGUAUGGAAAUCGCCUAUUUAGGGCAAACUUGUCGAGUUUCCAGGGGCGAGAUGUGCAGUCUACCAUACUGCUGAUUUGGGCCCUAACUCGGCGACUUAUCCCUAAAGUUGGCGACUUGGUAGUCCAAUCGCGACUCAUGGGUUAACUCGGCGAUUUGGACGAUGAACUUGUUCCGCACCGUGGGACCUCUCCGGGGGUCAGGCGUAAAGCGACGGAACCCUAGUCCUUAUUGAGGCGUUGCUGGGAGUGACUGCCGUAAUCAGGCAUGUCUCACCAGUACUCCCCCCUGAAGAGAGCACAAGAAACAUGCAUGUAUCGCCAGUCAUAAAUAUUCCUGAAGAGGAGGCCUCCUUCUAGUAUGCGAGUUCUUAUUCUUUAUUUUAUAAAUAAACCUUUAUGAGUGUAUAGGUCUUAUUUAUUCAUUUUUAUCGUAGGUGUAACAUCCCUUAAUGGGAUGUUAACGAUUCUAAACUAAUACUUAAUUUAUUUCACAUAAAAGCAUACACACAUGAUGGUGAGUACAACCAUGUAAAAACAAGUGCAAUAAUAUGGGUCGAACAUGUUUAUAAGUUUAAGUAUCAAUAUCUAAAAUAUGCACGUUUCAUAAUCCAUCUAAAUAAUAAUCUCUAUCAUAGAUAAAGUUUAACAAAGUAACAAAACAAAAAAAACAAAACUCAAUUAACUUCGCCCCUUCACCGUCGUGCAUCUUUUCAUUGGUUCCAUCCUAUCAUACAAUGAACACAAAGAUGAGUGAGUUAAAUAUUUCAUCGACUCGGUAUGGGUUCACUAACGUCAGCCACAUCACAUAUACAGAAUCAUAAUCAUUGAAAUCAAUGAGAAUCAGAACAUUUUACGCUAUUAUAUAACACUCACACUGUAAUUGUAAUUCACCUCCAAUCAAUAUUAUCCAUUUUCACUCAAGUAACACUUCACUUAUUGGUCACAAUAUUACACUCACUAUUCCACAAUAUAAUUAAUACAUAUCAUAAAUCACUCGCUCAUCAACCAUAUAACCCUUCCCUAAUGCAUCUAGCCCACAUGCAAACCGAUGUAGAUAAUCUAAGAGAAGCAAAUAAAAUAUGUCGUGGUAAACCAUUUAGUUACUUCACGAAAUGGGUCGAAGCAAUAGCUGUACCCAAAACCACCUAAGGUGCGGCAACCAAAUUUGUAUUCAGAUGCAUCAUGUGCAGAUUUGGCGCACUUCUUCACAUAGUCACAGAUAACGGGACACAGUUCACAGGCGGAGAAUUCACAAGGUUAUGUGAUAACAUGUGCACAAAGGUGCAUUUCUCAUUGGUGUGUCGGCCACAAGGAAACGGAAAGGUAGAGGUCACCAAUAGGGCAAUUGUUCAAAGACUGAAGAAGAAAGUCGAACAGGCUAAAAAUUCAUUGGCUGAUCUACUUCCGGAGAUCCUAUGGGCCUACCGAACUACGGAGAAAACACCUACUGGUGAAACCCCAUUCUCUCUAACAUACGGAAUGGUGGCGUUGAUAGCAAUAAAGCUUAGUGUCCCCACAAUCAGGGAGCUAACAUACGAUAUGGAAGAAAACAUGAGAUCGUGUGCCACAACCCUCGACAUGGUGGAUGAGUUGCGAGAUAAUGCGCAGGCCAAUAGUGCCGCCUACAAGCAAAGUGUCGCCAAGUAUCAUGACAGAAAUGUGAAGUUAAAGAAUAUAAGGAAAGGGAGCCUAGUCCUAAGAAAGGUAAGUAUAACCAGGAAGGAUUGUUCUAAAGGUAAGUUAGAAGCUAAUUGGGAAGGACCCUACAUAGUAGGAGAAGAACUCCAUCCCGGGACUUAUAGACUAAAACGGGAAGAUGAAAGUUAUAUUUCCAACACCUGGCACGCUGACAAUUUACAGUUAUACUUUUAUAAGUUACAAAACUUACUAUCUGGAGAUAAGGUAGAUAUAUUUGUAACUAUUCUUUUAUAGUUGAAUUCUUUUUAAUCAUGUUGCUUAUAGAAUUUUAUUAGAAAUUAACUUAAAACAUUAAAGUGCAAAAAUAUUCAGUGUUAAAAAUACAAAAAGAAAAUGGCAAAAGGUGUUAGAAAACAUCGUAAAUAAUAGGCAUUGUCAGUAGGAGGGUCAGCAGGAGGAUCUUCAGUUGUGGCAGGAGGAGCGUCAGUCUUUGAAGCGGUAGGAACAUCAGUCUUCAGGUUAGCAGGAAGUUCAAUAGUCUUCAAAAGCGAUUCUAUUGAAACAAGCUCUUCUUGCAAAAUAUCCAUCUUGUCAAAAACUUUUUCAAGUUGAGGAGGGGCUUCAAUCAUAAGAACUUCACUCGCAGGUUCAGCAUUAACCGCGGACCAUUCCAGUCGAAGUUUGUCGGCUUCUUCCAGUUGAUCUGUAACCCACUUGAGGACUUCUUCAGCAUCAAACUCUGGAUGCAUAUGAGAACCAAACUGAACCAAGUUGUUAUCAUCAGUGAUGUUCUUCUGAAGUUCAGCUCGAAGAAAGUCCUCAUUUUCCGCACUUUCCCUCUGAAGGUUAUUCAGCUCCUCUGUCUGCUCAGCGUGUCUAAUUAGGAUGUCAUCAGCAGAUGUUUGAUUAGCCUUUGAAGCAUCAAGUUCACUUCUAAGCUGAAGGAUCUGUUGAUCCGCUGCCUUAAGAGAGGUACCAAUUGAUUCAGCAAGUGUCUUUUGAAUGGUUGCUUAGGCUUCAGAAUUGGUUCUGGAAGUUUGGGCAUCGGCAUGUUCAGCCUGCAUCUUCCUGUUCUUCUCCUCCAAAUCCUUGAUAUGAGUAUCCUUAGCAGAAAUAUCUUGAAUCCGCAGUUUUGGCCUCAGAAAGCUUUAAUUUCUGCUAUAGGGAGGUGAGUUCAUCAAGGAUUUGGUGAGGAUUCUGGAUUUUGCCCAGAGGGGCAAAUCCUCCCUUCCACAAAUGAUCAAGCUGUAAUAAAGAAUAAAGUUAGAAAAAUUAGAAUAAAUAAAAAAGAGCAAAGGGAAUCUUAUUUUCGCCAAAUUUUGGGCCAUUUCUUCGACCAGCUUGUCCAACCCAUACAUGGAAAUCCUCUUUAAGGCAGCUUGACUUGCAGCAGUUUCAGGAACAAUAGGGGUUUUGCUUCCAUGAUUUACUGGGUGAUAACAUUCAUGCCCCGACAUUUGUUCAUCGUGAGUAGAUUGGUAGGAAGGUUUCGACAAAGUCUCCUUCGUAGAUAUAGGAGGUUGUAAAGCUGAACCCUUCUCAAAAACACGUUGUCUCUUUAUCGGAAGAGCAGAAGUAGGUAGAAUAGGGGACCUCUUCCUUGAAUCAUUAGAGUGUUGAAGCUGAACAGGGACUUAAUAAACAACCUCGGGAGUACGAAUUUCUCCCAUCUCAAGUUCAGUGGAAGGCCCCUGAAGAAGUUUGGAGGCAUUCAUUUUCCACAACCUCUUCGUGUCAGAGGGCUUGCUAGAAUCAGGGAAGAGCUUCCCCCAACUUGUUUUUGACUGAUGUGGUCAGUCGCACCAUCAGAAUAAUGCUUGAUAUAUUCUGCAUAAAACAAUAAAAGGUUAGUAAAAUAAGAAACAUAAACAGAAAAAGAAUAAGAAUAAAAAUAUUAUUAACCUUUACGAGUAAAAGUAUCCUUAUUAGCUUCACAAAGAUGGAUGGCUUGGGGAUACUUUUCACUCAGCAAGUUGACCUGUUCAAGCUCCUCAAAACUAAGAAUGGGAUUAAGAACAGGGUUACGAUGCUUAGCCAAUACAGGUGACAGCAUAGUAUAUGGGCACAAACGUGCAUCGAUAAAAAUAAACUCAUUUUUUCUUCUCCUCGUAGGAGGGUCACGAAAAAGGGAGUAGUGAUAAGUAGAAGCUACUCGACUCGAACAAGAAAUGAGUGUUUCAGAGUGGGAGGCAACAGAAAAAGAAAAUAAUGAAUAAAUAGAUUAAAUGUAGGUUUAAUAUGUAAGUCUCGAAGGGUAUUUUGGAAACCGUAAUCAUAGAAAAAGAAAGCCGUGCCUAGCUAGUUGGGAUAUACAUACGCCAGCUACUUUCAAAUGAAGCAUGGGAUAGGGAGAAUAGGGAAAUUAGUAAAAUAGUAUUUAGGGAGGGCCACCAUAUAAUAGGGCGCCACAUCUCCCGUAAAUUCGUCAGGAUGGAGCCAAUAAACCCUCUCCCUCGACUCAAGGCUCAUUAAAACUUUAAUCGAUGCCUCUUUUGACAACCGGUUUGUAGAAACACGGCUCUCAGGCUUGGAGUAACCAGUGAUUAAAGGAGAAAUUGAUCUUAUUGAACCACAGUCCACCCCAUAUGACUGUUCCCUUAUUUGAGGAGAAACACAAUGAUAGUUAUGGGGACGGAUGAAAUAAACACUCCAUUUUUUCCGACUCCUGUUAGGCUUGUUAUAAAAAGAUGGAGCAGGAUCCCCAUUGUCUUCAUCAAUCGGAUAUGGAAAGGGGUAGGGGUUCCUAGAUUUCUUCGGUUUCUCUAGGACAAACGAAGGGGGAUCUAAAAGGAUGUCAUCUUCGGUUACCUCCGACGGCAGUCCAACAUGAGAAAGAGGUGGGACAAGGCUACGACAGAUAGCUAUGUCAUCAGGGGUAGGUAUACGUUCGUCUUGCGAGUCAAGCUCAUUUAUGUUAGCCUCCCCAUCAGACUCACUACGACUUGUACUCGAAUCCUCAGCACCCCCAGAAUGGGCAGGUUUAGGACUCUGACCACUAAUAGAAAAGGAGGCAGAUGCCUCAGAACCAUCAGAAUUUCUCACGUUAGGAGAAGAGUCAGGGCCUACAAGAAAGGUUAAUAAAUAAACUCUACCCAACGAUAGAAAAAUAAUAAGGGUAGGAGAAACUUACUGCUAGGCUUACUAGGUUUGAGAGGCAGCAUCGUCUUUAAGUCCUUAUUUUGUGAAGCUGCCUUCGGCGGUGAGAUCUUUGUAAAAGAAGAGCCCCUGGGCAGAGUUUCAGCAGAUAUGUUCAACCCAUAGGCCUGGAUAGUUAUAGAAACACCCUCAACCACAGAGAUAAGCUGGCGAGAAGUAUCCCCCGCAUCAUCUUUGUACCUCUCGGCCCGACUCUUUUCAACGUAAGCCUUGGAGAGCUUACUUGUUUGAUCCUUUCCAGUAGAUAUGGAUAGCAGAAAGCUGCAGUAAAAAUAAAGGUCAGAAACUUAGAAAACAGAAGUCGACAUUCACAGGAGUCGAUAUUUAAAAAUCGACCCUAAAAAAGUCGACGCGAAAAAGAGGUACUCUCCACGAGUCGACUUACGAAGGUCGAGCUCAAGGAGUCAACCCCGCCCUCAGGGAAUACUUCAGAGGAAGUCGGCCAAAGGAAUCGACAGAAAGAAGUCGACCCACCAUCCGAAAGGGAAGAAUUCUAAAAAGUCGACCGCGCAGGUCGACCCUAGGGAAAUCGAACCCCUAUCCGAGGGUGGGACGACCACCAAAAGUCGACCCCAAAAGCCGACUCUAAGAAGUCGAACCCAAGAUAGGGUAGAUAUGACUCCAAGAAGCUCGACUUUGAAAAGUCGGGCUCAAGGAAAUCGACCCCUUUUUCACAGUGCAAGUCGAAUCCUUACAUUGGAAAACUCGAGCAUUGAGAAGUCGAGGACCGGAGUGAGAAAGUUGAGCUAGGAGAUCGGAGAAUGCGGAGGAAUGAAGUACCCAACCCCUCGCCUAUUUAUAGCCAAAAGUCGAGAAGUUGAAACGUCACGGGCCAGAUGGGCCUAUUGGGCUCGAAAACAGGCCCAGACUAGGCCCAAAACACUGCCACCCGACAUUCCAAUACUCUAGCUCGACAUCAUAAAUCCAACGCUCGACAACGUGAUUUUAACAUCGGUCGAUGCUCGACGGCUCGACAUUUUGAAAAUGCGGCUCGACAUCUGGACCGUAGAUUUGAAAAUCACGGCGCGAGAUUUUGACAUCGGUCGAUCCUCGAAGACUCGACAUUUUGGAAAUGCGACUCGACAUCUGGACUGUAGGUUUGAAAAUCACGACGUGAGAUUUUGACAUCGGUCGAUGCUCGAAGGCUCGACAUUUUAAAAAUUGGCGAUACAGUAUCCCGAACUUAGUCACAACGCACCAGCAACUAGAGGUUCGGAUAACCCAAGAUGAGUUAAGACACCUAUUCCGGGUUUAGGGAGGUCCCACGUCAACUCCUGGGAAGAUCGACUUUUCUAGAAGUCGACUUCUGAAAAAGUCGACGUCUGGAAAAGUCGAUCCCAGAAAGUCGACCUGGGACCAGAUCUGGUCAGUUAGGCGGUUAGACCCAAAUGACCAGAUUACCCCCAUAAAAAUCCUAUAAAUAGGAGGUACCUCUCACUCAUUUGGGUAAGUCAUUAGGAGUGGAGAAGUCCCAGCGAAGCAGAGUUCUGAGCAACUGAGUCCCGACCUGAUUUCCUCACGGAAUUCCCCGCCUGGCGCUUGUUCGAAGCGUCGUCGAGCACUGGUCAGGUUUUACCCUCAUCAGGUGGCGCUGUCUGUGAUUCAAAGAUACUUACGACAAAAGAUCCUUGACUUUUGGAAAAAGAGUUCGACUUUUUUCCCAAGUCGCCAAUCGGGGAGCCGCGUCUGGAAAUCACCCCACUGAAGGUCGACUUUUGCUAAAAAAGGGUUCGACUUUUUUCCAGAGCAAAGUCAACUUCUCUGAAGGGAAACUGCUUCUCCAACUCGGGAACUGACUUUUCUUCAAAAUGUCAAGUUCCUCAGCUUUCAGGAAAAAGCUCCUCCAAAAGUCGACUUUUCUCCCAGGGAUGGACUUAGACCUUUUGAAGUCGACUUUUCUCCCAGGGAUGGACUUAGACUUUUUGAAGUCGACUUUUCUCCCAGGGAUGGACUUAGACUUUUUGAAGUCGACUUUUCUCUUAGGAAUGGAGUUAGACUUUCUCUCAGGAAUGGAGUUAGACUUUUUGAAGUCGACUUUUCUCUCAGGAAUGGAGUUAGACUUUUUGAAGUCGACUUUUCUCCAAAGAAUGGAGCUAGACUUUUUCCAAUGGGAAUUGGGUAGACUUAUGUUAAAGGAAUGAACCUCGACUUUUCCCAAGGAGCUCAAUCUCUUUUUGUUUUUUAGAAAUGGUAAGGAUAUUUCUAAAAAAAAAGUAUGGGGAUUUUGGCCAUUUAUGGCUUUUCCCAAACCAUAGUCGUCAUACCCAAGGCCACGUAGGGACUUUGGACCUGAAAUUUUGUCAACUGAUAAAUAAAAAGAGUAUGAACAGACCUAUGAGGUGCAGGUCUCCAAUUCAUAAAUGAUUCAUCCCAGGUGGAUGUUCAGACAUAUACUCCUAAAACUGGUCCAAAUUUGUUGCAAAAUUGGAAAAUUUUGGAAAAAUUUCAGUGAAUUUUUUUGCUAUCCCACAAUUUUGUCAGAUGAAAGUAGACUUCAAAAGAGGCCUAAUAAUGCGAUUUAAGUUUUAUUUUUAUUCUUUAUUUUUUCCUAAUCGCAUGAGGUCAUAAUAGGUAUGAACUUCGGAUGUUCAUAAGUGACUAUACCUUAAUCAAAGUUCAACAUUGUGACUGAUAGUCAAUGCUCAAGUUCGACAUUUUUAGUUCUGGUCAAAAUUUAAGACCGGCAUUUCGACCACCAGGUCAGAUAAAUAGUUUCAUUCCGUAUGGGAAAAAUAAGGCUAAUAUGUAGUCUACUCAAGCUAUUUCCUAAACCAAAAGGAAUAUUUUUUACGUGCAAUACCAACAAACAGUCUUGCUGUUUACAUCAAACUGUCCCAACAGGUUAAUCAAACUAUUAAGGUGGGAUAAAAUGACAGAAGUCAUUCAUAAAAAGAACUUUUCUCAAAACCACUGGUACGUGAUACAAUUUUCAUAAGGAGGGUGAGAAUAGGACAGAGAUGAUGUCAGAUUCUUCAUAGUUCUCAAUAAACACCCACUACUAUAUUAAUAGUAUCACAUAACAAGGAUGAUAGUAUGGACAAACAUUUCAUACAGAGAUAAGAAUCUAGGGCUAAAUAUCUCAUUCCUUGGGAUAGUAGUAUUAGUAACUUAAUGGUGUGUUCCAAUUCAUAGCACCCAAUAUUUAUAAGUUCCUAGACAGCAAUAAUAAAGCACAAUCCCAAGGAGGCACUCAAAGAAUUGGUCUACACUUUCGUUAGUAUACUAAACCUCCACAUCGUCAUAUAAUGUGCAUACAAAGGAUGGAGUUAAGAAUCACGUACCAAAAGUUGUAGGCAAGAAUCCUGACAUUUUAAGGGGGAUAGGAUGUAUUAAUUGGGCAAGUUCGUAGCCCAUAGAAUAGAAGAGCAAAAAUACUUGUAGCCCAAAUCUGAAAUAAAUACAAUCCUUUGGUGGUGUAAAGCCUCCAAAUUCACGAUACUCAGAGAAAUCCCCCCACAUCCUCGGUCAAUGUUCGAGGGCUCGACAUUUUUCAAUAAUGCGGCUCAACAUUUGGACCAACGGUUCGAAAAUCGUAGUUUUAGAUUUUAACCUUGGUCAAUGCUAAGAGGGCUCGACAUUUUGACUUGGUCAACAAUGCGGCUCGACAUUUGGACCAACGGUUUGAAAAUCGCGGUUUUAGAUUUUAACUUCAGUCAAUCCAGCUAGAGGGCUCGACAUUUGGACCCAACGGUUCGAAAAUCAUAGUUCUAGAUUUUAACCGGGAUUGGUAGUCCCUUUUUUAAUAUGGAGGUUAGAAAUUGUUUGAUCAUCCCCACCAUCAACAGGUCAGGCCAAAUUUAUAUUUGUCGCCCAAAUUUAAAUGGGUUGAAACCUUAGUGGUACCCACGGUUAUGCAAAGCAUGGCAAGCAAAACUUACAUUCAAGUGCAUUAGGUACAGAUUCAAUAUCCCUAUAUAUAUAGUGAUGGAUAAUGGGACAAAGUUUAAUAGUAGGGAGUUUACGUGAUUGUGUGACGACAUUGGCACAAAGAUCAAUUUCUCAUCGGUAUACCGACCACAAGAAAAUGGGCAGGUAGAGGUCAAGAAUAGAGAUAUUAUUCAGGGACUGAAGAAAAAAGUCAAACAAGUCAACAGUUCUUGGGCCAACCUAAUCCCACAGAUCCUAUGGCCUACAGAACCACUGAGAAGAUACCCACUAGCAAAACCCCUUUCUCACUGAUAUAUGGGAUGGAAUAACUCAUACCAACAGAACUUAAGAUUUCAAAAAUGAGGUCCUAACAUAUGACAUGAAUGAAAACAUGAGAUCAUGUUUCACAACCCUAGAGUUGGUAGAGGAGUUACGAGAUAAUGCACAAAUAAAGAAUGUUGUUUACAAACAAAAUGUAAAAGAAUGAUCAUGAUCAGAGCAUUAAAAGUAAAAAAAAAACAAAAAGGGGAAGUAUGGUCAUCACAAAUACAAGUGUCACUCCAAUAGAAUGUUAAAAGGGAAAACUCAGAACCAACUGAGAAAGACCCUACAUAGUGGGCAAAGAGCUUCAAUCCUGAACCUAUAGGUUAAGGAAGGAAAGCAAUUAAAAUUCCCAACUCCGGACAUACCAAUAAUCUACAACUAUGAGAAAGAGUGUUGUACAUUACGAAAUUUUUUGUAAUAUUGUUACACGUCAACUAGCAAUAUAUUACAAAUAUAAAAGAAAAUGAUUAAUAUGACUUAAUCAUCAUCGCAAGGGGUUAACAGUUAUAUUAACAACAUACAAACAUCAAUCGAAAAUGAUUAGUAUGACUUAGUUAUUGCCUUAUAGAAAUUAAUAUAAUAAGUCAGAUUAAUCAUCACGAAAAAUAUUAACUUAUGACCUGGGUCUAAGUUAUCAUCAUUGAUUCGUUCAAAGUUCGUAAAGUGUUAUCUUGUUACCAAAACUGCAAAGUUCAGAGGAGCAAGGCAGUGGGUAACAAAAAGGGAUGACAUCCUAUACAGAGCAUUCCCAGAAAUAUUAAAAGAAUCUACAUACAUAUGGUUUGUAGAUUUACAACCAUAAAGUAUAACAAGUUUUGCGGACCUAAAGAAAAUUCUUGGCCCAACACUGUGAGAACGCAAGAUUCAGAAAAGGCACUGACUCACUUUUUUGCGGUAAGUCAAAACGGAGAUACACUCCGAAACUAUGACAACAGGUUUACAGAAACUAUUUCAUCUACACACAACCAUCGUAAUUUACACAUACUCUAAAGGGUUAGAUAUGAACACUCCAUUGGCCAUAGAAUUAAAUAUAAGCAAUGUAAAAUGUCUAGAAGAUCUACUAAAGACCAAUGUUUAGAAGAUUCAUAAUAUAGUCAAUCUACAUGAGGUUCCACUAGUGAUACAGGUAGACAUAGGGAAUGACCUAAGCCUGAGUAAAGUCAUGGUGGACAAUGGUAGCUCAGUUGAUAUAUUGUACCUAGCAGCAUUCGAAAAAAUGGGCUUUAAGGUAGAACAAUUGACCCCAGCCAAGGAGGCAAUAUAUGGGUUCACGAAUACGAAAGCCUCAGUUGUGAGAACCAUUGACCUACAAGUAUCCUUAGGAAAAAAGAAUGGAAGGGUCUCACGUAUGGCACACUUCAUCGUAGUCAACGUUAACUCUCCAUUCAACGGGAUCUUAGGCAGGCCAAGUAUUCAUGGAUUUAAAGCAAUUCCAUCAUCAUAUCAUCAAUGUUUGAGGUACCCAGGAAAGGAUGGUAAGAUAGCGACAGUCUUUGGAGCGCAAAGAGACUCCUGGGACUCCUACAGAAAGUCAACCAAAAUGGCCAAGCCAACAACCUUAUAUAUCCAAGAAAGAGAGGAUGAGGAAGAUACACCACCGACAGGCCAGAUAGAGGAGGUAAAGCUUUCAAGAGGAGUACUCAUAGGUACGUCUAUAUCCUCCGAAUUGAAAAAUUCCUUACUAUGUUUAUUAGAAACUCAUAUCGACACAUUUGUGUGGGAGGGUGAGGCACCUUCACAGGUACAACACACAAUAACAUAUCAUGAGCUAAACAUAGACACCAGCUUCACUCCUAUCUGGCAGAAGCGAAUAAUACUCGCAGCCGAAAGAAAGGAAGCAGCACAAGCUGAAAUAGAAAAGCUGGUUAAAGCUAGACACAUAUGAGAAGUAAAAUACCCAUGGUGGCUAGCCAAUCCGGUUAUGGUUAAAAAGUCUAAUGGAAAGUGGGGGAUAUGUGUAGACUUUACAAAUCUUAAUAAAGCAUGUCUAAAAAUAGCUACCCACUCCCAUCCAUCGACAUAUUGGUAGAUGCAGCCUCAUAAAAUGAAUUACUAUCCAUGAUGGAUGCGCAUUCAGGCUAUAAACAAAUUCUAAUGAAAGAAGAAAAUGAAGAGGCUACAUCGUUCAUCACUGACUAGGGAAUAUUCUGCUAUAAAGUCAUGUCUUUCGGACUGCAAAAUGCAGGAGCAACCUUUCAAAGGCUCAUUGAUAAAGUUUUCAAAGAGCAGGAAAGAAGAAAUGUUAUGGUUUAUGUAGAUGACAUCUUGGUAAAAUCCAAGAAAGCAGAAGAUCACCCAGGUGAUUUAAAAGAAAUAUUAGAAACUUCACGAAAGUAUGGGAUGAGGUUAAAUCCUUCAAAAUACAGCUUCGGGGUUCAAGAAGAAAAUUUUCUUGGGUUCUACGUAGCACAAAAAAGAAUAAAAACAAAUCCAAAAAAGUUAGUGGCUAUCUUAGAAAUAAUACCCCCUUGGACUAUCAAGGAGCUAUUGAAAACUAGCCAGAAAGGGGUAGUAACAUGGACCCCAGAAUGCGAGCAAGCAUUUCAACAAGACAAAGCACAUCUGGCAUCAUUACCUCAUUUGACUUCACCCAAAGUUGGGGAAGAAUUAUAUAUCUAUGUAGCAGCUUCAUAAGAAGCGAUCAUCACAGUACUAAUCUGUCAAAGAGACAGUGAGCAAAUCCCGAUAUACGAUCACUCCAAAAGGUGUAAGGGGCGGUCUGAAGAUUCCGUGCAUAUCUUUUGGCUCACACAAUCAACGUCUUGACAGAAUACCUGCUUCGCAGAAUACUCCAUAGGCCAAACACUUCUGGAAGACUUAUGAAGUGGACCCUGGAGUUAAGAAAGUUUGAUGUAGAUUUCGUCCCCGCUACAACCACCAAAGGGCAAUAGCAGAUUUUAUUGUAGACAUGACUCAGGAAAACAAAGAAAAACCUUGAAUAGUAGAGGUUGAUGGGUCAAGCUGCACCACUGGCGUAGAAGUAAGAAUAAAAAUAGUCACUUCUGACCAAAGAAUAUACGAAUGCUCAGUCAGAUUACAGUUCUCAGCCACAAACAAUAUGGCAGAAUAUGAGGCUGUGAUCCAAGGCAUAAGAAUGGUCAAAAAACUGGGAGCUUGCUCAGUAGUCAUCAGGGCAGACUCUCAGCUAAUGGCUCAACAACUCACAGGAGAGUUCACGGUGAAAGAACCCCUAAUUACGCAGUACUCAACUACACUAGAAAAAAUGAAGUUACAAUUCAGAAAGGUAGAAAUAGAACAAGUCCCGAGGAGUCAGAACAACUCGACUGAUGCUCUAGCAAAGCUUGCGUGUCCGCUUUCGAAGGGGGGCAAAGGGGGAUACUAGUUGACUCACCUCUACACAUUCGUGCAACCUAGUCACGGUUCAAGCACCCUUGAUAGAAUAUUUCAAAGGGUAGAAACUUCUAGCUAGAGGACAAAAAUGAGUAGCGCAAGUUACAGACACACAUCCCAGAUUCUGCCAAAUCGGGGACAUUCUGUACAAAAAAUCCUAUGAUAGACCUCUAAUAAAGUGUGUCUCAACAGAUAAAGGACAACUCAUAGUAGAGGAGAUCCAUCAGGGAGUAUGCGGGAUACACCAGGGAAGAAGAUCUUUUGCCUAAAAAUAACAAGGCAGGGAUACAUUUGGCGCACAUUAAAGAAAGAUGCAGUCCUAUUCGUAAGAAAAUGCAAGGCCUGCCAAAUUCAUAAGAAUAUCCAAAGGAAUCCCUCCACUCAACUAACAGGGGUAGAAAGCCCCAUUCCUGACUAAAAUGACAAAUCCGACUAACUUUCCCUCGCCUAAAACCGAUGGAGACUUUCAAAUCAAUAACACCGACCACUGAGACGGCGAUGUUAGUGAAACCGUAGAUGGCUUCCUUGCAGGGAGAUAUUUCCUCCCUUUUAAGGCCCAUCUUGGUGAAAGUGUCCAUAUAGAGGAUGUCCGCAGAACUGACACUAUCGACAAUCAUACUCUCGACUCGGGAAUUGGGAUCGAUGUCUGCUUGGAUCACGAGUGGAUCCUCGUGAGGUUGCAGGACAUCGUCCAGGUCCUCUUCGGAGAAGUAUAUUGACUUCUCCUUGCGGACCCGUUUUCCGUUGUCUUGAGGUGUUGAUUGUGACAUCAGCACCUUCCGAUCAUAUCCCCUAUUCUGGCCAACAGAGCCACCACCAUAUAUCAUAUUGAUGGUCUUCCGCUGGCGGUUCUCGUGGCUGUCGCUAUCUGAUGAAGGAGAGCGUGGACGCUUGCCCUUCAAGUCAGAUUUGCAAUUGUCCCGUCCUCGGGGUCCCAUGAUAAAGUUUCCAAGUUCUCCCUUAGAGAUCAAUUGCUCGAAAAAGCCUGAGAACUCCCUGCAAUGGUCCGUCAGGUGACCGUUGUCCUUGUGGAAUUUGCAGUAUUUUCCACCUUUUUUACGGCCACUUUGGUUGCAAGGUCUAAAGAACGAGGAGCGGACAUAUCCGCUCGGUUCUAUAGCUUCUCAAACAGCUUGCCUUUUCUGAUUGUUAGCGGGGUGUAGUCCCUCCAUGGUUGGGCUGCACCCUUUGGCGACUGCUUGGUUGAGGUUUGGUACACCUUAUUGUCGUGUUUUGUCUUCCACUCCUUUUUGAAAGUUUCAGCCGCAUUGUUGGUGUACUUGUUAGAGGUGCCACGAAAAUUGUUUUUUCCAUUGUACCCCUUCCUCUCAAAUUUGGGUUUUUUGAAGCUAGCGGUCUCAAGCUCCGCUAGCUUACUCGCAUCCUCCUCUUCCACCUCAAUUUACAAUUGAGCUCUAUGGAAGAGGUCAGGCAAGGUCUUCAUUUUAUGGAGCUUCAGAUUCUGGGUCAAUGGGGAGAAAGGUAUCAACCCUCUGAUGUAUCCCAUUUUCGGUAUCAACAGGCCAGGCCAAAUUCAUGUUUGUGGCUGUUGACUAAUUUACAAAAUGGGUCGAGGCUCGGAUAGUACCCAAGAUAACACAAAGCACAAUAGCUAAAUUCGUCUUCAAAUGCAUAAUGUACAGAUUCGGCGUUCCUAUGCAUAUAGUGACUGACAAUGGGACACAAUUCACCGGUAGGAAGUUUACGAGAUUGUGCGCCGACAUUAGCACAAAGAUCCAUUUUUCAUCGGUAUAUCGACCGUAAGGUAAUGGUCAGGUAGAGAUCACAAACAGGGCAAUUGUUCAGGGACUAAAGAAAAAAGUCGAACAAGCCAAAAUUGUGUGGGCCUAUCUACUACCAAGAAUCCUAUGGGCAUAUGGAAACACAGAAAAAAUACCCACCGGGGAAACCCCUUUGUCACUAGCAUACGGAAUGAAAGCACUGAUCCCGACAGAACUCAGUAUCCAAACGUCAGAGUCUUAACAUAUGACAUGCAAGAAAAUACAUUAGAUCAUGUGCCACAGCUCUAGACUUGGUGGAUGAGUUACGGGACAAUGCACAAGCAAAGAAUACUGCGUACAAGCAAAACAUUGCUAGAUGUCACGACAAGAAUGUCAAAGAUAAAGUAAUAAGGAAAGGAAGUUUGGUUUUAAGAAAAGCCAGCAUCACUCGUAAGGAUUGCUCCGAAGGAAAACUAGGAGCCAAUUGGGAAGGACCACACAUGGUAGAGGAGAACUCCGACCUGAAACUUACAGGUUAACAAGAGAAGAUGGAACUUACAUUCCUAACACUUGGCAUGUAGACAACUUACAACCAUACCUUUAAUCAUUUUAUAUAACUAUUAAAUAAUAAUAUUUUUGAUUAAUUCAAUCUGAGUCAAUAGUUGACCAUUGUAAUCACUCAGAUUAGCGACAAAUUCAGCUUGGACCUCGUUUAAAGCACUUUCCAACUCCUGGUUUGCUUUAUCUUUCUCAACCAAGGAAGCAUUAAGUUUGAUAAUGUCAGCUUUCUUCUCAGACAGUUGUUGUGCCAGAGUAUCAUAUUUCUUCUGAAGUUCUUCUUGAUCUGUAUCAUCUUCUGAAGCCCGCUUCAUUAUAUGAUCCCGCUCAUCCAAGACCCGGCGAAAAUUCUCAAUGACAGCCUUCAAAUCACGCUCAAUAACAAACAAAUUCAGCUCAAACUUGGUCGUUGCAGUAGUUAAUUCAAGUAACGUUGGAACCAUACACCUAUAUAGAAAUGGAACCACCACCGAUAACAGGGAUGACCUGAAAAAAGGUAUCACCCGCUUCGUCCUUGGACCUCUCGGUCCGACUUUUCUCAGGAAAGGCUUUAGAAACUUACUCAUACUAGUCCUUUUUGGAGAACAUGGUAGCAAAAAGCUGCGAGAAACAAAGAAGUAGGAGUUAAAAGCAAUUCUAAGAAAGCUCCCAAAAGAAGUCCAUGGAACACUUCAAAAGAAGUUAACCGAAGAAGUUGACAAUAAGAAGUCAAACCCAUCCUCGAAAAGGGAGGACUCGAUAUUUCUUAUGUUAGUAAGAAGUCUACAUUCAGUUCGAGAUUUUAAUCUCGGUCGAGGCUCGAGUCCUCAACAUUCUGACUUGAUCAACAUUUCGACAUUCUUGAAAGGAGUCAAACAUCGAUAUCCUUCCCAAGGAAAAGCAGAGCUCGACAUUUUUAAGGGGAGUCAGACAUCGACAUCCUUCCAAAGAUAGAGCAGAACUCGAUAUUUUUCAAAAGUCAGAUAUCGACAUCCCUAUGAAAGGAGGGCAGAUCUCGAUAUUUUUUCAGAAUUCAGAGAUCAACAUCCCUAUAGAAGGAGGGAAGAUCUCGACAUUGUUUCAGAAGUCAAAAAUCGACAUCCCUGUGAAAGGAGGGAAGAUCUUGACAUUUUUUCAAAAGUCAGAUAUCGACAUCCCUAUGAAAGGAGGGCAGAUCUCGAUAUUUUUCAGAAGUUAGAGAUCGACAUGCCUAUGAAAAAAGGGGCAGAUCUCGACAUUUCCUCAAAUAGGACAAAAAGUCAACAUUCAAAUAAAAUUCGACAUACACUCAUCAAAGAACAAGGUAUAAAUAAAAAAGAAAAGAAGUAUACCUUUAUUCAGAAAAAUCUAUGAUUACAAGUAAUAGAAAAGAAAUAUUACAAGUUCCUAGUUAAAAUUAAUGCAACGGCGCAACCGCCUGGGAACAUGAUUCUACGGAGACCUAACACACCUGGGACGUCUCCGAUGUUGGCCACGAGAAGGAGAAACAUAAGAAGUUCCAAUAGAAAGGUCCCCAAUAGACCAAUCUUCGAAAAUUGACUCAGAGGUCGAUUUUUCUGAAAUCAACACAAAAGCUUGACUUUUUCAUAAGAGCUCACCAAAGCAGGGGGAGUAGAAAAAAUACCCCUGGAAUCUUGAAAAUCAACAAGGCAGGGGGUAUAGGAAAAAUACCUCUGAUAUUUUUGAAAAAAAUCACCAAGGCAGGGGGUGUAGGAAAAAUACCCCUGAAAAUUUUGAAAAGAUCACCAAGGCAAGGGGUGUAGGGAAAAUAUCCUUGGAAAUUUUGGAAAUAUCACCAAGGCAGGGGGUGUAGGAAAAAUACCCCUGAAAAUUUUGAAAAGAUCACCAAGGCAAGGAAUGUAGGAAAAAUACCCCUGAAAAUUUUGAAAAAUCACCAAGGUAGGAAAAAUCAGUCUCCGGAAACGGCAGCAAAAGGGGCCUUGAAGGUGUAGGGACCUUUAUGGUCACACCACCAAGGAAAAAAUAACACCAAUGAUGGUACAGGGACAGAAUGAACUGUAUCACUCUGAGAUAUUUGAACUCCUACAAUUGCUGGACGCAGUAAUAAAGUAGAACGUUGAAUUAACUCCACCUACGGAAGCAGUAGACAGAGGAAGUCUUAAUGGUAAUAGGGUCAGGAAGCGUAUCCCAUUCAAAUCUACUCCACCUAUGAAAACAGUAGGCAGAGGAGGACAUAAUGACAAAACAUGCGCCCGACCUACGGAACAGUAGGCAGAGGGGUCAGUAUUCAAAAAUGAACUCCACCUACGAAAAUAGUAGGCAGAGGAGAGGAGAACAUAAUGGAAAAAUAUGCGCCCCACCUACCGAAGAAGUAUGCAGAGGGGUCAGUGUUCAAAAAUGAACUCCACCUACGAAAACAGUAGGCAGUGGAGGGCAUAAUGGCAAAACACGCACCCAACCUACGGAAGCAGUAGGCAGAGGGGUCAGUGUUCAAAAAUGAACUCCACCUACGAAAACAGUAAGCAAAGGAGGGCAUAAUGGCAAAACACGCGCCCCACCUACGGAAGUGGUAGGCAGAGGGGUCAGUGUUCAAAAUGAACUCCACCUACGAAAACAGUAGGCAGAGGAGGGCAUAAUGGCAAAACACGCGCCCCACCUACGGAAGCGGUAGGAAGAGGGACAUUGUUAAAAAAUGAACUCCACCUACGAAAGAAGUAGGCAGAGGAGGAUAUAAUGGCAAACCAUGUGGCCCACCUACAGAAGCAGUAGGCAGAGGGGUCAGUGUUCAAAAAUGAACUCCACCUACGGAAGCAGUAGGCAAAGGAGGACAUAAUGGCAAAACACGCGCCCCAUCUACGGAAGCAGUAGGCAGAGGGGUCAGUGUUCAAAAAGGAACUUCACCUACAAAAACAGUAGGCAGAGGAGGGCAUAAUGGAAAAACAUGCGCCCCACCUACGGAAGCAGUAGGUAGAGGGGUCGGUAUUCAAUAUUCAACUCCAUCUACAGAAGAAAAACUAACAAUUGCGAAGGGAAGAGGUACUCGAACAUUACUCGGUGACGCUUCAACAAGGUGUCCAGGUGGGCAAACAAGUUUCCGUUGGGAAAUCAGGCUAAACAGGCUGCUUAAAGGGAGCACUUCGACUGGGAGGUACCGGACAAUAGUUGCUAGAGGUACGUGACAACCUCUAAUGAAGUACAAAUAUAACUUUGCGGUCGGAAAGGGGGGGAAGAACUGGUGAUUUAGGAUUAUAAAUCCCUGGACAUCACCAACUGGUGAUGUAGGAUUACACAUCCCUGGAUAUCACCAGCAAUUCCCACCCCAGCACGCAAAGAGGGGGGAAUACUGAUAGUACGAGGUCCGACACACAAACCAUGGUACUAAAAGUCGUAUCCCAAAAUAUCUAACACAGAGGAGGUGGGAGUACUAGUGAUACAGUAUCCCGAACUUGGUUACAACGCAUCAUUAAAUAGUGGUUCAGAUAGCCCAAGAUGAGCUGAGAUAUCUAUUCUGGGUUAGGGGAGGUCCCAAGUCAACUCCUGGGAAGAUCGACUUUUCGAGAAGUCGACCUCUGGAAAAGUCAAUCCCAGAAAGUCGACUUGGGACCAGAUCUGGUCAGUUAGACGGUUACAACCCAUAUGACCAGAUUACCCCCAGAAAAAGUCCUAUAAAUAGGAGGUACCUCUCACUCAUUUGGGCAGGUCAUUAGGAGUGGAGAAGUCCCAGCGAAGUAGAGCUCUGAGCAACUGAGUCUCGGCCAGAUUUCCCCAUGGAGUUCUCCGCAUGGCGCUUGUUCGAAGCGUCGUCGAGCACUUGUCAAGUUCCACCUUCAACAAAAAUGCGGCUUAACAUCUGGACCAUAGGUUUGAAAAUCACGGCAAGAGAUUUUGGCAUCGGUCGAUGCUCGAAGGCUUGAAAUUUUGAAAAUACGGCUCGACAUCUGGACCGUAGGUUUGAAAAUCACGACGCGAGAUUUUGACAUCGGUCGAUGCUCGAAGGCUCGACAUUUUGUAAAUGCAGCUUGACAUCUGGACCCGUAGAUGUGAGAAUCAUAAUGCGAGAUUUGAACGUCAGUCGACGUUUAAAGGCUCGACAUCUUAAACAAGUCUACAACACGGCUCGAUUUCUCGAUCAAAAAAUAAAGAGAAACAACUCGACAUUUCGUAAUACAUGUCGAUAUUUAAAAGAAUAUAUCAAUACAAGUUUCUAAUUAAAGUUGAUACGACGGUAAAGCCGUCUAAGAACAUCAACUAUGGGACAUCUAGCACAACUGGAACGCCUCCGACGGUGACCACGUCUCGCAACCAUAGCAGGUUCCCUAAGAGAAAGUUCUCCAACAGACCACUCCUCGAACAAGGUUUUCCGAGCAGCCACAACAAUACUCUGCUGCUCCAAAAUAAUCUGACAAAGAACAGGCAGAUCUAAAGCAGGUGCACGAGGGUCAAGUAAACCUAAAAUUUUGUUAAGCUCUUCGAUCUCUCCCCGCACAAAAUCAGCAAAGAGACUCACAAGAAGAGCCAAGUUUGAAAAGAGUAAAGGAACUAGACACCUAUUUAUAUGGGUCAAAGAAAGCAGGACCAACUUAAAACGUCGACUAGAGAAAGUCGAGGCCAAAAAGUCGACCAUAGGAAGUUACGGCCAUAAGUCGACCUCUUCUCAAAAGUCAACCCCUUUAAAAGUCAAAUCUAAAAUCUCACCAAGACAGAGGGUGUGCGAGAAAUACCUCUAGAUGUUCACCAUGUCGGGGGAGGGGGGUGUACGAGAAAUACCUCUGAAUUCACCACUAGAGGCGUGUUCUGGUUAAAUACCUCUGAAUGUUUCACCAAGUCGGGGGGUGUACAAGAAAUACCUCUGAAUUCAUCACCUAAGGGGUGUUUUGGCUAAAUACCUCUGGAUGUUCACCAAGUCGGGAGGUGUACGAGAAAUACCUCUGAAUUCACCACCAGAGGGUUUUUUGGCUAAAUACCUUUGGAUGUUCACCAAGUCGGGGGGUUUAUGAGAAAUACCUCAUAAUUCACCAUCGGAAGGGUAUUUUGGCUAAAUACCUCUGGAUAUUCACCUAACCAAGGGGUAUACGAGAAAUACCUCUGAAUUCACCACCAGAGGAGUAUUUUGGCUAAAUACCUCUGGAUAUUCACCAAGUCAGGGGGGUGUACGAGAAAUACCUCUGGGAUUUCACCAAGAAUGAGGGGUGUACGAGAAAUACCUCUGGAAUUUCGCCAAAACAGGGGGUGUGCGAGAAAUACCUCUGGAAUUUCACCAAGACAAGGGGUGUACGAGAAAUACCUCUGGAAUUUUACCAAGACAGAGGGGUGUACGAGAAAUACCUCUAAAAUUUCACCAAGACAGGGGGUGUACGAGAAAUACCUUUGAAUUAUCGCCUGUCAAGAAAGUGAGUGAUAAAGGGCAAGGGAUCCGACCAAGGCUUGGUUACGGGCUUAAGCAGACAACGUUCAAAGGAUCAGGAAUAGGCUCGCACGGAAAGUGGCUCGCUCACUUCGGUUGCUCGAAACAGGCACUAGCAGGGGAGGGGGGAACCCCGAAAACAUAGGUUAUGCAUCAAACCCUACGAGUACGAGAACGGGUCUCCUAUCGCUAUGUGAGGGGAACCCUUUGAAUUAUCGCUUGUCAAGAAAGUGAGAGAUAAAGGGCAAGGGAUCCGACCAAGGCUUGGUUACGGGCUUAAGCAGACAACGUUCAAAGGAUCAGGAAUAGGCUCGCACGGAAAGUGGCUCGCUCACUUCGGUUGCUCGAAACAGGCACUAGCAGGGGAGGGGGGAACCCCGAAAACAUAGGUUAUGCAUCAAACCCUACGAGUAUGAGAACGGGUCUCCUAUCGCUAUGUGAGGGGAACCCUGGUGAUAGCGGGAUAGGGAUCCCCACCAUGAUGAGCGAAGGAGGAGGGAGUACUAGUGAUACACUAUCCGAGACUUGAUGAUGACACCAGCAAUCAGAGAUUGAGAUAACCCGAAAUGGAUGGUGAGUACCUGUAUAGGCAAUGGGAGGCCCUAAUCGACUUUAUGAGGAAGUCUAUCCCUGCAAGUCGACUUGUGCCGAGUCGACUUCUAAGGAAAUCGAGGGCUAAAGUCGGCUUGGGGAAGUCGACCUGGGCCAGAUCUGAUCAAUUAGGCAGUUAGAGCCCUAAUGACCAGAUUACCCCAUAAGGACCCUAUAGAUAGAGGUCAGUUCCACUCAUUAGGGUUAGGUUGAUUCGAGUGAGAGAGAACCCCUGCCAGAGUGAGCCUUAGUGACUGAGGUGGCCAAGCUAUUUCCGGCGAUGUACCUGGCCCAACGCUUGUUCGAAGCGUUGUCCGAGCACUGAUCGGGAUCCACCCUUAUCAAUAAGAUUUUUUUCUUUUCUGUUUUCAGAUUAGAAGCAGAAAUUACUUUUGAAUAAAGUGACUGAAAUAAGCUAAAAAAGAGGGCAUAUAUAUUCUGACUCUGAUCUGGAUCAUAGUUCUUGAAACAAUUAACUAAAAUUAUGAGAGGGUUUCCCAUCAUAAACAGCCAAUGGGAUUUUAUCCUUUACAUGAGAUUAGAUAAUUGUUUUUCUGAUGAACUACAGAUUACAACACCUGGAGAAGUCUGAAAUCGAAGACGUCUUUGAACUUUAUAAAUGUUCAUUCAGGAUAUGCAAUAUUUAGGGAAGGAUGUUAGAUACACAUGUCAUUAGUCUUGAUAAAAGUUACUUUCAGUUAUUGUACAAGUUUAGUAUAAAUAAACUUGUAUAGCUCAUUUGUAAAAUACGGAUUGUAUUUCAUUUUCUCAAUACAAGAUUGGUUUCAAAUUAUACUCUGUUUAGGAAUUUAGAAUUGAUUGUUUGAAUACAAAUAAUAUAAAUGAUAAACGAUUAUAAUAAAGAAAUAGUAUUGGAUGAUCGAUAACUAGAUGUGCUGAUAUCUGGUGUAGCGAUAAUUCGGUGAGCGACUAUAUAUGAUAAUUGAACACCGAUGACUGCACGGAAACAAUCUGGUUUGCGGUGAUAUAGAUCUUCUUGCCAUAACUUCCUUAUAAAUAGGGAUCCAUAUCCCUUAUUUUUCUCAAACCAUGGCUCUUUGCCGAUUUUAUGCAGGGAGAGAUAGAGGAGCUAAAUCGAAUUUUGUAUAUUCUUGAUUCUCAUGCUUCUACUUUGGAUCUCCCCUCUCUACGCCAAAUUAUUAUUAAGCGUCAUAUCCAUACUAUUGCAACCCAAGAGUCUAUAUUCGAAGAAUGGAUUGUUGGGGAUCUUGUCGUUGAGGUUCUGCUUGUAGCCCCAGUCCCAGCUCCUAGUCAACGUCGGAGUCGUGAUUGACAUGCUCGACGUGCUAGGUCUUUGCUGCCUUACCUUCCAAGGAGGCGUAUUAAUUUUACUUAGGAAUUGUAAUUUUUGUUUUUCGAUAUCUAUAAACUUGAUUUUAUGAAUAAAUGACCGGGUUGACUUUUAUAAGUCUAACUCGGUAGGCUAAAUUGAAAUUUAAUUUUUUCGAAUUGUUUACAAAUUUUUGUCCAGUUUGACUUUUUCAGAAAAUCGAGCUCGAUUUGGCCUGGACUUUGAAAAGUCGAACUCCAAUUUACCUUGUUUUUUGGAAAAGUAGAACUCGUUUUUUUUAAGUCGAGCUCAACUUUGUCUGGAAAGUCAAAAUAUCGAACUGAAAAGUCAAAAUUAGAAUUAUAUCUAAUUUCUUGAGCCAGGCUUACUUCUAGGCCCACGAGGUCCAUGACGUUUCAUCUUCUCGACUUUUUUUAUACUUCGUAGAGCAGAUGAAUUAUUUUUCACUUUCACUAUCAUUCCAGAGCAGUUCGAUUUUAAUUUUCCUAUUCGACUUUUCUCCAAGUUUGACUUUUACUUGCUCGAAGUAGCUUGACUUUUCAAAUGAAAGUGUUCAACUUAUAGUUUGAAUAAAUACAGACUGGGAUCAACUUUCUUAGAGUCGACCUUUUGAGGUCGACAUUUCUUGAAGUCUUUCCAAUCUGUAGAUUGGGAUCGACUUUCUUGAGAUCGACUUUUUGAAGUCUCCUUUUCUUGAUGUCUUCCCAGACUGUUAUCACUUGAUUUGAGCUCGACUUCUUGAGGUCGACUCUUUUAAAGUCAUCUUUCUCAAGAUUCUUCUCGAUAUGGAACGUUUAAAGUUGAUCGAGGUCAACUUCUGGUCAGGCCGAAUUUUUUUCGAUAUUUUUUUAACUCUUUUCAUGUUUUCCUUUGCAGUUCAACUUUAAUCAUGUCUUCUGGGAAAAAUCAGACUAGUAAAUUGAGAAAGGCAUAUAAAUAAAAUAGAAGGAGAGGGAUGCCUCAAAUGAGGCUAUCAUAACUGCUGGAGGUACCAUAUCGAUACAAACGUAUGGUACCAAUCUGAGUGAGGGGGUCCUGGAUCCUCUCUACCAUCAACCCAAUGCUAUACCUCUUCUAAUGCCACUGCCACCAAUUGAAGUGGAAGAUACUGGGUUAAAGAAAAUGAUCGAAAGAGCUCGUCGGCUCCAGAAAUCUGCUCUGAAGAGGCCUCCUCUAGUAUGCAAGUUCUUCUUUAUUUUAUAAAUAAAUCUUUAUGAAUGUAUCGGUCUUAUUUAUUCAUUUUUAUCGUAGGACCUAGCUCUCCCAAUUUGACCAAGAGUUCUAAUCCGGAAAUUGAGAAACCUAACAAGGUCUUGACCUCUUCCUCUUCAUCUGACGAAUCCGGGAGUAGUAGGAGUUCUAACUCUAAAACCUAUAGCUUUACUUCCAGCAAAUCGUCGGAGGAGUUUUGGGUUAUCCUCCGACGUGAACUUGACUGGAUUGAGUUCACAAGAGGAUAUACCUGUCGAUAUGAACAUAUCGCCUAUUCCCGAAGACACUAUAGAAGUGGAAAACCUUGAGUCAACAUUAAUCUUGUACGUACCAUCGGAGAUUUCUAAGGUUAACAUUCACGACCCCUUAGACAUGCCCUAUAAGGAUUCCCGUACCAGUAAGGCCUCUACUCCCUACCCCUUCGCCAAUCCUAUCAAUGAGGAUGUGGAUGGAAGUUUAGCUCCCUCUUACUAUGAAAUAAAGAUAGUACACAACGUAAGUUGCACCUUUUCCUAGUAGGGAACUUUUAUAAAUUACAUAUGAAGUAUGAGAACAGCCUUUUGGGUGGGAUAUAGUUCCAUUUGAUUAAUAUUCUAUAAUAUUCCCCAUUACUCGCUAUUGUCCAAUCUGAACACCCGCACGAACAAGUUGUCUCCGGAAGUGUGUGUGAAAAUUUUAAUAUGUUUAGAACUGAGGGAGAGAUUGUAUUGGUUGUACUCCGAUGCUAACACCGGUGAUGCUCCCCCUUUUACAUGUUCCUUCUCCCCAAAUUUUAUUUUUACCAACUUCCCUAUCCUGCCCAUCCCUAGGUUUAUCAGUGAGAUUUUAGGAUUAUCUGGAGUGUGCAUAUCGCAGUUGGGUGCUACUUUCUAUUUGUAUGCACACGCAUUCAUGAACAUCAUUAUAGAUUUAGGCAUAACCCUUACUGCCCGACUCUUCUUCUAUUACUUUAGCUUUUCCUCUGUCCCUAAAUCUGACAUUUUAAUAUCUUAUUCGAGUCGAGUGGUAGUUUCAGACCGGUUUCCACUGCUUAAGGAACUAUCGUCUAGGAUGAAAAUAGAUUAGUUUCUUUUUAUAGAUCAAGAUUAUGUCCAUUAAGCAUGGAAAUUUCUAUGGUCACGAAAGAUCGUAGACUCAUUCCGAGAAUAGAGUUGUUCGAAGAAGAGUUAAGGAUAGUGAGAUGGCUUAAAGACAUAUAUGAUGUGACUAUCCUUGUCUAUGAGGCAAAUAAGGAUUCAUUUAAUAGUGAAGGUAUUAUUACCUUGUUUAUUUCUAUAUCUCUUUUCGUGUCUAACCUUUUAUGCUUAUGUCGUAGAUUUCUUUAAAACAUACCCUGGUGGAGUUUCUGAAAGGAUUAAUCAAAAGCAGACUGGAAGAAAGUUAUAUUCUCAUAUGUCUGCGAGGCUUUCCGAUGCUCGGAAGCUGGUAGCUUCUAAGAAGAUAAUUGUCGAGCCUUCAAGAGGUCGAGAAUAAGGAGAAAUGCCUCCAUCUUCUUCUGAUGGUUCAAAGCUUGGCAAGAUUCUUUUCAAAACGAAGUCUCCCCUUUUGACGACUAGACAGCUCGAAAAGAGGAAGAAAAUAUUCCAUCCUGGAUCAUCUUCGCAAUGACCGUCUGCUGUUAACAAGCCCUGCAUACAAGUCUAUCAAAGAAUUCCAGUAUCCAGGCAACAUGGGCAAUACGACUACCAAUUAUGGCAAGUCUCCCAUCGUAGAUGACACUCCCGCCAGCUCUGUCGCACCUAUGGGAUGAAUAAACUGAUUGGCGAAGUUGCAUAAAAUUUAGCAAAUGUAAAUUAUGUAUAUCUUUAACUUAGGCUUGUAUUUUUCUUGGACGUAACCUAAUUAGUUGGGUAUCGAUGAAACAAUUGACUGUAUCAAGAUCAAGUGUGAGGCCGAGUAUAGGGCUUUGGCUCAUACAACCUCACUCAUAAGGUGGUGUUGUUACAUCUUAAGAGAUUUAGGGAUACAAAUUGAUAGAACACUAACAAUAAAAUGUCAUAAUCAGUCAACAAUGUUCAUCGAAGCAAACCCAAUUACAAAAACACGAUCAAGACAUUUGAAAGUAGAUUUUUACUUUGUUAGAGAGUUGAUACAACAAGGAAGUCUAAGGGUGAGUACAGAAGAUCAAACGGGAAAUAUCUUUACAAAAGGCUUAUCAAUUGAAAAUUUCAACAAGUGUUCAACAUUGAUGAAUUUGGGGUCAGUCUUAAGCUAUGUUUUCUUUUUAUAUUAUUUGUUAAUGUUUUGUUGCUAUAUAGAUAUACUAGCUUAUGUGAACAAUAAUUUCACUAAUUUUUUACUUUAAUUUUUUUACUUUUUAAUUUUUGAAACGAUUUUAUUAAAUAGUGCACGUGACCUUAAAAUUAAAUAAAAUGAAGGUAAUAUUCUUGAAAAACAAACAAUAUUAAUCAAUUCAUUAAAUUACAAUUUAUUUAUGUAAUUUGAAUUUUAUUUAUUUAUUUAUUUAUAUGAUGGUGAUAUGGAUUAUUAAUUGUUGAAAAUAGAAUUAGAAACAAUUAUAUGUAAAUUAUAAUAGACGAUUAGACCAUGAGCGCCCAUAUAUAGGAGAAACGAUGCAGAUGAACAUUGAUUAAUUGGCAUUGCCGUAACCAGAACCCGAUCCACUGCCAUAUCCGGAAGCAGUACCGUUUCCUUUACUCGAAGCACUUCCACUGCCACCACCUCCACCACUUCCGCUCGCACUGGUGUAACCAUUGUACGUUGAGGUGGAGGCAGAUCCAGAUCCACGACCAGAACCAGAUCCGUUUCCGCUUCCAUUUCCAUCACUGGAGCCACCUCCACGGCCACCUCCGUUUCCACCUGCAUUUGUGUAACCCCCUCCGUACGUAGUAACCGCCAGAAUUGUACCCAGAUCCACUGCCAGAUCCAUUACCAUACCCAGUUGCACUUCCAUCCCCUUGGGAUGAAGCUCCACCUCUUCCGUUUCCAUCUCCAUUUCCGCCAGCACUACCACCAUUGUAAUAAUAAUAAGGAUAAUUAUCCUUGUACGAAUCGCCGUUUCCAUAACCUGAACCUGAACCAUAAGCACGUGCAGAUCCAUCGCCAUUGCUGGACGCCCUACCACCUCCAUUUCCAUUCCCAGAACCUCUAGCAUACGAAGUUAAGACUCUCGAUGCAGAGGUCAUGCUAACACAAAGAAUCAUGACUACAAGUGCAGCGACAUUCACCAUCGAAGAACGAGCCAUAUUGGCUAUAGCAAGUUGAUUUGGAUAUGAAAGAAAGAAACAAUUUGGAAUAAUGAAUGAAGUAAUAUGAUAUGAUAUAAUUUGCAUAAUUGGUUGGUAUUUAUAGACAUGAUUGUGUUGCAGAAUUCGAUUGCGAGCAUUAAUUUCCAGCUAGUUAUCUAUUUUUUACAUUUCCUAUUCUGAAUUCUUCGUCAAUUUCACUUCAAUAACAAACUUCUUGCAUUCUUUAUUGAAUUCAGAGAGGAAAUGAAGAUAUAUAUGUUGAAACAAUGAAAUCCCAUGAUUGAAGUAAUUGACUUAUGAUUAGGCUUAAUUACCAUUCCAUAAUUAAUUCAAACCUUUGACUCAUUUGUUAAUUAAUUAUUUAAAUCUAAUUACAACUGGUGGUCUGUUCGUUUAUUAUUAUUUCUUUGACUUUUGUUAGAUGCUAUAAACACACUUCCCUAUAUUAAUAAUUAAUUAAUUAAUUAAUUAGUUCCUUGAUUCAAACUUUAAUUAAUUACAACAUGCCAAUUAUGUAGAUUAUUUGAUUUCUUCAACCCAAUCUUUGUUAGGGAAUGAAUGUAUGCUUUAUACAUACUCCAUCUCCAACCCAAUCUGCAGACCCUUUAGAGGUUGAAUUGGACAAACCCUAACAUGACAUUCCUUAAUUCAAAGUUUUGAUUCAUUUAUUUAUGUCAAUUUAAUUACAUCUUGUAAACUCAUUUUGAUUUCUUUGACUUUUUUAGCCAAAGGAUCGAUGUACUGGAGAAUGAGAGAAAAACGAUCUUUCGUGACCGAGAUGGGCACUUUCUGCUUCCGAGUCAUGCAGUUUGACCUCCGAAAUACCGGGACCACCUUCCAGAGAUUGAUGGAUCGGAUUUUCGAAAGGCAAAUCGAUAGAAAUAUCGAAGUCUAUAUAUAUGAUAUAUACUGGUUAGAUGACAAAGAAUAGGAGACCAUCUAUGUACGAGACCUUGAAGAAACUUUUGAUAUCAUACGGAAGGUGAGCCAUGAGUUAAAGGUAAAAAAGUCAUUUCCUGGGAUUUUGGAUAAUUUCAGAUGGGAUAAAGCCAAGAAAAAAAUGGAAGCCAUUACGGCCAUGACCCAAUCAUUCUACGCCCCCAUCCCAGGGGGACGGACCCCUAACAAUGUACGAGGCCUUCUCCGAUACAGCCAUAAGCACGAUCCUCCGAUACAACCAUAAGCACGAUCCUCUGAUACAACCAUAAUCACGAUCCUCCGAUACAGCAUGAGGCCUGAUCCGACCUUCUAGGAUUUUGUUUUGCGUCUGUUCUUGGUCAAGUGGACCUCAUGCGAUGCCUCCUCCUGGAACUUUUCCAGUUUUCAGGUAUAUUAACCUAAUAGACUGGACAGUUUUCGAGUGGUUCCUCGACCUACGCGCGGUCCAUCUAGUUUUUCAAGUACCCCCCUCCUUUAGAUAUUUCCUUGCUCUCAGGUGCAUGUGCUGGCCUAUCAACCCAUACAUCCUUCGAGCGGUCCUUGGACCUAGAGACUUUAGCUGGUUCUUAAACGGAUUCUCCCUCGCAUCUUUCGUCGCCAUUGGGUAUGUUGGCCUAAUAGUAUAGAUGGACUUCGAGCGGUCCUUAGAACUAGGGUCCGUCUGGCUUUUCAACCAGCAGCCUUCAAACGAUUCAUGGACCUUUGGUCUGUAUGGAUUUUUGAAUGGUCCCUCCGAUCCCCCUGGAUAUUUCCAUGCCUUUGGAUGUUGGCCCAAUACGCCGUAUGACCUUCGAUCGAUCCAUGGACCUAGGGUUCAUUCGGAUUUACAAGAAGCCUCUCCCUUUGAAUAUUUUCUUGUCUUCAGGUGUGUUGGCCUAAUAUUUCGAAUGGUCUUUGAACGGUCCUUGGAUCUAGGAUCCAUCCGGCCUCUCGAGCGGUCCUUGGACCUAGGGUCUGUCCGGCUUUUCGAGCGGCCCCUCACCAUGCACAUUUCCUUUAGAACAUACAGAACCAAAUGUCCCUUAGGUCUGUCAUAUCCUCCAUGCAUAUACGGAAUGAGUGUAGGUAAUCCUUCAGGUCAGUUAGUCUCUCAGACACCCCCAACUUAGGGGCCCUCUAUCCCAAAAGAUACUCGUCGAUCAACAAGUCUUUCUCAAGGGCCUCUCCACCGCCCCCUGGAUGAUGGUCAAAUCGUUUUCUCCAUUAGAUUUCAAUGUAUUGUUCUUGUCCAUCUUUAAUUUCAUAAUUUUUUCCUGGAGUUGUCUUUGGCAAUCCUGGAGGCCUAUGAUGAUGGACAGUACCUUGUUAUCUGUUCGAUCUCGCCAUUCCCGAAAAAUAAUUUCUUCCUUCCGGUUGUUGGAUUGGUUGUCUAUAGAGAAUGAGGAUGCACCAAAGAAGGCCAUGGAGCAACCAACGUUUUGAGAAGUAAGUGUGGAGGUAGGAUUUUGGGCAAAUAAUGUUGUAAUUGCCUUGAGUAUAAGAGAGGUAUUUAUAUACACUUGAGGAUAACAAACCCACAAUUAUGUGAGUGGGGUUUGUUAUUGGUGAGACAUGCCUGAUUACGUCAGUCACUCUCAGCAUCGUCUUUCAACAAGGACUAGGGUUCCGCCGCUUUAUGCCGGACCCCCGGAGAGAUCCACAGAUAUGGGCAAGUGUCUACGUCAAAUACUCAAGUCAACAUUGGGAAUCCGCGACUGAGACUACCAAGUCGCCGACUCCAGAGGUGAGCCGCCGAUUCUAGGCCUCGUUGGUCAGUACUGGUAGACUGCCAACCUGGCUCAUGGGAAAUCGAUGGCUUCACCCUGAGUCGCCGACUCCCAGCCGUUACUUGACUUGACCCACGCUAUUAUGGCACCCUUAAUAGGGCACCAUAAUAGCGUGGGCCCCACGGGUAAUGAAUGAGAAACGUCCCAAUAGACCCUAUAAAAGGGGUCCUUGUGGGGUCCUCUCAUUCAUCAAGGAAUCUCUCCACUCACUUGACUCCACACUCCAACCAGAGAACCAAGGAGCCCGAGUCGCCGACUCCCACACCUGAGUCGCCGAAUCCCCUCCACUUCUGCAGGUAUUUGACGUAGAGCGCGCGUCAUGGACUCCAAAGCCUUCGGCCCUCCUCGCGACCCCGCGAGCCUACUGGUAGCAGAUUUAGUGCUUCAUCAGCUGGCGCCGUCUGUGGGACUAUCGAACUACGAUAUCCCGUCGUAAUCGCGAAUUUUUCUUCGCAAAGUUCGGUUCGAUUCCCUUAGGGUGAAUCGCUGACUUUGUGUCAAGGAAUCUCCGAUUCACACAGGCAAUCGCCGACUCGACCUAGUGAGUCGCCGAUUGCGGGUUAUUCUGCUAGCUAAGAGUGUUGUCCUCAACUCAGCUCGAAAGUCAAAAACCUAAGGCCAGUUGCCGACUCCACCUGUUGAGUCGCCGAUUCCACUUGGUUUCUUUCGAGUUAGUUCGGUCAAUACCUGCGCUUCGCACUACAAAAAAAAGUAGGCAGUUCGGACGAAGCAAAGUUAACGGAAUUUCCGUUACAAAUACUUAUUAUCAAAGUUAACGGAAUUUGUAACGGAAUUUCCGUUAACUUUGCUAUUUCCGUUACAAAUACUAGAACUUAUAUAUUGUAACGGAUUUUUUAACUAUUUUUAACUGAUAUUCCGUUACAAAUAACAAUUAUUUAAUAAUUUUCAUAAUUAGGGUUAGGGUAAGGUUAGGGUUAGGGUUAGGGUUAGAGUAAAUGUAAAUAAUUAUGGUUAGUGUUAAGGUNNNNNNNNNNNNNNNNNNNNNNNNNNNNNNNNNNNNNNNNNNNNNNNNNNNNNNNNNNNNNNNNNNNNNNNNNNNNNNNNNNNNNNNNNNNNNNNNNNNNGUUUAUUUUACAUUAAAAAAAUAGAAGAAGAUAUAAAUUAAAGUUAUUUUAAAUUAUAAAUCCUAAAAAAUAAAAAAUUAACAACUAGUGAUUUUUUUAAAAAUUAUUAAAAAUUAAUUACAACUAGUGAUUUUAAUAAAUUGUAAUAUUAACAACUAGUUGGAAUUCCUAAGAGUCAAUCCGGUCGUCAGCGGUCUGAUCGAAUUCCUAAGAGUUAAAAGCGCUCCUUUCCAAGAGGACCUUUUGAAGGUGGCCUUUCCACCAACCUGACGGGUACCCAGAAUAGAGUCGUACGAUGGUUCGGGUGAUCCAAAAGAUCACGUCAACCUCUACCUCAAUGUUCUGGAACCGCAAACCACUAACAACGUACUGUUGUGUCGAGCAUUCCCCAACACUCUCAAGGGUAAUGCCUAUCGGUGGUUUUCCGGUCUGCCAGCUGGAUCAAUCUCCAGCUUCGCGGACCUCUCGUCCAAAUUCAUCGCCCAACAUGUGAGGAUGAUUAGGAUCAAACACAGUGCCAAUGCACUACUGGCACUGCGACAGAACAAACUGUCUCUGAAGGAUUACACGAUUAAGUUCACUUCAAUGAUGACAAAAGUGAGCGACUUAAUCCCGAGUCUGGCCAUAGCGGGGUACACGAAUGGGCUAGUACCCUACUCCCCUUUGGCCCUGAAUCUUACGCUCCAUAAAGUGGAGACCUUACCCGACCUCUUGCAAAGAGCUCAAUCAUUCAUUAAGGUGGAAGAGAAGAAUGAAAACAAGCUAGUGGAACUUGAGAACACUAGCUUCAAGAAACAAAAGUUCGAGAAGAAGGGCUACAAUGAAAGGAACAAUUUUCAUGACUCCUCGAACAGAUACACUGACAAUGCGGCUGAUUCCUUCAAAAAGGAAUAAAAGCCCAAACACGAUAACAAGGUGUAUCAAACAUCCAUCAAACAAUCGCCAAGGGGUCCACCUCAACCAUGGAAGGAUUGGACCCCGCUAACAAUCAGCAAAAGCGAGCUGUUUGAGAAACUGAAGAACAGAGCGGAUCUGCCUGCUCCUCGCUCUAUGGACCCUGCAACCAAGGAUAGCCGUCAAAAAGGUGGAAGAUUCUGUAAAUUCCACAAGGACCACGGCCAUCUGACGGACUAUUGCAGGGAUUUCUCGCUUUAUGUUGAGCAAUUGAUUUCGAACGGUGAACUUGACAAUUUUGUUAAAGGAUCCCGAGGUCGAGACGAUUACAAGUCUGACACGAAGGGGAAACGUCCACGCUCUCCUUCGCUAGACAGCGACAAUAGCGAGGACCACCCACGGAAAACCAUCCAUAUGCUAUUUGGUGGUAGACCCACUGGAAGGCUAGCAUAACUGAGAGGAAUAGGAAUAAGCUGUCACCCAAAGGUCCCUGCAUCUGGCACACGGACAACAUACAUCAAUACUACGCUUAGUAUUGAACACGUUAUUCCUUAGGGCCUCUUAGUAUAUAUGUUAGUACAAAUUGCAAAAUAGAAUAAUCAGAUUUUACCUUUGUAAUUUGUAUUUCAAUAAAGUUUACAUUUAUCAUCUACCUACGACUCUAACUAGCACCCCACAUUAUAAAUCUAUUUUUUCGCUAUGGCCUUAAUAGAUUAAAAUCGUUUUGAUACAUUACGAUUCAACCCAAUCUUGUCGCUUCAGCCUAGAUAUGGGUCUAAAAAGUUACUCUGUCGCUACGGCCAGAGUUCAACCACGCAUUAGGGUCUAGAAGUAGAGUCCUAGGUAGUUGAUAGGUACAAGUGAACACAACCACGAGAGGUUCUAAGUACCCACCUCACUUACAGAAUCUAUUAUGUCGCUAUAGCCUUAAUAGAUUAGUAAUCGUUUUGUCGCUAUAGCCUUAACGAUUCAACCCCAUCUCGUCGUUACAAUCUUGAUGUGGGUAAAAUGUUGCUCCGUUGCUUCGGCCAGAGUUGAACUACAUAGUAAGGAAUCUAGAGUCUUAGGAUCGAAAAAAGUUCUAAGUGCUCACGUCACUUAGUCUAGAAAAUUCUAAGUCUUAGAUAAAAUUUCCAAGAGUUUUUUGUAUCUCCAACUCACUACGUCAAUUAGAUUUGCGAGUCUGGAUUAGUUGUAAAGUUUAAUCUAUUUCGCGAGUUUAGUCGUAGACUGAGCUACGAUUCGUACGACUAAGACUACGCCCAGAGCGGCUAGAGAUAGGGUUAGCAGAGUCUGAUUUACGUCCAGAGCGGUUAAAUUACGACUUGUGAAUCUAGUUUCGGGUCUUAGUUACAAUUCAAAAAAUAUAUUAAACAUAUAAUUAAUUUAGAAAGCAAAAUAAUUGAUAUUGAGUUCCAAAAGAUUACAAAAAAAAACAUAUAAAAAAUAUCAAAAGUUACAAGCUAAGAAGAAAUCAAAAAUCUAGUCUUCUUCGUCGAUCUUCAGCUUGUAUAAGUCAUCCUUGUACUUUUCCUUUUCCUCGGGAUCCUCAUCUACCCACGUCAUAAUACCCGAAAUAAAGUCUUCGGGUAGUGAUGGGAACAUUGAGGUACCAAAGAAGCUAAGUUCUUGGAGUUGAUCGGAUUGAUACUUUUUGUCCAACUCCAAGUCCUUAACCUUAUCCAGAAGUGCGGAGUUCUCCUUCUUCGCAUUUUCCAACUCCUCCUUAGAGCGAGAGAGUUGGUCAUUCAGCUCAGCACACUUCCCCUCCAGCUCAGAGUUAGUGUUCCUCAAGUUCGCGUUUGCGGCUUCAAAGGAAACUACAUUUCCAAUCUCAGUUUCUAGCCGAGCUCGCAUGUCCUGUAAUUCCUUAGAGGCACUCUUCCGUUCUUUACGGAGUCCCAAAAUCUGCGCAACAUAAUCGUCGAUUUCCUUCUUCUGGGAUUCAAUCGUCUUCUCCUUCUUCGGGAUGACGUUGUCUCUAAGAUUCUCUGUCUCUAAGAUUCUCAAAUUUUCUUUGGGCAUGGGCCAGCUUGCCCAGCUGCUUCUCGCUAUUCUUGUACUUGACGUCCAGCUCAUUGUAUCGAUCCUGAAUUUUCUGGACAUCAUUUAUCGAAUCCAUGCCAAAACAAGCAUGGGCCAUGUAGCAAGCCUACAUAAAAAAAAACAAGUUAGAAAACAAACAAAAACAAUAAGUAAAAAAUGUUUUCGGAAAGUAGAAGCACUUACAGUGUUCAGAGCUGUCAUGAGCUCACUCCGAACCCUUCUUCAGGAUUUCGCCAUUAAGAUGGACAUGGCAUCCGACCUGACUUGUGGAUCAGCCAUAAAAUCAGGAAGGGGCAUGCCACUCGUGUAAGGUGCGAAACCAGCCCGCUCAGGUGCGGCUUGAGAGCUUGAGCCCCUCUCAAACGUGCUCGGGACCUUGGGAGCCUUGGCCUUCUUUUCUAGUCUAACCAGCUUCGCACGUCGAUAUCUCUCGGCCAUGUGCAGAGCAGCAGCAUCGAAAUAUAGAAGCGUUCGCUUCUUUGCGCUUACUGUCUCUUCAUCCGUAGGAGGUUUCUGAACCUCCACAACAUCCUCAAAAGUGAAGUCCUCACGCUGGCAGAGGACAAAUGGCACGCCACGGGGCAGGCGGUGAGCGUUCAGGGCCUGGGUGAUCUUGGUGACGGCAAUCACAUCAUCCGCCAUCAAGCCCAGAUUCACGCUCAGCUUCGUGCAAUUCGGGUCAUCCCAAACUUCCCGACUCCCGGGAAGAAACUCAGAAUUGAUAAAAAUAAAUUCUUUCUUCCACACUCCAUGGUUAGUUGGAAGAUCGUCCAUUAAGUUGCGAUCGAGGUUUCGUCGCGCCAACCCGAGAAGACCCGAUCCAACCUUACCAUCCUUACUCAGCUUGUAUAGUUGAGGAAGAGGUAUGGGGUGGGAGUAACACCUAAACUCCAGCAAAUGUUGAGGAACCCUCUCAACGUCACAAAGAAUCCCGCUGGUAGCUGUGACAGCGAGACUUCAAAAGCAAGAAGCAAUUCACCCAUGAGCUCCGGAAUGGGCAGCUCAGGGAAAUGCUUGAAGUAUAUCUUAGGUAGAGCCUGGAACCCCGGUGGUGGAAGGUUCGCCGGCUGGUAUUUCGGGCCUCUUUCGCGCUGAUGAUUGAGGGGGGAUGCACUUCAGAUUGACACGCAAGCGUCGCCACAGUCAUAACUUCUUCAAAUCGACCCUCGCCCGAGUGGUCGAAAGGGAGAAAUUGCGUCGCGCCAUUGACAUAUGUUUCGCAAUGCGCAUAUCCGGUCUGAUUCACGACCCCAAUAUAGUUUGAGGGAUCAACAUCGGUAUCUCGACCUAAAUCCAUCUCGACUGGAGAUGGAGGAGUUCUUUCUCUUUCACGACGUCCCGCAUCUGGAGCAGGGACGGGAAUUCCACGAUCAAUGACGAGUUCCUCGUCAAAAUUUAUAUUUUGAGGAUUCUCGGUCUCCUCCUGGCCAGGCACAUAGAUUUUGCCUUUGCCAUGACCCUGUUGUCUCUUCUUCUUUUUCGAACCAUCGUCCUGAGAUGGUCGCUUAUUAGGGUUCAUCCCAGACACGAUGACACCCUCAGAAUUCACAACAAGUGGCUCAGAAUUUACAGUUGAAUCGUCCACUGUCAUGAUGGGAAUCGCCGACUCAACUACCAGAGUCGUCGAUUCAACUGGCCCAGUCGCCGACUCAUAUCGGAUAUUUAAGGCCUCGGAGUCAGUGGCCAACUUUUCCCUCCUCUUGAAGGAGGUCUUCUUCUUUGAAACCCUGGUAAUCGGCGACCCCGAAGUGGGAAUCGUCGACUCACCAUGGAUUUCUCCCUGUUCAGUUUCUGGCACGACUUCCGAAACCUUGUCCGGAAUCGUCGACUCCACAGAGGGAAUCGUCGACCCAGCCAGAGGCUCCAACAACUCGUGCACAGAAGCACUCAAAUGGUCGUCAGAAGGUGGAAUAACCGGAGUCAACGAUUCAACGUCUCUGGGAGGAGACGGAAUCGGCGACUCAACGGCGUUCAACACCUCGACGAGUGUCUCUUCUCCGGCCAUCUCCGCGAUCAUAGCGGCGGCCUCAGCAUCAGUAAGGUGGGGGGUUGUUCCUGCCAUCUCGGAGUUAUCGAUUCGAGUUCAAUUGAACUUGGGAAUCGGCGACAGAAGGAUCUAGGGUUUGGUAGGUAGGCGAUUCAAAAUUGGGGAAAAGUGAAGUGAGAAGUGUGAAGCGCUCACUACUAUUUAUAACCCCUGGAAAAAUUGCAAAAACCCCCUAGAGAUUCCGAAAAUUGCAAGGGAAGGAAUCGGAAAUCGAUCUCCAAAUCCCUGAAAUCAUGCCCGAGUCGACGAUUCCCAAGCUGAAUCGUCGAUUCCGGCCACUAUUUUGCAAAAUUUGAGAGAUAUAUUUCCUUACUUGGAAAAUUUGCAUAUAUCCUCCAAAUAUCUCUAAGAAUCUCCUGAAAGAUCCGACGUUUCACAGUAGUAGUCGACGAUUCCCAGAAGGAGUCGCUGACUCAAGGGGGGAAAUUUCAAAAACAACCCUCACAGUUACCCAAAACCUAGCAGUCAACGAUUGGGGCACCCAGUCACCGACUCAGGGUAAACAACAACACAUCUUCAGGAGAGAGUAUCGCAAGCCCUCUCCAACACUUCUGUCGCUUCGGCCAGAAGUCGUCACAUCUUCAGGAGGGAGUAUCAUAAGCCCUCCCCGACACUUCUGCCGCUUCGGCCAGAAGUCGUCGCAUUUCAAGAGAGAACAUCAAAAGCUCUCUCCAGCAUCAGGGUUCAAAGUUGCAAAGGUAACCCUCGAGUUUCGAAUAUUUAUCAGUUUCGAAUACUCCAAUACUUCAAAAAAAAAUAAAACCCACUCAUUCAAAGGGAUAUGUGUCGCAAAAGGCACGAUUUUCGAGAGAGAGUAUCACAAACUCUCCCGACACUUCUGUCGCUUCGGACAGAAGUCAUCACAUCUCAAGGGAGAAUAUCACAAACUCUCCCACACUUCUGUCGCUUCGGCCAGAAGUCAUCACAUAUCGAGGGAGAAUAUCACAAACUCCCCCGGCACUUCUGUCACUUCGGACAGAAGUCAUCACAUCUCAAGGGAGAAUAUCACAAACACUCCCGACGCUUCUGCCGCUUAGGCCAGAAGUCAUCACAUUUUCAAUACAGAGUAUCACAAGUCCUCCGGACGCUUCUGUCGCUUCGGCCAGAAGUUGUCAUAUUUCGAGGGGGAGUAUCACAAGCUCUCUCGACACUUCUGUCGUUUUGGCCAGAAGUCGUCAAAUUUCGGGGGGAGUAUCACAAACUCUCCCGACACUUCUGUCGCUCCGGCCAAAAGUCGUCAAAAAUUGAGCACGGUAAGAUCUGUCGCUUCGCCCAGAUUUACCAAGGAUCAAUUUGAGCAAAGGAGAGGCAUCAAGGAAGGUAAAAUCGUACGGUAAGUUCAAUAAGUUAAAUAUGCGUUUUGGACUGAUAUAGUUGUUUUGCAGGAUGUUUUCUUUUUUGCAGGAAAGGUUCUAAUAGUGAACCAGACUCUGAUAGUGAGUCAGACUCUAAUAGUGAGUCGGUCUAUCUCGUCGCUUCGGCCUUGAUAGACCAAAGGUCAUUUUGACGCUUCGGCCUUAAUGAUCUCAAGGGGGGAGUAUCACAAGCUUUUCCCGACACUUCUGUCGCUUCGGCCAGAAGUCGUUAAACUCCGGGGGGAGUAUCACAAGCUCUUCCCGACACUUUUGUCGCUUUGGCUAGAAGUUGUCGAAACCCAAUGGGAGCAUCACAAGUUCUUCCGACACUUUUGUAGCUUCGGCCAGAAGCUGUUAUAUUUUGAGCAUGAUAGAUCUGUCGCUUUGGCCAGAUCAAUCAAGGACUUAUUGAGCAUAAGGAGGAGGAGCACAAGAGGCAGCUCCACACGACAAGGUCAGUAAAUCAAUAAGUAUAUCCUUUAGACUGAUAUGGUUGUUUUGCAGGUUAUUUUCUGUUUUGCAGGAAAAGGUUCUAAUAGUGAACCAGACUCUGAUAGUGAAUCAAUCUAUUUUGUCGCUUUGGCCUUAAUAGAUCCAGGUCCAUUUUGUCUCUUUGGCCUUAAUUGACCAAGAAUUAUGUUGUCGUUUUUGCUUCAAUAAUUCUUCUAUCUUGUCGUUUCGGCCUUGAUACGUUUGGAGAUUACUUUGUCGUUUUGGCCUUAAUGAUCUCGACCCAUCUUGCGCUUUGGCCUAUGGGGUACCCGUCGUUGUGGACGUAAAGUCGCUCUUGAUCAGGGUGGACUAUAAACAUCAGUUCUGAUAGUGAACUAGAUUCUAAUAGUGAAUCUACGCAUUCUGUCGCUUCGGCCAGAAUCCACAUUCUGUCGCUUCAACCAGAACCCGAUUCCAAUAGUGAAUCCAAGCAUUCUGUCGCUUCGGCCAUAAUCCACAGCAAAAGUCUCUCCUGAUUAGAGUAGGACUAUAAACACGUAGUUCCAUUGGCCUGGAACUAGAUUAUGAUAGUGAAUCAAUCCAUCUGAUAGUGCAUGGAUCACGUGGAGUCAUUGUGUCACUGUGAGCGCAAUGACUCGAUCCCAUCUUGUCGCUUUGGCCUUGGUGCGGAUCACCUUGCUUGGGGGGGAUACUGGCGGUACACGCAUGUCUCUUGUGCUCUCUUCAGGGGGGAGUACUGGUGAGACAUGCCUGAUUACGUCAGUCACUCCCAGCAACGCCCUUCAACAAAGACUAGGGUUCCGCCGCUUUAUGCCGGACCCCCAGAGAGAUCCACGGAUACGGACAAGUGUCUACGUCAAGUACUUAAGUCAAAACUGGGAAUCGACGACUGAGACUACCAAGUCGCCGACUCCAGAGGUGAGCCGCCGAUUCUAGGCCUCGUUGGCCAGUUCUGGAAGACUGCCAACCUGGCUCAUGGGGAAUCGAUGGCUUCACCCUGAGUCACCGACUCUCAGCCGUUACUUGACUUGGCCCACGCCAUUAUGGUACCCUUAAUAGGGCACCAUAAUAGCAUGGGCCCCACAGGACCCUAUAAAAGGGGUCCUUGGGGGGUCCUCUCAUUCAUCAAGGAAUCCCUCCACUCACUUGACUCCACACUCCAACCAGAGAACCAAGGAGGCCGAGUCGCCGACUCCCACACCUGAGUUGUCGACUCCCCUCCACUUCUGCAGGUAUUUGACGUAAAGCGCGCGUCGUGGACUUCAAAGCCUCCGGCCCUCCUCGCGACCCCGCGAGCCUACUGAUAGCAAAUUUCGUGCUUCAUCAGUUAUCUUAUUACUACUUUUGUAUAUUAAAUAUAUAUUGAAUUAUCUAUAUCAUAUAUAUUCCAAUAUUCCCCCUCAAGUUGGCGUUUGAGAAAUUACACCGAGCUUGGACCUUAUUUCAAGGAAUCGUGAUGAUGAUAACGGUUUGGUGAAGCCAUCAGCUAUCUGAUCUCGUGUAGAGAUAUGAGUGACAUGUAUUUCUCCAUUUCUUACUAAUUCUCGCACAAACCCGAAAUUGAUCGCCAUAUGUUUCAUUCAAGAGUGGAACACCGGAUUGUGUGCUAGAUAUUUAGCCCCAAGGUUAUCCGUCCAUACUUGAGCUCGUCUGAUUGGUAUUAGUCGAAUUUCCCUUAGUAAAUUUCGAAUCCAGACUGUUUCCGACGCUGCAUCAGCCAUAAUGCGAAACUCAGCUUCUGUGGAUGAGCGUGCAAUAGUGGGUUGUUUCUUGGCUGAUCAAGAGACUAGAUUAUUUCCGAUGAAUAUAGCAAAUCCUUCCGUACUACGUCGAUCAUCUAGGCAUCCUGCCCAAUCAGCAUCGGUGUAUACAUCUAUUCUGAUCGAGGCCGAUGGUGCAAACAAUAUUCCAUACGAAACCGUACCUUGUAGAUAUCUCAUUACUCGUUUUGCCGCUGCCCAAUGAACUCUGGUUGGAUUUUGGAGAUAUUGACACAGUUUAUUUACGGCAAAUGAUAUAUCUGGACGAGUAUUUACCAAGUAUAACAACGCCCCUACCGUCGAUCGAUAUAGUAGCUUAUCUUCCAUGAUUACCCCGUCAGUCGCAGUCAGCUUUGUAGUGGAUGGCAUAGGUGUGGAUGCGGAUUUUGACUUGUGCAUAUUUGUUCGACGGAGCAGAUCACAGAUGUACUGAUGUUGAGAUAGAACAUACCCACCAGUAGUACCUACCGGAGUUAGUUCCAUUCCUAAGAAGAAAUGCAGCUUUCCCAUAUCUUUGAGUCUGAAUUCCUUAGAUAACGUGUCAAUCAACUGUGUGAUAACUGAAGCUGAAGACCCAUUCACUAUUAUGUCAUCUACAUAGAUCAGUAUAUAGACCUGAGAAUUUCUCGUAACUCGCAAGAAUAGAGAUGCAUCUGAUGCGGUACUUACAAAACCAAUCAAUUUCAGAAAAUUACUCAGGCGUUCAUACCAUGCUCGAGGGGAUUGCCGGAAUCCGUAGAGCGAUUUAUGAAGUCUGCAUACCUUGGUUGGAUGAUGUUUGUCUACAAACCCUGGGGAUUGUGUCAUAAACACAAUUUCCUUGAGGUCUCCAUUUAGAAAUGCAUUGUCGACAUCAAGCUGACGAAAUUGCCAACCCUUGGAUAUUGCGAGUGCUAACAUGAUUCUGAUAGUUGGGAACUUCACUACUGGACUGUAUGUUUCAUCGAAAUCAAUACCCUCGACUUGGGAGAAGCCCCGUGCCACUAGACGUGCCUUUCGUCGUUGGAGACUUCCAUCAGAUCCUCUCUUAACUUUGAAUACCCAUUUACAAGUGACUAGGUUCGCAUUUUGAGGAAGAUUCACCAAAGACCAAGUGUGAUUUCGCAUCAGUGCACCAAACUCCACUUCCAUGGCAUGGAUCCAUUCAGGUGAUUUGGACACCUGUCGGACUGUAGUUGAUUCUGAGAAGUCAUCAACUGCAAGUGACGUGGCUUCCAGUCCUACCAGUCUCCGAUAAUCAACUCGAGGAAUAUUCCGUUGAGGUCGAUUAUUAGGGGCUAGGAGACUUGUACUUGCGGGUUCAUCUGAAUCUUGACUAGUUGAUAAUGAAUUAUUCAAGCUUCCAGUACCGUGUACCAUUGGUGACACUGUGGGCCCCUCCAGAGUUGAUAGACUAGGUGAUUCUGGACUGGAUCGAGGAUUCUGAGAAUUUGACCUUUCAGUCGUAGGUGCAGCCGAAUCUGAUGGAUGAACUGAAAGCAGCCCCCAAGGGCCUGACUGGUGACUCGUUGAUGUGCCUUGGGGUACCUGUAAUUUUGCAAAUGGAAAGGAAUUUUCGAAAAAAGUACAAUGACGCGAGACAUAUAAUUUUUGAGUUGAUGGAUCAAGACAAAUAUACCCCAUAUAAGAUGGACUAUAUCCGAGGAAAAUGCAAGACGUAGACUGAAAGGCGAAUUUGUGUUGAUUAUAAGGUCUAAGAAGUGGAAAGACCUCACACCCGAACACUUUUAGAAAGGCGUGUUUAGGUUGGAUAUUGAAUAAUUUUUGAAGUGGUGGAGUCCCAUGAGUUUUGGAUGGUAUGUGAUUUAUGGCAAACACUGCUGUAGAAAAGGCAAAAUUCCAAUAUGAUAGAGGAACACUACCAUGAGCGAGAAGUGUUAGACCAGUGUCCACGAUAUGUCUGAUCUUCCUUUCUGCCGUGCCACUUUGUUCAUGAGUUUGUGGACACGACCUUCGGUGAUGAAUUCCAUGAGAGGUGAAGUAUGUGGUGAGCACUUGGAAUUCACCACCAAAGUCUGAUUGGAAAUAUUUAAUUUUAUGUCCGACUUGUUUUUCCACCAUAAUAUGAAAUUUCUGAAAGAUGCCUGCAACUUCAGAUUUAUGUUUGAUAGGAAAGAACCAGAUAAAUCUAGAAAAAUCGUCAAUAAAAAACACGAAAUAUUUAUGUCCAUUAUAGGAAGAGACCGGGGCAGGGCCCCACACAUCACUAUGAAUGAGUUCUGACGGACAUUUGGAUUUAGAGUACGUCGAGACAAGGUGGUUAUGACUCGCCUUGCCUAACACACAUGACUUACAUUUAUUGAAUUUGGAAAUAACAGAAGGCAAAUGAUUUAACGACACUACAUGACGGAGGACCGACUCAUUGGGGUGACCCAGCCAUUGAUGCCAGACAUCCAGAUUGGCUUGAGUCGAAUGAAGGAUCGGUGGUGGAGUCGGAACGAUCUUGUAGAGAGAUCCAUCAUGUAGUCCUUGAAGAAGUACCUUGUGAGUAAUUCGAUCCUUCACAAAGACACGAAAAGAGUCAAAUACAAAAUAACAGUUAUUAUCUCUGCAAAAUUACUAAACGGAUAAUAGUGGAGUUUUAAGUGACGAAACAUGUAAAAUAUUGCGUAACGAGAAAAGAGAGGAUCCACUUGCAAAAUUACCAUCCCCCAAGUGUUGGAUCUGAAGUUGGGUCCCAUUACCUAAUUGAGCGGACCCGGGUCCUUGAUACGGCAUUGGAGACGAGAUUGACUGGAUGUUUGGAGUAAAGUGGUGUGUCGCUCCAGUGUCUGGGUACUAGGCUGCCAUGUCAUGUUGAUCCAAGUCACUUGUCGAGAAAUAUGAAUCUGCCAUUUGUGUAUUAUUUGUUGCGGGCUGCCUAAAAUAAUUAGGAUUUUGUUGCUGGACCGGGGCAGGAUAAUAUUAGGCUGAUUGUGUUGGGGAAUUAAUAUAUUGGGCUUGGGCCAAAUUCGUUUGGGAAUUAAAUGCAUUUAGGAAAUUUGCGUUGUUGGCUUGGGGAUUAUUUUCUUGGGCCGGAUUUGAAUUUGUAUUUUGGUAGGGGUUUACGCGAUAUUGGCACUUAUAUGGGCUGUGACCCAUACCCCCACAAACCGGGUACGGGCCACGCCUAGUUUGGGCAACCCUACCCUUUCUUUUCCCCAAAUUAUUGAAGUUUCGGCCGCCGCCGCGCCCCCUUCCGGCGAAACUCGAAGCCGGCGACGUGACCGAGCCUCCCGCCGAUCCGUAGUAUUCUGCUAUCUGAUUCAAUGUGGGGAUGGGUUGCCUCAUUCACAACCGGAUCUGGUGACUGGACAUAACCUCCAGCAACUUGUCGAACGUAACCGGCAACUGCCGGACCGCCAGCGCCGUCACUGCUUCGCCGAAGUCUGGUCCCAGAUUAUUGUAGAUGGUCGCGUUGAAGAUGCGGGUGGGAACGGAUGCUCCAGCCGCUGCCAGUUCGUCGGCCAGGAGCUUGGCUCGCCGGAGGAAAACGGAAACGUCCUCGCCGGCGGCGUGUUUGGUGUUCUGUAGCUGCAUUUGAAGUUGGAUAAUUCGCAACUCCGAUGGUCGCCCAUAGGACAUUGCUAGAGCAUCCCAGAUUGCAGCGGCAGAUUCGAGUCCCAACACCGUGGGGAGCACCUCCUCCGAUAAAGAGGAUAAAAUCCAACUUAUCAAUAGUUGGUCCUUACGCCACCAAGCCAUAUAGAUCGGGCAUUGAAGGGAGGGCGUAGGAGAGGAGGAGAUUGAUUUAUCAAUCAUAGAUUUCAGAUCAAAGCAAUUUAGUAAUGGAUUGAAUUGCAUCCUCCAUAAGAGGUAGUUUGUUGGCGAUAGUUUGAUAUGGAGGAAACUCUGGAUGGAUUCAAAAGAUGGGGAUCCAGCCAACAUUGGUUGAGGGAGCAUUGCUAGAUUGGAUCCAUUUGGAUCAGCAAUUGCUGGAAUUAUCAAUGAAGGAUGAUCGAUCGGUAUUGUGGAAUGCAGCGGAUUUGCGUUUGAUGAAGCCACAGGAUCGACAUCGGCGGAUGAUACCAUGUUGGAUUGGUUGUCUAUGGAGAAUGAGGAUGAACCAAAGAAGGCCAUGGAGAAACCAACGUUUUAAGAAGUAAGUGUGGAGGUAGGAUUUUGGGCAAAUAAUGUUGUAAUUGCCUUGAGUAUAAGAGAGGUAUUUAUAUACACAUGAGGAUAACAAACCCACAAUUAUGUGAGUGGGGUUUGUUAUCUUGUUACUACUUUUGUAUAUUAAAUAUAUAUUGAAUUAUCUAUAUCAUAUAUAUUCCAAUACCGGUAUCUAUCUUAUCAAUCUCAUUGUCUCCUGGUAGUAAGGGAUCUUCUCUGUCUCGUCUGAGUAGGGGAUCUGCUAGCUUGUCUAGCCUAUCGUGUCUUGGGAGUAGUGUAUCUACUGGAGGAACGUAACCUGUGAUCCCUCUUGCGUACCGUCAUUUAAUUAUAAGAAAAUCAUCCUCUCUAGAAGUUGUAUAAUCUGAAUUAAACAGAAGAGAAGAUAUCAUCAAGUCUACUGUAAAAUCAUGCCUAAAAAAAUCACGAUAAUAUAUGAAGGACUUGGCAGAGAAAUCUAGAAGAGAAACAAUACUUAUAGUAGGAGAUUGGGUUAUGGUGACACUAUAACCCAACAUGCAACUAUCUACAUCCAAAUCUAGUGGCUCUCUACACUACAAGAAAAAGGCUUUCUUUACGACCAACCAAGUUGGUCGCAAAAAGACAUAAGUUGGUCGUUUAUAGAAAAAAAUGAUCGACUUUUUGGUCACUACGUUAGUCGCAAGAAACCCCGUCGCUAGUGAUCUAUAAGCGACCAACUUUUUGAGUUGGUCUCUUGAAGGUGACCAAUUUGGUUGGUCGCUCAAUAAAUCUAAAUCUGACCAAAUUUUUGGCACCAACAAAGGGUGGUUGGUCCCAAAAAUUUGGCACCAAUAUAAGGGUGACCAACUUGGUUGGUCGCAAAAAUUUUGACGCCAACAUUAGGGCGACCAACUUGGUUGGUCCCAAAAAUUUGGCGCCAACAUAAGGGUGACGAACUUGUUUGAUCGCACCAAUUUAGCGCCAACAUUAGGGCGACCAACUUGGUUGGUCGCAAAAAAUUGGCGCUAACAUAAAAGCGACCAACUUCGUUGGUCCUAAAAAAUUGGCGCCAACAUAAGGGCGGCCAACUUGGUUGGUCACAAAAAUUUGGCGUCAACAUAAGGGUGACGAACUUGGUUGGUCACAUACAUUUCCUCCAACAUAAGGGCGACCAACAUGGUUAGCCACAAAAAUUUGACGCGAAAUUAUAGGCGAACACCUGGUUGGUCGUUAUUUACUAGUAUUUAGAUUUUUAAGACCAAACAAAAUUUUGGAUGAAUUACACUUAGCGACAAACUAGUUGGUCGCAAAUUUUUAAGGCGAAAAAAUAAUAAUUUUGUUUUACAUGGGUUUCCAUUAGGACCUUACAAAAACUCAUUCAUAUAACCUGUUACAAUAAAAAAUAUAUAUAAUAUACAUUUAUCUAAACAUAUAUUAAGUCAAUCAUUAAAAAAUAUAUUUAACCAUUCAUCCAAAACGAUAUUUAACAAUUCAUCCAAAAAUAUAUUUAACCAUUCAUCCAAAUAUAUAUUCAACCAUUCAUCCAAAUAUAUAUUAACCAUUCAUUUAAAAAUAUAUCGAUCCAACCAUUUAUCGAUUAUUCGACAAUACAAUCAUUUAUCUUUAGUUUACCUUUAAUUUUAUUUACCAUUAAUUCAAAAUUAGUUACUUAAAAUAAUCUACCUUUCAAUUUUUUCUUCUUUUUUCCAUGUUUUUAUCUUUCUUCUUCUCCUUAUAUUUAUUUUUCUGUUGCUAAUCUGUUUCAAUUGAAACGUUUGAAAAUCCUGUCAUUCCAAGAUAGAAAAAUAUUAUAAGUAUAUAAAAUAUGAAAAUCAAAUAGAUUACAAAUUUUUACUUACUAAAUUUGUGGAGUGCUUUCGACAUUUGAGUUAAAAGUCUAAAUAUUUUGAGAUGACGACUAAAUAAAUAAAUAAUAUGAAAUUAGAAUUGAAAAAGAUAAUUUAAUUCAAAUACCGUAGAAAUCGUAGGACGACUCUCCAUUAAAUGUAUGAUCAUUUCAAGCAUCUCUUGUCGUUCUUUUUCAAUCUCUUUCAGUUCUAUUUGCAUUUGUGAUUGCAUCUAUUUUUGCAUCUCCAAAAAUCUUUCUUUGCGACCUUAAUCUACUUGAUUUAGUCUUGCUAUAUCAACCUUCAAUGAUUUCAAUUGAUCCACAUUACAAUUGUUACUUAUGGAUCCGUAGGCGGAGGAGAUUCUCUUCGAAAGCAUCGGGCACGGUUGAAUUUUUCCAAAUCCUUGAACACGGUGUUUUUUAUGAUUAAAUAUUUUCAUCCACUCUUGGUCAUCUUCACCAGCGUACAUAGGUUGUGGCUCUGCUGUGGAUCCUUCUGUACUUUGAGACAUAGGAAUUUCAAGACCGUGUUCUCGCAUGCUAGCAAGUCUUUUACUUUUAUAAAUUUUCUAAAACAAAAUACAAAAAAUAAAACAGUUAAUAUUUUUUUAAUUAAAUUUAACAAUGAAAUUAUUAUCUACCAUUAGAGAUUCAGCAAUUGGAUGAGGUUUGUUGGUUUUCGGAUUUGUGUGUACUUUCAAGUACACAUCUGCUCGACAAGUUUCCCUGCCAGUUUCUUUAUCCUGCAUUAAAAAUAAGUAUUCAUCAAAUAAAAAUUUAAAUGAAAAUUUAAUGGCAUACAUAUCAUUGCUUCUUUGUGUGAAGUAAUUGAUUUAGCACCUCCACGGUAUACCAUGAAGUCUGCUUUGCUAUUUUUGUUGAUUUUUCCAACAGAUGAUUUUUUCCUCCACGUUACAUUUUCAAGCCAAAAAUUAACUAUCUUCUUCCAUCUUGUCAAUGUCAAUUCCUGCCUUGUUAAAAGCAUUUUCCCUCUCUAUAUGAAGAUUGUUUUUAUACGUCUGGUUGAUGUAUUUCUCAAACUAAAAUUUAGCGAAAUCAUUAUCGUGAAAACUGAAAAAUUAAUGUAAAUUCCAAACAUAUAACAGACAUUAACAAUAUCAUUUUUAUAAUAUAUAAAAAAUCAUUAAAAAUAAAAAUAAAUAUUAAUAUGUACCAAUAAUUUAUUCCAUAUAUCAUCUUUUACAUCUUUUGGGAACAUCGCCCAUGUAGUCCACGCACCAUUGAUUUUUUCCUUUAACCAAACACAUAAUUUGGUUUUUUACUGAUUGUUGGAACGACCUGCAUAAAGUUAUAAUAGUUAAAAAAAUAAAAAAAUGUAUAAAAAAAAAGAUAAGUUCUUACAUAUCUGCAUUGAGGAAAGUGGGAACAGGCACGCUAGGUUGUGAAAGAGAUCUAGUUUCCCCUCGUCCUCCUACGAUUUAAUAUUAUUAGUUGAAUUUGAAAACUGAAAAAUAUAUUUUUGAAAAUAAUACCUAAGCGUCCAUCUUCAGAAUCACGACUUUUAGUUGCAGAAGAUCCACCCUAAUCCUAACCCAUAUGAUUCCCAACAAUUCAGCAUCACCAUUAUUUAUUUAGUCAUCACUAUAUACUUUAUCACCCAUCAGCCAUGUCAAAUAAACCCCAAAUAACCAUGAUAAAUCUCAGAUGCAUAAUAUCCUAUCUGCAUAAUAUCACUCAAAAUCAGAAUGAAUGCAGCAAAAUACUCAAAUCUGCAACUAUUACCCAUCGGUAAACCAAUCCAAUAAAUCUAUGAAGCAUUUACAUCACCAUGCGUACUAAGCGAUAAUUAUUAAUCAGAAAAAUCAGAUUCACAUGUUGGGACUUCUCCACCCUACAGAUCUGAUCAAUUAAUCCAAUCUACAAAUCCACUCAUUAAAUAAAUAGGGCAGGUUUCCAGUGCAAUAUAACAAAAUGCGCCGUAUGCAUCUAGACCAUUGGAUCUGUGGAUGUAAUGUCAGCCGUAUAUUCAUUAUUAGUAGUUGUAGUGUAGGAUUAUUUUUUAUUUGCUGGAUAAUAGAAUAUCCUUUGAUUAAAUUUGUAGGUAGAGUGUCACUAUGUAGUAGCUGUCUGAUAGGAGGGAACCGGCGUCCAUGUCAAGCAUUGAUUGAACAAGGAAACUUGAAAAAAAUUCUGUAAACCGACGCGUUGAUUAAUCCCCUCACAUAUAACUAGGGUUUUUAUUCUCCUAUUUUUUUCCCCUUCUUUCCUUCUUCCCGUUCUUGCCACCGUCGAAGUGAACCACGAAAUUGAUUACUUUCCACCAUACGUCGGGCGUUUCCCUCCAUAUUUUUGCAACUCUAAUAUAUAACAGUGCGGUGUUGGACUUCGCUUUGCCUUAUUCUACGGCGUUGGACAGAGGUAAGUAGUUUUCGUUUUUGGUCAUUCCUUUUUAGUAUUCUCGUUUGAUGAUCGUUGUAUUUUAUAGAUCUGUUUUAUAGAAGUUUCUUAAAUUUUUGAAUCUGUUUUUCUCCCUUGUUCAAGUAUACUCUGUUGUGUCGUAGGUAGUGAUUUUGAAGAAAUUGGUAGUGUUGUAUGAAAUUUAGUAUGAAUAUGUGGUAUGACAUGUAGGUUGUUACUAUCUCCGAUCGUAGUAUUUUUUAUGUUUUUAUUAGUAGUAAUUCUAGUUUUAGACGAAUGUUGUUGAAGUUGUUUUUGUUUGACAUCUAUUCAAUCGGUUUUUAAAGGAUUUUUUUUUGGAUGUUGAGGUUGUAUUUUUUUCCGAAGAUUUUCAAUAUCUUAAGACCCAUCAUUAUUCCCUGUUGAGGUUGCAAUUUUUUUUAAAGAACCGAUUGUGGUUGUAUUUUGUUUUGAAGAACCUUUUGAUCCUUGUUCAAGUAUACUCUGUUUUGAAAUUAGCAUUCGAUAGGUUAGAUUUUUGUUGGGAGAUGAUGAAUGAAUGUGUUUGCAUUUGUGUUGCUUAGUUAUUUUUGUUAUUCUAUUUUAAAAUGUGUUUGUUUAUGUUGGCAGUGAAAGAUGUUUAGGUGAAGAAUAAAUAUGAUGUGCAGUCUGUAUUGUACUAUUUUUUAGGUCAUCUUUUAUCAUAUAGUACGAAUAUGUGAUUAGGUGAAGUACUGAAUUAUUAGGUGUGGUAGUAUUCUAGUCUCCUGAAAUGUUUUAUGAAUUCAUGUCUAGAUAAUGUACUGUAAUAGAUGAAGCUGGAUAUUUUGUUGAUGUUUAUACUUGAUGAUUUAGGAUAUUUAGGAUGAGGUAUUUUUGAUGAUUUAAUGAAGGACCUUAUUUUAAAAAAUUUACACGCCAUUACGACUAGGUUGGGACGAUACCAUACCAUUUACUGUAAGAAACUAAAACAUCGAAGUAAUAGAAAUAAUUACAAUUUAUUUGUGUAAUUAUAAUUGUUGAAAAUAGACAAAGAAACCAUUAUAUGUAAAUUAUUAUAGACGACUAGACCAUAGCCCAUAUAUAGGAGAAACGACGCAAAUGAACAUUGAUUAAUUGGCAUUGCCGUAACCAGAACCCGAUCCACUUCCAUAUCCGGAAGCACUACCGUUUCCUUUACUCGAAGCACUUCCACUGCCACCACCUCCACCACUUCCGCUCGCACUGGUGUAAUCAUUGUACGUUGAGGUGGAGGCAGAUCCAGAUCCACGACCAGAACCAGAUCCGUUUCCCCUCCCAUUUCCAUUACUGGAGCCACCUCCACGACCACCUCCAUUUCCAUCUGCAUUUGUGUAACCGCCUCCGUAGUAGCCACCAGAAUUGUAUCCAGAUCCACUGCCAGAUCCAUUACCAUACCCAGUUGCACUUCCAUCCCCUUGGGAUGAAGCUCCACCUCUUCCGUUUCCAUCUCCAUUUCCGCUAGCACUACCACCAUUGUAAUAAUAAUAAUAAUUAUCCUUGUAUGAAUCGCCGUUUCCAUAACCUGAACCUGAACCAUAAGCACGUGCAGAUCCAUCGCCAUUGCUGGAGGCCCUUCCACCCCCGUUGCCAUUUCCAGAACCUCUAGCAUACGAAGUUAAGACUCUCGAUGCAGAGGUCAUGCUAACACAAAGAAUCAUGACCACAAGGGCGGCGACAUUCACCGUCGAAGAAUGAGCCAUAUUGGCUAUAGCAAGUUGAUUUGGAUAUGAAAGAAAGAAACAAUUUGAAAUAAGGAAUGAAGUAAUUUGAUAUGAUAUGAUUUGCAUGAUUGGUUGGUAUUUAUAGACAUGAUUGUGGUGCAGAAUUCAAUUGCAAGCAUUAAUUUCCAGCUAGUUAUCUAUUUUUUACAUUUCCUACUUUGAAUUCUUCCUUAAUUUCACUUCAAUAACAAACUUCUUACAUUCUUUAUUGAAUUCAGAGAGAAAAUGAAGAUAUAUAUGUUGAAAAAAUAAAAUCCCAUGAUUGAAGUAAUUGACUUAUGAUUAGGCUUAAUUACCAUUCCAUAAUUAAUUCAAACAUUUGACUCAUUUGUUAAUUCAUUACUUGAAUAUUCUAAUUACAACUGGUGGUUUGUUCAUUUAUCUAAAUUUCUUUGACUUUUUUAGCCAAAGAAAGGAUCAAUGUUAUGAACACACUCCCUUAUAAUAAUUAAUUAGUUCCUUGAUUCAAACUUUAAUUUGCCUCGAUUAACUAUUUCUAUUUUUUACAACUUGACAAUUAAGUAGAUUAUUUGUUUCUUCAACCUAAUCUCGCCAUCUCCGACUUUCUACAUACUCCAUCUCCGACCUAAUCUGCAGAACCUUUAGAGAUUGGGUUGGAGAACCCCUACCUUGCCAUCCUAAUUGUCAUUCCUUAAUUCAAAGUUUUGAUUCAUUUAUUUACAUCAAUUUAAUUGCAACUUGUAAACUCAAUUUAAUUACAUCAAUUUCUUUGCUAUAUAUAGAGAGAGAGUAAUUUUGCAGGAUCAUCCUUCUAUGUGGUGUAAUUUUAACAUUUGGCUAAUUUUAAUUAUAAUAGUCCUACGUUUUAUCUCUCUAUUCAUAAUUGUAUUAUACUUUUGGACCUUCGUAAAACCUAUUUUAUCAUAUUAAUCAUGAUAUGUCACAUAAUUCUAAUUAAAGCUUACUCCUACUUGAAAGUCAUCUAGUUCGAUUUUGGAAAAAUAUUAUUUCUCCUCGUCGUCGACGAUACACAAUCCUCCAUGGUAUUAUACAAUACAAGAAAACAAACCUUGCCCACGGCCAAGAUUAGUGGUCUUCUGUUGAAAUCCGUGGGCCGUGGACGUAGGUCUAGUAGCUAUUUUAUUUAUUGGCCGUGACUAACUUUUUAAAAUAAUAAAAAACUAUUGGAGAAUCCACGUGGCUCCACUGCUGGCAUAAUUAGUUAAGGCAACUAUGAGUUAGUUAGAUAUUAAUCGGUUAUAACAGUAUGUAAUCUGUAGCUAUAAGUACGUAAUAAUCAGAAAAAUAUCAGAUACAAUUUGGUUAAUUGAUUCAUCAUCUUAUAUGGUAUCAGUAGUUUGGGUUUAGAAUCAUGACAACCGAAAGAGUUUCCGUUGCAAAUUCAGGCCGUUUUCCUGCCACCAUCGAUGCUCGCACACAGUCUUCAUCAACGAAGAUUGUUAUGAAGCCGAUGAAGUGCAUACAACUCGAUAAGAGCAAUUACUACUCAUGGGAAGUGCAGUUUUUUGUGAUGCUUCAGGGUUUCCAGUUAUAUUUGACUAUGUUCUGGGAAGAGUGGAGUUAUCGUCGCCAUCAUCAAUCCAGCAGGAUCAAUUAAUCCUGAGCUGGACACUGACCAACAUCUCAAUAACCACUCUUCCUCAGGUAGCAUCGCGGAAGACUUUGGCAGAGGUUUGGGAUGGUCUGCGCAAGCUAUAUGCUUCUGGAACGCAUGCGCGGCAGCUUCACAUUCGCCUUCAUCUUCAGUCGAUUCGGAAAGGGGGCUUAAGCAUUGAAGACUACUUUUCCAAAAUUUCCAUCCUAAAAAACGCUCUCGCAUCUACUGGGGAGGGACUAAAGGAAUCGGAAAUAAUAUUAAUCACUUUGGGUGGAUUGGGAGAUGAAUUUGAAUCGAUUGUAACUGCAAUAACAACUCCGUUUAAUCCAGAUCUGACGUUCUCCGGAGUGUGCAAACUAUUGAUGGACCACAAUCUCCGUCUGGAAAAAUCAAGAUCCACAAAUUCCGUUGUGGUAAAUAUUGCUACCAAGGUUACUCAUCCCGCCAACAGUCAGAGAUCGCCUAGAUCGGAUAUCCAAUGUCAAAUCUGCACGCGGAAAGGGCAUAGCGCCGCGGAUUGCUACAAUCGUUUGAAUUUUGACCGCUAUCCGGCUUUGCACGGUAGGGUAUUAUCAUCACUCGGUCCGAACGGGAGCACACGAACUCAGACUUCGGAAAAUCUGAUAACGACAUCUUCUGGCACAGCCACGAUGUCGUACCCCGAUUCAAGGGCCACAUCACACAUCAUCGCGUCAUCAGAAAAUAUCUAGUGUCCAAGAGCGUACAAUGGUAAUAUUUUCACAGCAGAUUGCAGUCCAUUAUCAAUUUCUUAUUCCGAUCAGAGCAAAGCUAUCUCCGAUUCCAAUAAUUUUGUUUUUCGUGAUUUACUGCUAGUCCCCUUGGCUACUAGGAAUUUAUUAUCAGUAAAUAAAUUUUAACGAAAGAGGUGGAGCUUCAUCCCAAGGGGAUGGAAGUGCAACUGGGUAUGGUAAUGGAUCUGGCAGUGGAUCUGGAUACAAUUCUGGUGGCUACUAUGGAGGUGGUUACACAAAUGCAGAUGGAAAUGGAGGUGGUCGUGGAGGUGGCUCUAGCAAUGGAAAUGGGAGGGGAAACGGAUCUGGUUCUGGUCGUGGAUCUGGAUCUACCUCCACCUCAACGUACAAUGGUUACACCAGUGCGAGCGGAAGUGGUGGAGGUGGUGGCAGUGGAAGUGAUUCGAGUAAGGGAAACGUUACUGCUUCUGGAUAUGGCAGUGGAUCGGGUUCUGGUUACGGCAAUACCAAUUAAUCAAUGCUCACCUGCUUUGAUCUAAUCGUCUAUUAUAAUUUACAUAUAAUUGUUUCUAUUUUUGGAGGUCCAAAAAUUAAUAUUGUUUGUUGACGGGAGGUCCAAAAAUUAAAGUAAAAAAUUAAAUUUAUAUUUUACUUUUUUGCCCAAUACCUGAUCCAAAUCCAAUGGAUACUCAACCAAAGUUCGGGUACAAGCUAGUAUGGGUAAGUAUUAGUGGUCUAUCAAAAAUGUUCGGGUAUAUGAAGUAUAUUGCAUUUAUUACAUUAAAUAUAUGAACAUGUAGAAGACAGGAUUUCCCCAAGUAGUAGCAAACAAUUGCGGAAGGUGAAAUAUUUUUUAGACAAACUUAUUAAUAAUAAUAAAAUAUCAGGUAAAAACCCCUCUUUUAGGUUCUUAAAUGAAAACUUUAUCUUAGUCAUCCAUUCUACUCUGAUAAAUCCUGGUCAUUCAUUGGAAACUGAUUGCAACCGAUGGAGAUAACUAUUUUUUUUAUUCUCACAUUUUGUCUCUCCCUACGUAAAUGUCAGAAUGCUAUUUUUUUUCAUCUUUCUCUCACACAGACACUCUCUCCUACCGUCUAAAAUGUCAGAUUUUUUUUCUCUCUUACAAUUUUUCUCUUCCUCCGUCUUCUGUGAGAACCAUUUUUUCUCUUCUUUUCUCUCACAAUCUCUCUCUCUCUUCGUCUGGUGUCAGGUACCGAUUUUUUUCCCUCUCUCACGAACUCUCUCUCCAUACGUCUUUGUUGUCAUAUUUGGAUUUUUUUUUAUCUUUCUCUCACAAUUUUUCUUUCUCCUACGUCGUUUGUUAAUUAAUUUCUUCUUCUUCUCUCUCUCUCUCCGCCACACCAGGCAGGAGGAAAGGAGCGAUAGGCACGCGACAAGGAACGACAAGCGGGAUAAGGAAACGACAGUUGCAGGAGAGCCAAUGAAUGAUGGUUUGGAUUUAACGAAUGAUGGUUUUAUAAUAUCAAUGAUGAACUAAGCUUUCUUAUUUAUAUGAUUGCAUUAUGACCUUUAGUAUUUUCAGCUUUGAUAUAUGAAAAAUCAGAUGUAUUUUGCUUGUCUUUGGUAGCUGAUGAAGCACGAAAUCUGCUACCAGUAGGCUUGCGGGAUUGCGAGGAGGGCCGGAGGCUUUGGAGUCCACGACGCGCGCUCUACGUCAAUGUACCUGCAGAGAAGAAGGGAGUCGGCGACUCAGGUGUGGAAGUCGGCGACUCGGGCUCCUUAGUUGCUCUGGUUGGAGUGUGUGUCAAGUGUUUGUGGAGGGGAUGUAUUUAUGAAUAAGGAUCCCCCUAGGGCCCCUUUUAUAGGGUCUUUCGGGCGUUUCUCAUUCAUUACCAAUGGGGCUCACGCUAUUAUGGUUCCCUAUUAAAGGUGCCAUAAUGGCGUGGGCCAAGUCAAGUAACGGCUGGGAGUCGGCGACUCAGGUAUGGGAGUCGGCGACUCAGGGUGAAGCCAUCGAUUCCCCAUGAGCCAGGUUGGCAGCCUACAUGAACUGACCAACGAGGCGUGGAAUCGGUGGCUCACCUCUGGAGUCGGCGACUUGGUAGUCCCAGUCGUUGAUUCCCAGUGUUGACUUGAGUAUUUGACGUAGACACUUGCCCGCAACCGUGGAUCUCUCCGGAGGUCCGGCAUAAAGCGACGGAACCCUAGUCUUUGUUGAAAGGCGUUGCUGGGAGUGACUGACGUAAUCAGGCAUGUCUCACCAGUAGCUCUGACAGAUAAGCCAGUCUAGCUACUGAAUGUUUUUAUGACUUUGAAUAGUCCAAGUAACCCUGAAAUUAAAGAUGGACAGGAACAAUAUAUUGAAAUCCGAUGGAUAAAACGACGUGACCAUCACCCAGGGGGCGGUGUAGAUGCCCUCGAGCAACACUUGUUGAUCGACGGGAAUCUUUUGGGAUGGAGGGCCCCUAAGUUGUUGAUGUCUGAGAGACUAACUGACCCGGAGGAUUACCUACACUUAUUCCGUACAUGCAUGGACGAUAUGACAGACCUAAGGGAUAUUCGGUUCUAUAUAUUCCAGAGAAAAUAUGCAUGGUAAGGGACCACUCGAGAAGUCGGAUGGACCCUAGGUCCAAGGAUUACUCAAAGACCGUUCGAGCUAUUAGGCCAACACACCCGAAGACAAGGAAAUGUCCAGAGGGAGAGGUCGCUCGUAAAUUUGGAUGAAUCCUAGGUCCAUAGACCGAUUGAAUUUCGUACGACCUAUUGGGCCAAUACUCGAAGGCAAGGAAAUAUGCAAGGGGAGGGGCCGCUCGAAAAUCUAUACAGACCUAAGGUUCAUGAAGCCCUCGAAGGUGCUUUCGGUAGAAAAGCCAGACGGAGCAAGCCUCGUAUAUUAUUAGGGGUCCCCUCUGGGAUGGGGGCGUAGAGUGGGGAGAUUGGCGAGUAGAUCUUUUAACUUCCAAAAUGCCUUUUCGCAGGCUUCAAUCCAAACUAGUCUUUUGCCAUCCGUUUUUAGAAGAUGGAAAAAUGGGCGUAGGUGGUCUGCUCUUCUUGACAUGAAGCGGUUGAGAGUGGCUACCUUCUCGUUAAGCCUUUCUACUUUUUAUGGUUCUUGGUGGGGUCAUGAUCCUAACGGCUUCCGUUUAUUCUUUUCGUGCUUUUAUCCCAUCCGGAGUUAUCCAAAAUCCAAAGAAAUGGUUUUUUUUACCUUUAACUUCAGGCCCACCCUCCGUAUGUUAUCGAACGUUUCUUCCAGGUCUCGUAGAUGGUCUCCUAUUCUUUGUGAUCUGGCCAGUAAAUCAUCUAUAUAGACUUCAAUAUUUUUGCCGAUUUGACUUUCAAAAAUCCGAUCCAUCAAUCUCUGGAAGGUGGUCCUGGUGUUUUGGAGGCCAAACGACAUGAUUCAGAAGCAGAAGGUGCUCAUCUCGAUCACGAAUGACGUUUUUUCCUCGUUCUAUGUGAACAAGAUGGUUUUCAAUAUUCUUAUCCUCUUUCCCUCGGUUUUCCAAGUUAGGUCUGAUGCGUACGUACCUGGAAUGCCUCUCCCCUAGAUAUGGCCAAUAUCUUGUCCAUUUGUUCCUCUUGAGGCUCUUGUUUUGGGACCUUGUGCCCUGUUGGGAUGAUCGACCACCGUUCUUCCUAUCUAAGUGUAUGAUGGUGGUAGGGCAUUGGACGUUGAUCUCAAUCUAAUCAGCAGUUUGUCCAAGUCUAAGCAUUCUGUCAUUGUGCGGCCUCGAUCUUCGUGGUACUCAUAAUACUGAUUGUUAUCUAAUAAUUCUAUAGAAGACAAAAACUAGAGUUUAAGGAUUGAGAUAACAUUGAAGUGUUGAGAUAACACUGUUUUCUCACGACCAAUAAAUAAAAUAGUCACUGAUAUUUCCGUGGUCCUCGUUAUUUCUAUAAGAUGAUGAAUCAAUUAACCAAAUUGUAUCUGAUAUUCGUCUGAGUAUUAUAUACUUAUAGCUAUAGAUUACAUACUGUUAUAACCAAUUAUUAUCUAAAUAAUCCAUAGUUGCCUUAACUAAUUAUGCCAGCAGUGGAGCCACGUGGAUUCUCCAACACACCCCUUUCAUCCUUCAUAGAGUCCCACUGGAGCUUCGUCGACGAUAUUUUCUUGUAGGAUAGAAAAUCUUCUAAGUGGCAGUGGCUUGGUCAAAAUGUCCGCUCACUGCUCACGCCCGGGAAUGUGCUUAACGAUAAUGUCUCCGCUUUGUACCUUCUUGGGGAUGAAGUAGAGAUCAAGAGCUACAUAUGUUUGAGCUUUAUAUGCCCGAUUGGAUUUUUCGCAAUGAAAGUAGCUUCUAAGUUAUCCGAUAGACUCACCAUAGGUCGCGGCACCUCUACCCCCAACUCAAUCAGUGCUGAGCAAACCGCUUCUAUCUCCUGAGUCGUAGUGGCUAUCGCACGGUACUCGGCCUCCGUACUUGAUCGAGCCAGUGUGCUCUGUUUCCGAGAUACCCAUGAUACUAACGUUCCUCCCACGUACACUAAGAAUCCCGUGCGAUUUUUACGAUCGACCGUGUCCUCUCCCCAGUCGGCGUCACAAUACGCUGUGAUCCCGAAAUCGUUGACCCACCGUAGUACGAUCCCGUGCCUUUGAGUUCUGAAUAGGUAACACAAAACGCGCUUUACAACCACCCAAUGUACCAUCGUUGGUUCUGUCAUAAACUGGGCGAGCCGAUUAACCACAACCUGGACUUCCGGCCUUGUUAGAGUAAUGAAUUGUAACGACCCUAUAAUCCAUUGAAAUUCACCAGGGUCGUCGAUAACAGGUUCGUCUAAGCGAAGCUCGAUAUCUGCAAGCAUUGGAGUGGAGACGGCCUUCAGUUCCCCUAUGUUACAACUCCGGAGAAGAUUCAGAAGAUACUGGUUUGUGAUAAAUGUAACCCAUCCUUGACGUGCCUGACCUGGAUGCCAAGAAAAUAUUCCAGAGUACCUAGGUCGCGUAUGGAAAAUUUCGCGCCCAAUCUGUUUAUCACCUUCUUGACUUCUUCUUCAUUCGAUCCCACUAUUACUAUAUCGUCGACAUAGACGAACAAAAACAUUGUGAUUGAACUUUUCUGAUAAUUGAAUAACGAAGGAUCAACUGCAGAUUCCUUGAACGACAAUGUUCCCAAGAACCCACUCAAUUUUUGGAACCAACACCUCGGUGAUUGUUUAAGUCCAUACAGAGACUUAUAAAGGAGGCAGACCUUAUCAAGAUUUUGGUUAUCGAUAAACCCAUACGGUUGUGAAACAACAAUUCUCUCCUUGAGGUUGUCGUGUAGAAAAGCGUUUGACACAUCGACUUAAUGAAGCACCCAUCCUCUGGAUAUUGCCAAUAGUAACACCAGUCGAAUCGACAACGGACGAACAACCGGACUAAAAGUAUCAAAGUAGUCCACGCAGUGAAUCUGUCGUAACCCAUUAGCAACCAAACGCGCCUUGAAUCAUUAUACUGUUCUUUCUACCUUGGAUUUAACUUUAAACACCCACUUGGUGUUAAUUAUAUUGUCUUCUGGUAGACGCGGUACUAGGGUCCAUGUUUCAUUUUCUUGGAGUGCGUUGUAUUCUUUUACCAUGGCGUCCUUCCAUUGAGGAACAAGGAGAGCCGAUUUUGCAGACUUCGAGAUUGAAACCUCAUAUGUCGUUGUUGCCAAGGCGAACUUCGGAUUGGGUUUAAAGAUCCCAACGGAACUUCUGGUGACCAUAGCAGUACGCUGGUUCGAUGAUCAUCAGAUUCUUCAAAGUCAUUCUCAUUCAUCGGAAGAUCAGUAGCCACGGAGUACGAGUCCAGCUCAGCUGAUAUUCCCGUCAAUCGGUCAGGCACGUGUACCAAGUGUAAAAACCCUCAUGAAAUUAAAGUUAAAAAAAAAAAUAAAUAAAUAAAUAAAUAAAUAAAAGGAGUCUUGUUGGGUAAAUAUGUACUAAGGCCAAUUAAGCCAUUAAAUCAAGAUGUGGGGACAUGAGCCCUAAUUAAACUAUUAUAUAAUGGGAAGAUGUAGAGGUCUAGGAGGAGAGGAACGGAUGAGAAGGAAAAGAAGAGAAGAGAAAAGAAAAGAAGGAAAGGAAAUAAACCAAUCGAUCUUAAGGGGAGAUUUCGAUCUUGGUGUGGAGGAUGUGAGCUGAUCAAUAAGGUAUGGGUUUAGAAUAUGUUCUUAUGAUUUUCUGUAAAUCUUUGGGGUUUAAGUAGUAUGAUUCUAUUGAUAGAUAGAAAUAGAAACAUGAUUAGGUUAUGUGUUACAUGAAAUAGUUCAACAAGUGAUACAUAUAUAUCCAUUGAAGAUGGGAUGGAUUGAUAGGUGGAUUAGAGUAUGACCAUUUCUGAAAAAUCUGAUGAUAUUCAGAUAUUGGAGUUGGGUCCUUUCUACUGUUUGGUGUUGCAUUUUAUUUAGAAUUAAAUUUGCUGGAUUUAAUCUAAUUCUAUCAAAUUUUCAGAGAUUUGAAGGUGGGUGUUGUUGUCAUAAUUUUAAAGAUUUUAGAUAUUUUAUGAUUGAUUUCAUAACUAAUUCUUCGAAGAUUCCGUAGUAUUAUUAUCUUAUCUUUGUGAUUGAGAUUGAUUGUGAUUGUUCUCGAGUAUUGUCAUUUAUUCUGAUUUGAUUUUUAUUUUGAAUCGCUUAUUUUUUAAAAGUAUUCCACAGUUGUCGGGAGUAUUAUUAUGUGAUGAUUUAAUCCAAAAUAUUGUGAGUUUGUACUGUUUUGAGAAGGGCGAGUGAAGUAUUUUUUUUGGAUUUUAUUUGACAUUGAAUGAGGGAUUAGGGAGUCAUGAGUAUGAGUUUUCUCGGUCUUUAUAUUUUAUGUUUUCAUCGGUAAAAAUUCUGUUUUGAUGUUAAGUUCGAAGAAUGACGAUGUUGAAUGAUAUUAUGAAGGUCUAUAAAAUGGUAUGAGAAGCACGAUAUGACAUGCCACGAAUCUCAUGAUGAGAUAAACAAUAUGACAAGAAUUAGGCUACAAAUAGUCGUUAAAUAGUUUGUUUGAUUGUAGUUAUUGAUAUUUUUAUGAUUGUUUAUAGGUGAUAAGAAUGAAUACUGGUAUAUUAUUCCUUAUGUGAAAUCAUAGAUACAGAUUUCCAUACUGAGUCAGUUGAGACUCACCCAUUUUGCUUUGCUAUGUUGUAUCGUGUUAUAAAAUUUAUAGGAUGGGGAGGUUGAUGAAGCCACGUUGAAUGGAUACAGGAGGGUGGAGCAUAGUUAACAUCAUGAGUAGUGGUGCUUCAUCUUGAUGAAUAUUAUGAACUCCGUUGGUGCAUGUUUAUUAUUUAUAACAAUAUUCUAGAGUCUUACUAGUAAAUGAUGGUGUUCUGGACUUUAUUCACAAAUUUUGAACUUUUAUUUUAUUGACAUAUUAUUAUGUUGAUUCUCGACAUUAGGAAAAGUACAACAUGUUUGUUUGUUUUCACCUGAUGGUUUAAAUGUUCAGAUUGAUAUUAUUAACAUCCCAUGUUACACCAAGUCAUCUUAUCGUAAGAGGAUGUUACACCAAGUCAUUCUGAUUUUGACUUUUUGUUAUCUCAUGUUGGCUUAUCCCAGUAGGUGAACUGUUGUUAUCGGUCUGGUCAGACUCCAUGCUAUUACCUUGGAUUGAUUCCACCGAAACCGUUAUUGGUAAAAUCCCCAAAUCAGGUAUUAUUUUCACCCAAAUUAAUUUUUGUAGAAAUAUCAUCUCGGUCCCCAAAUACUUCUUUGUUUAAGGAAAAGUCCUCCUCGCCAAACUUGACGUCCCGAGAAGCGUAAAUCCUCCGGCUGAUCGGCUAAAAAAAUAGGUAACAUUCUCGGGUCAUGGAGUAACCUACAAAUAUGCAUUUAGCCGAUUUUGCUUCCAGCUUGUUCUUCCGAUACAGACGAAUACAGGGAUAGCAACUGCUCCCGAAGACUCGAAAUUUCGAAUAUUCCGGUGCCUUCCCAAAUAAGCUUCCAUUGGAGAUUUCCCGGAUAAUAGCAAUGUGGGGUUCAUGUUGUACAAGUAGCAUGAUGUUAGCGCCCCAUAGUCCCAGAACUGAUUGGGUAGAUUGGCGUGAUGCAACAUUGUAAAGGUUGUGUUGAUUAUGUGCCAAUGUCUUCUUUCUACUUGACCCAUCUGUUGGUGCGAGUAUGGGGCGGACAUCCGAUGAGAAAUACCCAAUUCCUACAGUCUUUUUCCAAACUUUUGGUAUUCCAUUGUAUUAUCGGUUUGUAUAGCUAGAAUUUUGCCUCCACAGUGCCUCUCUGCCCACGUCCAAAAAAAUUCGAAUACCUGAUACAGAUCAGACUUUCUUGUAACUAGAUAGAUCCAAUUAAAAUGAGUGCCGGCGUCUACAAAACUGAUAUAAUACGAGUAACCUUCUACUGAAAUUAUGGGAGCCGGUCCCCAAACAUCCGAGAAAAUGAGUUCUAGCGGUUUGUAAAUCGUUGAGCGAGAAGAGUGAGGGAGAGAGUGAGAUUUGCCAAGCUGACAUGAGUUACAUAGUUUGAAUGCCUUAAAACCCAAUUUUAUUAGACCUUGUUUCUCCAAUACAGACAUAUAAGACGAAUUUAAAUACCCCAGACGGCAAUGCCACUAGUAAUGGGCAGGCAGAUUUUCGCACAAAUUUAUAGAUUUUGUGCUUGGUUCGAUGAUCAUCGGUAACUCGUGCAAUCCCCUGUUCGCCACCCCUUCAAGCAGCACCAUUUUAGUAGCCGAGUCCUUCACUCGUACCUUCUGUGAAUCAAAUUCAACACAAACAUUGUUAUCAAUACAAAAUUUGUUUACUGAUAAUAAAUUCCAAUAGCCAAGGGGACUAGCAGUAAAUCACGAAAAACAAAAUUAUUGGAAUCGGAGAUAGCUUUGCUCUGAUCGGAAUAAAAAUUGAUAAUAGACUGCCAUCUGCUGUGAAAAUAUUACCAUUGUAGGCUCUUGGACACUAGAUAUUUUCUGAUGACGCGGUGAUGUGUGAUGUGGCCCUUGAAUCGGGGUACGACAUCGUGACUGUGCCAGAAGAUGUCGCUACCAGAUUUUCCGAAGUCUGAGUUCGUGUGCUCCCGUUCGGACCGAGUGAUGAUAAUACCCUACCGUGCAAAGCCGGAUAGCGGUCAAAAUUCAAACGAUUGUAGCAAUCCGCGGCGCUAUGCCCUUUCCGCGUGCAGAUUUGACAUUGGAUAUCCGAUCUAGGCGAUCUCUGACUGUUGGCGGGAUGAGUAACCUUGGUAGCAAUAUUUACCACAACGGAAUUUGUGGAUCUUGAUUUUUCCAGACGGAGAUUGUGGUCCAUCAAUAGUUUGCACACUCCGGAGAACGUCAGAUCUGGAUUAAACGGAGUUGUUAUUGCAGUUACAAACGAUUCAAAUUCAUCUCCCAAUCCACCCAAAGUGAUUAAUAUUAUUUCCGAUUCCUUUAGUCCCUCCCCAGUAGAUGCGAGAGCGUUUUUUAGGAUGGAAAUUUUGGAAAAGUAGUCUUCAAUGCUUAAGCCCCCUUUCCGAAUCGACUGAAGAUGAAGGCGAAUGUGAAGCUGCCGCGCAUGCGUUCCAGAAGCAUAUAGCAGACCAUCCCAAAUCUCUGCCAAAGUCUUCCGCGAUGCUACCUGAGGAAGAGUGGUUAUUGAGAUGUUGGUCAGUGUCCAGCUCAGGAUUAAUUGAUCCUGCUGGAUUGAUGAUGGCGACGAUAACUCCACUCUUCCCAGAACAUAGUCAAAUAUAACUGGAAACCCUGAAGCAUCACAAAAAACUGCACUUCCCAUGAGUAGUAAUUGCUCUUAUCGAGUUGUAUGCACUUCAUCGGCUUCAUAACAAUCUUCGUUGAUGAAGACUGUGCGCGAGCAUCGAUGGUGGCCGGAAAACGGCCUGAAUUUGCAACGGAAACUCUUUCGGUUGUCAUGAUUCUAAAUCCAAACUACUGAUACCAUAUAAGAUGAUGAAUCAAUUAACCAAAUUGUAUCUGAUAUUUUUCUGAUUAUUACGUACUUAUAGCUACAGAUUACAUACUGUUAUAACCGAUUAAUAUCUAACUAACUCAUAGUUGCCUUAACUAAUUAUGCCAGCAGUGGAGCCACGUGGAUUCUCCAAUAGUUUUUUAUUAUUUUAAAAAGUUAGUCANNNNNNNNNNNNNNNNNNNNNNNNNNNNNNNNNNNNNNNNNNNNNNNNNNNNNNNNNNNNNNNNNNNNNNNNNNNNNNNNNNNNNNNNNNNNNNNNNNNNCAUAUUUUCUCUGGAAUAUAUAGAACCGAAUAUCCCUUAGGUCUGUCAUAUCGUCCAUGCAUGUACGGAAUAAGUGUAGGUAAUCCUCCGGGUCAGUUAGUCUCUCAGACAUCAACAACUUAGGGGCCCUCCAUCCCAAAAGAUUCCCGUCGAUCAACAAGUGUUGCUCGAGGGCAUCUACACCGCCCCCUGGGUGAUGGUCACGUCGUUUUAUCCAUCGGAUUUCAAUAUAUUGUUCCUGUCCAUCUUUAAUUUCAGGGUUACUUGGACUAUUCAAAGUCAUAAAAACAUUCAGUAGCUAGACUGGCUUAUCUGUCAGAGCUACUGGUGAGACAUGCCUGAUUACGUCAGUCACUCCCAGCAACGCCUUUCAACAAAGACUAGGGUUCCGUCGCUUUAUGCCGGACCUCCGGAGAGAUCCACGGUUGCGGGCAAGUGUCUACGUCAAAUACUCAAGUCAACACUGGGAAUCAACGACUGGGACUACCAAGUCGCCGACUCCAGAGGUGAGCCACCGAUUCCACGCCUCGUUGGUCAGUUCAUGUAGGCUGCCAACCUGGCUCAUGGGGAAUCGAUGGCUUCACCCUGAGUCGCCGACUCCCAGCUGUUACUUGACUCGGCCCACUCCAUUAUGACACCUUUAAUAGGGCACCAUAAUAGCGUGGGCCCCACGGGUAAUGAAUGAGAAACGCCCCAAAGACCCUAUAAAAGGGGCCCUAGGGGGGUCCUCAUUCAUCAACACAUCCCCUCCACAAACAUUUGACACACACUCCAACCAGAGCAACUAAGGAGCCCGAGUCGCCGACUCCCACACCUGAGUCGCCGACUCCCCUCCUCUAUGCAGAUACAUUGACGUAGAGCGCGCGUCGUGGACUCCAAAGCCUCCGACCCUCCUCGCAACCUCGCGAGCCUACUGGUAGAAGAUUUCGUGCUUCAUCAGCUGACGCCGUCUGUGGGACUAUCGAACUACGGUAUCCCGUCGUAAUCGCGAAAUUUUCUUCGCAAAGUUCGGCUCGAUUCCCUUCAGGAAAAUAGAAAAUCAUCGACUCCACCUAGUGAGUCUCCGAUUCUGGGUUAUUCUGCUAGCUAAGAGUGCUGUCCUCGACUCGGCUCGAAAGAUAAAAAACCUAAGGCCAAUCGCCGACUCCACCUGUUGAGUCGCCGAUUCCACUUGGUUUCUUUCGAGUUAGUUCUGUCAAUACCUGCGCUUCGGUUGGAAUUCGCUUUUGUCAUCCAUGACUUCUGAAAGGCAAAAGCACGAUUACCAUUUGAGGAACAAAGGCAAAUCCUCAGUGGCACCCGAUAGGGCACAAACUGAGCAUCCUCAGCAAAACAGGCAAGCUGAAAGGUUUGAGGAUGCUCAAACUGGUUUGCCCCCUCGGACAUCCAUCCCUCCCGCUCUAGAAGCGAGGUUGAUUAACUUCUUGGAGAACAUGGAGCAAAGAGUUAACAACCUCGAGAAAGCGAGGAGUCAGAGGACCAUCGCCCGCGAAGGAGCGGGUGAAUCGGCCUCUCACAAUUCUCCGUGUGCGGAGAAAAAGAAAGGUCCAGAACCACAAAAAUCAAGAGCUGAAUCUAGUAAGAGUCGCACUGAAAGGACUCUUAUAACACGUUUCAUGGAGGACCUCCGUCGGAAGCUAGCCAACAAUCCGGUCGCCAGCGGUCCGAUCGAAUUCCUGAGAGUCAAAAGCGCUCCUUUCCAAGAGGACCUUUUGAAGGUGUCCUUUCCACCAACCUGGCGGGUACCCAGAAUAGAGUCGUAUGAUGGUUCAGGUGAUCCAAAAGAUCACGUCAACCUCUACCUUAAUGUUCUGGAACCACAAACCACCGACAACGCACUGCUGUGUCGAGCAUUCCCCGACACUCUCAAGGGAAGUGCCUAUCGGUGGUUUUCCGGUCUGCCAGCUGGAUCAAUCUCCAGCUUUGCGGACCUCUCAUCCAAGUUCAUCGCCCAAUAUGUGGGGAUGAUUAGGAUCAAAUACAGUGCCAAUGCACUGCUGGCACUACGACAGAACAAGCUGUCGUUAAGGGAUUACACGAUUAAGUUCACUUCAAUGAUGACAGAAGUGAGCGACUUAAUCCCGAGUCUAGCCAUAGCGGGGUACACGAAUGGGCUAGUACCCUACUCCCCUUUGACCCUGAAACUUACGCUCCAUAAAGUGGAGACAUUACCCGAUCACUUCCAACGAGCUCAAUCAUUCAUUGAGGUGGAAGAGCAGAAUGAAAACAAGCUAGUGGAACUUGAGAGCAAUAGCUUCAAAAAACCAAAGUUCGAGAAGAAGGGCUACAGUGAGAAGAACAAUUUUCAUGACUCCUCGAACAGAUACACUGACAAUGCAGUUGAUUCCUUGAAAAAGGAAUGGAAGCCCAGACACGAUAACAAGGUGUAUCAAACCUCCACCAAACAAUCGCCAAAGGGUCCACCUCAACCAUGGAAGGAUCGGACCCCGCUAACAAUCAGCAAAGGCGAGCUGUUUGAGAAACUGAAGUACCGAGCGGAUCUGUCCGCUCCUCACUCUAUGGAUCCUGCAACCAAGGAUAGCCGUCAAAAAGGUGGAAGAUUCUGUAAAUUCCACAAGGACCACGGCCACCUGACGGAUUAUUGCAGGGAGUUCUCGCUUUAUGUCGAACAACUGAUCUCGAAAGGUGAACUUGACAACUUUGUCAAAGGAUCUCGAGGUCGGAAUGAUUGCAAGUCUGACACAAAGGGGAAGCGUCCACGCUCUCCUUCGCCAGACUGCGACAGUAGCGAGGACAACCCACGGAAAACCAUCAGUAUGAUAUUUGGUUGUGGAUCCAUUGGAAGGCUAGUAUAACUGAGAGGAAUAGACCAAGGAAUAAGUUGUCAUGCAAAGGUCCCUACAUCUGGCACACAGACAAUAUGCAGUAAUACUACGCUUAGUAUUGAACACAUUAUUCCUUAGGGCCUCUUAGUAUAUAUGUUAGUACAAAUUACAAAGUAGAAUAAUUAGAUUUUACCUUUGUAAUUCUUAUUUCAAUAAAGUUGACAUUUGUUGCAAAAUCAUCUACCUACGACUCUAACUAGCACCCCACCUUAUAAAUCUAUUUUGUCGCUAUAGCCUUAAUAGAUUAAAAUCGUUUUGAUACUUUGGACUUAACGAUUCAACCCAAUCUUGUCGCUUCAGCCUUGAUGUGGGUCCAAAAGUUACUCUGUCGCUACGGCCAGAGUUCAACUACACAUUAGGGUCUAAAGUGUAGAGUCGUAGGUAGUUGAUAGGUACAAGUGAACCCAACCCCAAGAGGUUCUAAGUACCCACCACACUUACCAGAAUCUAUUAUGUCGCUAUGGCCUUAAUAGAUUAAGAAUCGUUUUGUCGCUAUAAGCCUUAACAAUUCAACCCCAUCUUGUCGUUACGACCUUGAUGAGGGUAAAAAGUUACUACGUCGCUUCAGCCAGAGUUGAAGUACAUAUUAAGGAAUCUAAAGUCUUAGGAUCGAAAAAAGUUCUAAGUGCUUACGUCACUUAGUCUAGAAAAUUCUAAGUCUUGGCUAAAAUUCCCAACAAGUUUUUUGUAUCUCCAACUCACUACGUCAAUUAGUUUUGCGAGUCUUGAUUAGUUGUGAAGUUUAAUUUAUUUCACGAGUUUAGUCGUAGACUGAGCUACGAUUCGUACGACUAAGACUACGCCCAGAGUGGCUAGCGAUAGAGUUAGCAGAGUCUAAUUUACGUCCAGAUCGGCUAAAUUAUGACUUGCUAGUUUCGGGUCUUAGUUACAAUUCAAAAAAUAAAUUAAACAAACAAUUAAUUUGGAAAGCGAAAUAGUUGAUAUUAAGUUCCAAAAGAUUACAAAAAACAUAUCAAAAACUACAAGCUAAGAAGAAAUAAAAAAUCUCUAAUCUUCUUCGUCAUUCUUUAGCUUGUCGAGGGCAUCCUUGUUUUUCUCUUUCUCUUCGGGAUGCUCGUCUACCCAUGUCAUGAUAUCCAAGAUAAAGUCUUCGGGUAGUGACGGAAACACUGAGGUACCAAAGAAGCUAAGUUCUUGGAGUUGAUCGGAUUGAUACUUUUUAUCCAACUCCAAGUCCUUAGCCUUCUCCAGAAGUGCGGAGUUCUCCUUCUUCAACACGGAGUUCUCCUUCUUCACAUCUUCCAACUCCUCCUUAGAGCAAGUGAGUUGGUCAUUUAGCUCAUCGCACUUCCUCUCCAUCUCAGAGUUAGUGCUCCUCAGAUUCGCAUUUGUGGCUUCAGAUGAAACCACAUUUCCAAUCUCCAUCUCCAGUUGGGCUCGCAUGUCAUCUAUUUGCUUAGAGGCAUCCUUCUUUUCUUUGCGGAGUCCCAGAAUCUUCGCAACAUAAUCAUCUAUUUCCUUUUUUCUGGGACUCAAUCGUCUUCUCCUUUUUUGGGAUGACGUUGUCUCUAAGAUUCUCGAAUUUUCUUUGGACAUGGGCCAGUUUGCCCAGCUGUUUCUCACUACGCUUGUACUUGGCGUCCAAUUCAUUGUAUUGGCCUUGAAUCUUCUGGACGUCAUUUAUCGAGUCCAUGCCAAAGCAAGCAUGGGCCAUGUAGCAAGUCUACAUUAAAAAAAAACACAAAACAAAUUAGCAAACAAAAAAAUAUAUAGGUAAAAAGAUGUUUUCGGAAGAUAGAAGCACAUACAGCAUUCAGAGCUGUCAUGAGCUCACUCCGAACCCAUCUUCCAGAUUUCGCCAUUAAGAUGGACAUGGCAUCCGACCUGACUUGUGGAUCAGCCAUAAAGUCCGGAAGGGGCAUGCCACUCGUAUAGGGCGCGAAACCAGUCCGCUCAGGUACGUCUCAAGAGCUUGUGCCCCUCUCAAAUGUGCUCGGGACCUUGGGAGCUUUGGCCUUCUUUUCCAGUCUGACCAGCUUCGCCCGUCGAUAUCUCACGGCCAUGUGCGGAGCGGCAGCAUCAAAAUAUAGAAGUGUUCGCUUCUUCCCGCUCACCAUCUCUUCAUCUGUGGAAGGUUUCUGAACCUCCACAACAUCUUCAAAUGUGAAGUCCUCACGCUGGUAGAGGACAAAAGGCACGCCACGGGGAAGGUGGUGAGCUUUCAGGGCCUGGGAUAUCUUGGUGACGGCGAUCACAUCAUCCGCCAUCAAGCCCAGAUUCACACUCAGCUUCGCACAAUUCGGAUCAGCCCAAACUUCCUGACUCCCGGGAAGAAACUCAGAAUUAACAAAAAUGAACUCCUUCUUCCACACUCCAUGGUUAGUUGGAAGAUCAUCGACCAAGUUACGAUCGAGGUUUCGUCGCGCCAACCCGAGACGACCCGAUCCAACCUUCCCAUCCUUGCACAACUUGUAGUAGUUGAGGAAGAGGUAUGGGGUGGGGGUAACACCUAGACUCCAACAAACGUUGAGGAACCCUCUCAACGUCACAAAUAAUCCCACUGGUAGUUGUGUCAACGAGACUUCAAAAGCAAGCAACAAUUCACUCAUGAGCUCCGGAAUGGGAAGCUCAGGGAAAUGCUUGAAGUACAUCUUGGGUAGAGCCUGGAACCCCGGUGGUGGAAGGUUCGCAGGCUGGUAUUGUGACAUCCAAAAGCAGAGAUGUCCAGAAAUCUUCAUCGCCCUCAAAAGAUCUCGAGCCUUUUUUGCACUGAGGAUGGAGAGGGGAUGCACUUCAGAUUAACGCGUAAGCGUCGCCACAGUCAUAACUUGUUCAAAUCGACUCUCGCCCGAGCGGUCGACAGGGAGCAGUUGCGUCACGCCAUUGACAUACGUUUCACAAUGCGCAUAUCCGGUCAGAUUCACGACCCCAGUAUAGUUUGGGAGAUCAGCAUAGGGAUCUCGACCUAAAUCCAUCUCGACUGGAGAUGGAGGAGUUCUCUCUCUUUCACGACGACCCUCAUCUGGAGCAGGGUCGGAAAUUCCACGAUCAAUGACGAGUUCCUCGUCGAAGUUUACAUUAUGAGGAUUCUCGGCCUCCUCUUGGCCAGACACAUAGAUUUUGCCUUUACCAUGGCCUCGUCGUCUCUUCUUCUUUUUUGAACCAACGUCCUGAGAUGGUCGCUUAUUAGGGUUCACCCCAGACACGAUGACACCCUCGGAAUUCACCAUCAGUGGCGCAGUAGUUGAAUUAUCCACUGUUUGAAUGGGAAUCGCCGACUCAUCUACCAGAGUCGUCGAUUCAACUGGCCUAGUCGCCGACUCAUAACGAAUGUUUGAGGCCUCAGAGUCGGUGGCCAACUUUUCCCUCCUCUUGAAGGAAGUCUUCUUCUUUGAAACCCUGGGAAUCGGCAACCCCGAAGAGGGAAUCGUCGACUUACCAGGGAUUUCUCCCUACUCAGCCCCUGGCAUGACUUCCGGAACCUUGUCAGGAAUCGUCGACCCCACAGAGGGAAUCGUCAACCCAGCCAGAGGCUCCAACAGCUCGUGCACAGAAGCACUCAAAUGAUCAUCAGAGGAUGGAACAACCGGAAUCGACGAUUCAACGUCUCUGGGAGGAGACGGAAUCGGCAACUCGACGGCAUUUAACACCUCGACGAGUGUUUCAUCAGACAUCUCCGCUACCAUAGCGGCGGCCUCGGCAUCAGUAAGGUGAGGAUUAGUUCUUGCCAUCUCUCAGAGUCGUCAAUUAAAGUUGAAUUGAACUGGGGAAUCGGCGACAAAAGGAUCUAGGGUUUUGAUACGCGAUUCGAAUUGGGGAAAAGUGGAGUGAGAAGUGUGAAACGCUCACCACUAUUUAUAGCCCUUGGGAAAAUUGCAAAAACCCCUUAGAAAAUCCAAAAAUUGCAAGGGAGGGAAUCGGAAAUCGAUCUCCAAAUCCCUGAAAUCACGCCCGAGUAGACGAUCGUCGAUUCCGGUGGCUAUUUCGCAUAUUUGUGAGAUAUGUUUCCUUAAUUGGAAAAUCUGCAAAAAUUUUCCAAAUAUCUUCAAGGAUCUUCUGAUGGAUCCUACGUUUCGCAAUCAGGAGUCGACGAUUCCCAUGCAAAAAUUCUCCAAAUAUCUCCAAGGAUCUUCUGAGAGAUCCUACGUUCCACAAUCAAGAGUCGACGAUUCUCAGAGGGAGUCGCCGACUCAAGAGGGAAAAUUUCAAAACAACCCUCACAGUUAGUCAGUUACCCAAAACUUAGGAGUCGACGAUUGGGGCACCCAGUCGCCGACUCAGGGUAUCACAUUUUCAGAAGGGAAUAUUGGUGAGACAUGCCUGAUUACACCAGUCACUACCCAUCAACGCCUCUCAACAAGGACUAGGGCUCCGUCGCUAUGGCAGGACCCCUGGAGAGCUCCCACGGUGCGGAACACGUUCAUCGUCCAGAUCGCCGAGUUAGCCCGUAAAGUCGCCCGAUUGGACUACCAAGUCGCCGACAUACAGGAUAACUCGCCGAGUUAAGGCAAGAUCGGCAGUAUGGUAGACUGCACAUCUUGGCCCUAGAAACUCGCCGAGUUAGCCCUUAACUAGGCGAUUUCCAUACCUGAAUCGGCGACUUACGACCGUUACUCGGCGGCAGCCAACGUCAUAAAUGUUACCAUAUAUGACCAUAGGCGCGAUCUCCGCCGUUGAGUGCGCCCUCCGAGACCCUAUAAAAAGGGUCCCAAGGGGACAUUCAAAGGCACGAUUCAAGUUCCACUCUCACACCAGAGCACCACUACGAAACUCGCCGAUUCUCACUAGAAUCGCCUAGUUUCCACUUGCAGGUAUUUGACGUAGAGCGUGCGUCGUGGACUCCAAAGCCUCCGGCAUCAACCUCGCACCACCGCGAGCCCUGGUAGCAGAUUCAGUGCUUCAUCAAGUAUCACAAACUCUCCCCGACACUUCUGCCGCUUCGGCCAAAAGUCGUCGCAUUUCAAGAGAGAGUAUCACAAGCUCUCUCCAGCAUCAGGGUUCAAAAUUGCAAAGGCAACCCUCGAGUUUCGAAUAUUUUUUAGUUUCGAAUACUCAAGUACUUCGAAAACCACUCAUUCCAACGAUUAUGUGUCGCAAAGGCACGAUUUUCGAGGGAGAGUAUCACAAGCUCUCCGACACUUCUGUCGCUUCGGCCAGAAGUCGUCACAUUUUGAGGGGGAGUAUCACAAGUACUCCCGACGCUUCUGUCACUUCGGCCAGAAGUCGUCACAUUUUGAGGGUAGUAUCGCAAACUCUCCUGACACUUUUGUCGCUUCGGCCAGAAGUCGUCACAUUUCGAGGGGGAGUAUCACAAGUACUCCCGAUGCUUCUGUCGUUUCGGGCAGAAGUCGUCACAUUUCGAGGGGGAGUAUCACAAACUCUCCCGACACUUCUGUCGCUCCGGCCAGAAGUCGUCAAAGUAUCUUGAGCACGGUAAAAUCUGUCGCUUCGGUAAGAUUUACCAAGGAUCAAUUUGAGCAAAGGAGAAGCAUCAAGGAAGGUAAAAUCGCACGGUAAGUUCAAUAAGUAAAUAAAAUAUGCGUUUUGGACUGAUCAAGUUGUUUUGCAGGAUGUUUUCUUUUUUGCAGGAAAGGUUCUAAUAGUGAACCAGACUCUGAUAGUGAUUCAGACUCUGAUAGUGAGUCAAUCUAUUUUGUCGCUUUGGCCUUAAUAGAUCCAGGUCCACUUUGUCGCUUUGGCCUUAAUGGACCAAGAAUUAUGUUGUCGCUUUGGUCUCAAUAAUUCUUCUAUCUCGUCGCUUUGGCCUUGAUAAACUUGGAGAUCAUUUCGUCGUUUUGGCCUUAAUGAUCUCGACCCAUCUUGUCGCUUUGUCCUAUGGGGUAACCGUUGUUGCGGACAUAAAGUCGCUCUUGAUCAGGGUGGACUAUAAACACCAGUUCUGAUAGUGAACUAGGUUCUAAUAGUGAACCAGACUCUAAUAGUGAGUCAUACUAUGAUAGUGAGUCAAUCUAUUUUGUCGCUUUGGCCUUAAUAGAUCCAGGUCCACUUUGUCGCUUUGGCCUUAAUGGACCAAGAAUUAUGUUGUCGCUUUGGCAUCUAUAAUUCUUCUAUCUCAUCGCUUUAGCCUUGAUAAACUUGGAGAUCAUUUCGUCGCUUUGCCUUAAUGAUCUCGACCCAUCUUGUCGCUUUGGCCUAUAGGGUAACCGUCGUUGCGGAAUCCACGCAUUCUGUCGCUCUUGAUCAGGGUGGAUUAUAAACACCAGUUCUGAUAGUGAAUCCACGCAUUCUGUCGCUUCGGCCAGAAUCCACACAGCAAAAGUCGCUCUUGAUCAGAGUAGGAUUAUAAUCACGUAGUUCCGUUGGCCUAGAACUAGAUUCUGACAGUGAAUCAAUCCAUCUGAUAGUGCAUGGAUCACGCAGAGUCAUUGUGUCGCUGUGAACGCAAUGACUCGAUCCCAUCUUAUCGCUUUGGCCUUGAUGCGGAUGAUCUUGCUUGGGGGGGGGAUACUAGCGGUACACGCAUGUUUCUUGUGCUCUCUUCAGGGGGGAGUACUGGUAAGACAUGCCUGAUUACGUCAGUCACUCCUAGCAACGCCCUUCAACAAGGACUAAGGUUCGUCGCUUUAUGCCGGACCCCCGGAGAGAUCCACGGUUGCGGGAAAGUGUCUACGUCAAGUACUCAAGUCAACACUGGGAAUCGGCGACUGGGACUACCAAGUCGCCGACUCCAGAGAUGAGCCACCGAUUCCAGGCCUCAUUGGUCAGUUCUGGUAGGCUUCCAACCUGGCUCAUGGGGAAUCGAUGGCUUCACCCUGAGUCNNNNNNNNNNNNNNNNNNNNNNNNNNNNNNNNNNNNNNNNNNNNNNNNNNNNNNNNNNNNNNNNNNNNNNNNNNNNNNNNNNNNNNNNNNNNNNNNNNNNNNNNNNNNNNNNNNNNNNNNNNNNNNNNNNNNNNNNNNNNNNNNNNNNNNNNNNNNNNNNNNNNNNNNNNNNNNNNNNNNNNNNNNNNNNNNNNNNNNNNNNNNNNNNNNNNNNNNNNNNNNNNNNNNNNNNNNNNNNNNNNNNNNNNNNNNNNNNNNNNNNNNNNNNNNNNNNNNNNNNNNNNNNNNNNNNNNNNNNNNNNNNNNNNNNNNNNNNNNNNNNNNNNNNNNNNNNNNNNNNNNNNNNNNNNNNNNNNNNNNNNNNNNNNNNNNNNNNNNNNNNNNNNNNNNNNNNNNNNNNNNNNNNNNNNNNNNNNNNNNNNNNNNNNNNNNNNNNNNNNNNNNNNNNNNNNNNNNNNNNNNNNNNNNNNNNNNNAUAAAUGAUUGUAUUGUCGAAUAAUCGAUAAAUGGUUGGAUCGAUAUAUUUUUAAAUGAAUGGUUAAUAUAUAUUUGGAUGAAUGGUUGAAUAUAUAUUUGGAUGAAUGGUUAAAUAUAUUUUUGGAUGAAUUGUUAAAUAUCGUUUUGGAUGAAUGGUUAAAUAUAUUUUUUAAUGAUUGACUUAAUAUAUGUUUAGAUAAAUGUAUAUUAUAUAUAUUUUUUAUUGUAACAGGUUAUAUGAAUGAGUUUUUGUAAGGUCCUAAUGGAAACCCAUGUAAAACAAAAUUAUUAUUUUUUCGCCUUAAAAAUUUGCGACCAACUAGUUUGUCGCUAAGUGUAAUUCAUCCAAAAUUUUGUUUGGUCUUAAAAAUCUAAAUACUAGUAAAUAACGACCAACCAGGUGUUCGCCUAUAAUUUCGCGUCAAAUUUUUGUGGCCAACCAUGUUGGUCGCCCUUAUGUUGGAGGAAAUGUAUGUGACCAACCAAGUUCGUCACCCUUAUGUUGACGCCAAAUUUUUGUGACCAACCAAGUUGGCCGCCCUUAUGUUGGCGCCAAUUUUUUAGGACCAACGAAGUUGGUCGCUUUUAUGUUAGCGCCAAUUUUUUGCGACCAACCAAGUUGGUCGCCCUAAUGUUGGCGCUAAAUUGGUGCGAUCAAACAAGUUCGUCACCCUUAUGUUGGCGCCAAAUUUUUGGGACCAACCAAGUUGGUCGCCCUAAUGUUGGCGUCAAAAUUUUUGCGACCAACCAAGUUGGUCACCCUUAUAUUGGUGCCAAAUUUUUGGGACCAACCACCCUUUGUUGGUGCCAAAAAUUUGGUCAGAUUUAGAUUUAUUGAGCGACCAACCAAAUUGGUCACCUUCAAGAGACCAACUCAAAAAGUUGGUCGCUUAUAGAUCACUAGCGACGGGGUUUCUUACGACUAACGUAGUGACCAAAAAGUCGAUCAUUUUUUUCUAUAAACGACCAACUUAUGUCUUUUUGCGACCAACUUGGUUGGUCGUAAAGAAAGCCUUUUUCUUGUAGUGUAGAGAGCCACUAGAUUUGGAUGUAGAUAGUUGCAUGUUGGGUUAUAGUGUCACCAUAACCCAAUCUCCUACUAUAAGUAUUGUUUCUCUUCUAGAUUUCUCUGCCAAGUCCUUCAUAUAUUAUCGUGAUUUUUUUAGGCAUGAUUUUACAGUAGACUUGAUGAUAUCUUCUCUUCUGUUUAAUUCAGAUUAUACAACUUCUAGAGAGGAUGAUUUUCUUAUAAUUAAAUGACGGUACGCAAGAGGGAUCACAGGUUACGUUCCUCCAGUAGAUACACUACUCCCAAGACACGAUAGGCUAGACAAGCUAGCAGAUCCCCUACUCAGACGAGACAGAGAAGAUCCCUUACUACCAGGAGACAAUGAGAUUGAUAAGAUAGAUACCGGUAUUGGAAUAUAUAUGAUAUAGAUAAUUCAAUAUAUAUUUAAUAUACAAAAGUAGUAACAAGAUAACAAACCCCACUCACAUAAUUGUGGGUUUGUUAUCCUCAUGUGUAUAUAAAUACCUCUCUUAUACUCAAGGCAAUUACAACAUUAUUUGCCCAAAAUCCUACCUCCACACUUACUUCUCAAAACGUUGGUUUCUCCAUGGCCUUCUUUGGUUCAUCCUCAUUCUCCAUAGACAACCAAUCCAACAUGGUAUCAUCCGCCGAUGUCGAUCCUGUGGCUUCAUCAAACGCAAAUCCGCUGCAUUCCACAAUACCGAUCGAUCAUCCUUCAUUGAUAAUUCCAGCAAUUGCUGAUCCAAAUGGAUCCAAUCUAGCAAUGCUCCCUCAACCAAUGUUGGCUGGAUCCCCAUCUUUUGAAUCCAUCCAGAGUUUCCUCCAUAUCAAACUAUCGCCAACAAACUACCUCUUAUGGAGGAUGCAAUUCAAUCCAUUACUAAAUUGCUUUGAUCUGAAAUCUAUGAUUGAUAAAUCAAUCUCCUCCUCUCCUACGCCCUCCCUUCAAUGCCCGAUCUAUAUGGCUUGGUGGCGUAAGGACCAACUAUUGAUAAGUUGGAUUUUAUCCUCUUUAUCGGAGGAGGUGCUCCCCACGGUGUUGGGACUCGAAUCUGCCGCUGCAAUCUGGGAUGCUCUAGCAAUGUCCUAUGGGCGACCAUCGGAGUUGCGAAUUAUCCAACUUCAAAUGCAGCUACAGAACACCAAACACGCCGCCGGCGAGGACGUUUCCGUUUUCCUCCGGCGAGCCAAGCUCCUGGCCGACGAACUGGCAGCGGCUGGAGCAUCCGUUCCCACCCGCAUCUUCAACGCGACCAUCUACAAUAAUCUGGGACCAGACUUCGGCGAAGCAGUGCCUGUUCUUUGUCAGAUUAUUUUGGAGCAGCAGAGUAUUGUUGUGGCUGCUCGGAAAACCUUGUUCGAGGAGUGGUCUGUUGGAGAACUUUCUCUUAGGGAACCUGCUAUGGUUGCGAGACGUGGUCACCGUCGGAGGCGUUCCAGUUGUGCUAGAUGUCCCAUAGUUGAUGUUCUUAGACGGCUUUACCGUCGUAUCAACUUUAAUUAGAAACUUGUAUUGAUAUAUUCUUUUAAAUAUCGACAUGUAUUACGAAAUGUCGAGUUGUUUCUCUUUAUUUUUUGAUCGAGAAAUCGAGCCGUGUUGUAGACUUGUUUAAGAUGUCGAGCCUUUAAACGUCGACUGACGUUCAAAUCUCGCAUUAUGAUUCUCACAUCUACGGGUCCAGAUGUCAAGCUGCAUUUACAAAAUGUCGAGCCUUCGAGCAUCGACCGAUGUCAAAAUCUCGCGUCGUGAUUUUCAAACCUACGGUCCANNNNNNNNNNNNNNNNNNNNNNNNNNNNNNNNNNNNNNNNNNNNNNNNNNNNNNNNNNNNNNNNNNNNNNNNNNNNNNNNNNNNNNNNNNNNNNNNNNNNUGGGAGGGGAAACGGAUCUGGUUCUGGUCGUGGAUCUGGAUCUGCCUCCACCUCAACGUACAAUGAUUACACCAGUGCGAGCGGAAGUGGUGGAGGUGGUGGCAGUGGAAGUGCUUCGAGUAAAGGAAACGGUAGUGCUUCCGGAUAUGGAAGUGGAUCGGGUUCUGGUUACGGCAAUGCCAAUUAAUCAAUGUUGAUCUGCGUCGUUUCUCCUAUAUAUGGGCUAUGGUCUAGUCGUCUAUAAUAAUUUACAUAUAAUGGUUUCUUUGUCUAUUUUCAAUAAUUAUAAUU
rnacentral:lncRNA from 1 species